rnacentral:lncRNA from 1 species
UUGUGUAUGUGAGAGAGAAUCUAGCAAGCGAAGGAGAUGAAUUAGAGGUGUUUGUGUGCUCCCCUCAUUCUCCAAGCAAGAUAUUGUUCAACCAAAUUUAAAGCCACUCAAACAUUGUAAUAAACCCUGCUUUCUUAAAUUUUAUUAGAUGAUGACAGUAAUGCUCAGAAUAAUUUCCUCUUGGUAUUUUUUUGUUUUUUUUUUUAAUGAAAUUUUGAUUCUAUUAUGUCUCCUUACCCUCCACCAUGAACUCAAAUUAGGAUAGUUUCGGGUUGUCCAAGGAAGCUGAGAAUACAAGUAUGGUUCUUGAUAGCAUGAUAAAUUCUCCUCACCGGAGAUCACCAUCUUUCCGGAAGCAAUUCCCACGGGAUGAGUUGGGUAGCUGGUCAACACUCCUUCAGCGACACCGUUUCCUCUUAACAGCCUUGGCUCUCUUGGCUUUCUUAUGCACAAUCUAUCUCUACUUCGCUGUUACCCUAGGGGCCACUGAAUCAUGUUCUGGACUGACAGGUAGCAAAAAGGCAUCAUGUCGUUUGGAGCUGGCAAAGGAUUCUGCAGGCAAUGGAAAACUCAAAUUUUUCUAGCACGGAUGACACAGUCAAUCGGUUCUUGGCAGUGUUUUCUCUGCCUCAUGCUUGAGCUCCUUAGUGACUUUGUAUACAUGAUGAUGUACCAGAAUUUGUCUUUAAAUUUUUUAAUCACAUCCACUGAUAAUUCUUCAUUGUUUUUAUAACAGUUACACAGGUUGAUUUCUUUUAUGGCUAAAUUAUGUUUUUCCAUUUUCUAGAUAUAGUUUAUCUGUGCAGUAAGUUUUUUGAUGAAUGAAAUCAUUAUUCAAUGAACGAGAAGCAGGAUCGACCUGCUACAAAGCUAUACAAAAAGAGAGCCACCUAUUCAGACUAGUUCCCAGUUAUAGCAGAUAGCAAACAAGUCUGUUUUCUUGUUAAAUAGCUGCUUGACAAAUUGCAGAUUUCCACCAUUUGUGUUUGACAGUGAAAAGAACAGCUUGAGAAAUGCUGUUAACAGGGGAAUUUCAGAGUUAUGACAUCCAGAGUUUCUUUGCACAAAAUACUAAAUUGUACAUGUUCGAUUAGUUUAGGAACGUCUGAUGAAGGGAAAUACAACGAGAAAAUCUUAAAAUUGUCUAAGACUCAUGCAAAUAAAUGAACAUAAAUCUUAAUCACCAUGUUUCGUGAGAAAUCAAUGGCUGGACAUCCAAAGAAGGAGCCUUGCCAUUUCUAAAAUCGCCAAUUGUUACUGAAUAGGAGGCCCAGCAAUUUCCCAUACGUUGGAACUUCAUCCCUGAUGUUUUCAAGUUCUUUAACUUUGUUGUGCAUGAAGAGCUCCUUUUGACAGCCGCGAAUCUGCUCCAACUCUAUCGCCACUUCUCUCAUUGAUUGCGUUCCUUCCAUUCAAGUUCAAGCAUCUUCUUGCAAGAUUAGCGACUGCGAUAACUUCUUCUUCACGGCCCUGCCCCAAUAAUUUCGUUCCAAGAAUAUCAAAUAUCUUGUUCUCUUCCAUCAAAAGAAUAAUGAGUGGCUAAACUUCUCCUGUCUUCCGGCCUUUCAUAAAAUUGGUUUUUGCCCACUCAAGAGCUCUGCAAGAACAACACCAAAACUGUAGACGUCACUUUUUCCGGUAAACUGGCUAGACUGGAAGUACUCUGGGUCCAAGUAUCCAAAAGUGCCUUGAACAUGAGUGGUUAGAUGAGUUUGAUCAAUGGCGAUCGAUCUUGAAGUUCCGAAAUCUGAUACUUUUGCUCUGAACUUCUCAUCUAACAUUAUAUUGUAGACUUGAUAUCACGGUGGUAAACCGGAAUGGAUGCUGCGGAAUGAAGAUAAGAAAGUGCCCUAGCAACUUCAGUAGCAAUCCUUAGUCGCAUUUCCCAUGAAAACUCGAACUCCUCUUCUGGUCAUGAAUAUACUCAAAGAGAUUUCCAUUGGGAAUGAAUUCAUAGACUAGCAGAGGAACCUCCGUCUCUAAACAACAACCUAGCAACUUGACCACAUUUCUGAUGACUUGUGAAAGGAUGACGACCUCAUUGAUAAAUUCUUCCAACUUUUCUUCAUCCACCAUUUUGGAUUUUUUAACAGCAACGAUCAUUCCAUCUGCUAGCAUUCCUUUAUAAACAGUUCCUUGGCCACCUUGACCAAGUAUUCUAUUAUCAUUAAAACGAUCGGUUGCCUUUUCCAGCUCCUUGGAAGUAAAUAUUUUUGUUUUGUGAAUGCUUCCAUCACUUGAUGAUAAUUGUUGCUGCAGCAAUAAACCACCAUUUCGUUUGAAGAACUUCUUCUUCAGUUCAAUGUUCUUCCUUUUUUUUACAAGUUUAUAUAACCGCCAAAUACCAACAAGCAGCAACAACAAUCCAAUGGCCGCACCUAGAACUGCCAUUGCUCGCAAGGGAAAAAAAAUAAGUUUCACAUGGUAUGGAUUUUUUAAAAAUUUUAUGAGUUACCAUUUUUUUUUUAAAUAUCUAUGUUCUAUUUAAAAUGUUUUGGUAGUCUCCAGGUUUUUUCAUUUUAGGUUUUUUUUUUUUAAAUAUGUUUUUUUUUUUAAGACUUUACUUUUUAUGUUGGAGGUCUUAGGGCUAUUUUCAUCCAAACAGUAACAAAAGAGUAUAUAAGAGAAAAUAUCUAUAUAUCCGUGCAUACGAAGACUGAAAAUUUCUUAAAAUGAAUUUUUUUUUAAAAUAACACGUGGAAGAAUAAAUACAAUACAUAAAGAUAAACAAAUCAAUUAACCUAAUUUUUUAAUUAACUUACCACUUUUCUUUUUAUUCCCACAAAUAAAAUCAAUAUUUUUUUUUACAAAUAGUUUUUUUCUUCUUGAAGUGCAAAUGGAGAGCUUUCCAAGUCAAACAUACCGAAUCGAUUAGUAUUUAGAAUUUUCACACAAAUAAAAUCAAUAUUCAAACAUACCCAAUGUUUCAGGUUCCUAUAAAUUACGAAGGAAAAAAAGAAUUAAGAGACAGAAACUUACUCAAGAAAGUGAUCUUAGCUUUGUCGAGCUCGCACUUGUACCACCCCGGCACAUUCACACAUUUUGUCAUCCCCGAACACCAAUUUCCCCUGGGAAUUUUGCACUCAUCGAUAUCUGAUUCAGGAAAUCCAAUGAGCUAGUGAGUAUAUUCUUGUGAUUGGAGCCAUUCAAAAGUACUAGAGUGAUAUUGCAUGGUGAAUUUAUGCUUCAACUCUAUUCUAAAGCUUCAGUACUCCAUUAUUUUUUCUUAAGAAAAAAAAAUAUUAAAUCACAUUAAGCGUGUUCGAAUCAUACCAGUGCAUCCAUCAGGAAGAUACGGAUUGCCAUCAUAGCCCUGGUUGCACCUACAAGUAGUUGAAUUGGAAUACAAUGUUACUGUACUCAAACCCAACCCACCAGAACUUAAGUUCAAAGGGCGCUCGCAAUACAUUGCAUCAGAAUUCUUUGCAUCAGAAUGAAAUGUUACACCUUCAGGGAUGUCAGUACCAUAAUACAUAAACCAACGCAGGAUAACUGGAACAUAUUGCAUAUAUUGCACCUCCUCGGGACUUGAUAUAUUGUUCCAGAACCAUGCUCUCUCUACUAUAAAAGCUACCUUGCAUUGAUUUCUGCCUUGAUCAUUAGGGUCCUCUGCGUUCCCCAAACUCACGCUGAAAACCUGGAGACUCGAGGGAAUUGUGGUCUGGCAGCAAUUGUUACCAGAACAGUAUCUAUUUUCUUUCCCUUCAGCACUAGAACUAGUCAAAUUAUUAGCACCGCAAGUUGACGUGCACCCAACAAUUUGUGGCUCAAUUCGGCUCAAUAAAGCACGAUUGUUGCAGCCCAUUGCGGUGAAGCUAUUUAAGGAAGAGAAGGCGAAAGGACUUCCAGUCAUAUUAAUGGCUGAGUUGGCACCUCUACCAGAACAGCCGGAGGAAAUUAUUGGACUGUUUACUCGAACCGUAUGAUAACCGUACCCUAUAGUAAUCUCCAAGACCUCCAUGUUGAUUCUGCUUAAGAAAGCCCUGCUGGGAGAUUCCGCAGUUGUUUUGUUGCAAUCAACUGAGAACCAGUCAUUCAUGUAACAACCUGUUCCUAUUCCAAAUGGAAAAGGGAUGCUAAUGUUUCCACAAGUGUCUUUACAAUUAGGCUUCGCCAUAAUUAGUGCUGAUACAGUUGCUAUUUCAGGGACUAGAAAUAGCAGGAAAAAAAUUAGAGAGACACUACGAGGAAUCAUGCCUUCCCUUCUAUUGCAGAUUUAGAUGCUGCUGGAGAUCAAUAAUGGAAGGAGAGCGAGAGAGAGGGGAAAGAUCUUUCGUUGCCCCCCUAUAUUUGUAAGAAAAAAAUACUAAUUGAGACAGAGAAGACUACCUUGAAAGAGUAAACACAAUGAAAAGUUCUCAAAUCAUUUGAAGCAAAUUCAAUGAAAAGUUCUCUCUCAAUCUAUCUAUAUAUAUAAUAUGGUGGCCUUCCAUAUUUUAAAUUCGAGUAGUUGUAGGAUGUUUCUUUCCAACUUCCAAGCUUUGAUUAAUAAUGUAAAAAUUCCACAAGACUAUAAAAAGGCUCUCAAAUUGAUGAGUGAUGGUGACUUUCGUCUAACCAAUUCAAAGAGGAUUAGUCUAAAAGUAAAGAGAAGAAACAGUAGGCUUUGAACCACUUAAAUGUGUUGGAACUCAGAAUAGAGAAAUUAAAGAUAGAAAGGGAGCGUGUAGACGACGAUGCUAUGAAUAAAACAGGGGAAGAAAAGUCGUUUCUCUUGAGUGCCAAGAUCUUAUUAUAAUGUGGAAUAUCCAGUAGAUAAGUACUCAGAAUGAACAUAUAUUUAGAAAUUAAUCAGCAAUCAGCUAGCAAACCUAAUUCAAAAAGAGAUUGGAAGAUUGUGUUUAGUUAAUGUUAUAGGAUGUAAUGAACAUAUACAAAAGGGAUAGAAAAAUCACCAAAUCAAAGUUCUCCUUAUUAAUGCAAGUGUUUUGUUUUAAAAAAUUCUCACAGGAAUAGUGUCCGACUUGCAGUGACGAAGUACAAUUACUUAAUAAUUUAACUAUUUUAUUAUCAUAGAAUUUUAAAUAAUCUAAGAGGAAGCUACAAUUUUUUUCUUCUGUUUUACUUUUCAACAAAAAAUAAUAAUCCAUUAUAACUCUUAAAUUAAAUCAAUUUUUUUUUAUAGAAAUUCUAUAUCAUGGAGAAACUUAACCGAAAUUUCCAAUGUGAAAUCUAAAACUUAAGUUAUUGGACAGAGUGUUUCUGUGUGGACAUAUAAUUUGGACCCAAAAAUCACAAUUCUAUCAUUAACCAUGUAUGCUUUCGGUUCCUUAUUUAGAGAUUAGCACCCGUGAACAGUAGCAUGAGGACCGAUGAUACCAGCAGCAACAAUAACAAGUUCAGUAAUUGUUCCUUAUUUGGAUAAUGGAUAUCCGAAACCCAAUUAGGUAUUCAAGAUUUAUAUCCGAAACUUUUUUCUUUUCUUUUCUAAUGGAAAAUAAAUAAAUAUAUUUGUUUAUUUGUUGAGAAUAAAAAAGAUUUUUUUCAAAAAACAAAUACAUUAAGAUUACAAAUAUUUUUUAUAAGAGAUGUUGUUACCCAAUUUUUGACCCACGUUUUUUAUAAAAUUUUCUAAAAAUAAAAAAAAAAGAUUGUUUUUAAAUAUAUUUGCAUCGUUUUUAGCAUUUUUAGCAUCGUUUCAAAAGAAUUUAAAUUUUUAAUGGUCUUUUAAACGCGUUUGAAUUUUCACGCGUUAUUUUUAAAAUAAUUGAUUUUUCUUAUUGAGUCGAUGUUGAUAUUGCUCGUUUUCAAAAAAUAUAAAAAAAUAAGACAAAUCAAAUUUACAAAAAUAAAAAAGUUGAGGAACUAAGUUUGGGGACCAAACAAUAAUUUGCCUAUAAAUAAUAUUUUCCCAAAACCAGCCAAACCUCUCCUCAUCAUCUUCCUUAGCCUCUCUAUAACCCAAGCCCCUAUUUUUUCUCGCAAGCAACAGACUACCUCCUAGACUGAACACGGCGACAAGCCCAACCACCGGUGCUACCAAUAGAAGCGAAGAUCAUCAGCUCAUCAACCGGCCCUAGGAACCAGCCAAAGGACAGCAGCCCACAGACUCAGAUCGGCCGGCCUUCCUCCAGCUCCUCCCUCAUAGACCGAACCAUCUCUUCCCUCCAUUCAGCCUCCAAUAUUAGCGGCCAAAACAACAACUUGAAGCCAGCCGCCACUCACCCUCUCCUGGCCAACCCAACUUCCCCAUAACCGAGAGCAACCCCACAGUGGCUCCUUUCUUCCUCAGGCCGAGCACAUCAGCAACCCCCGUUAUCUUCUUCCCAGUCUUCAAUCGUGCCCACAUACCAGCCUCUAACAGCACCGACAACAACCGUGGUGGAAAGCAGAAGAAACUAGAUCUAAAAAACUAACUACAAUCGACUGAUGUGUGCAUUUUCUUUUGUUGCAGAUAAUGUAGCUCCUCACCACUGGCAAGGAAAGGAAGAGGAGAGGAAGACGUUCCCGAUCCACCGGUUUUCUUGCAUUCAACGGCGAUGGCGCGUGAAACCCAUGCUACCACUGUGCAUACAGUUCUAGAAAGCUUCCAGUGCUGUUAUAGAUUUUUGGGUGUCUAUUUUGUAAAUUUUAAAUUGUUUGAUGUAAUUGUUGUUUAGUUUUUUUUUUUUGAAUUUUUAUAAUUUUUAGUGUGGAUAUAAAAAAAAAAGAAAGAAAAAAGGAAAAAAUAUAGUAAAAGUGAAUGUGUGUUGUUUGUACUUGUUUUAUGGAUGUUUUUUUAUUAUUUUAUUUUUAUGAUAAAACUACAAAAACAAAAGAAGAAUUUAAUAUUUUGAGUUGCUCACGGUAAAAGAUUAUGAACUUAUACGUAAGUCGUAUUCCUAAUAUCCGAUGAAAAGAUAAAAUUAUUAAAAAACAAUUUUAACACAUCAAAGCCAUGAAGCAACUUAUCUCAGGUAGGGUGCGUUAGGGGUGCUAAUACCUUCCCUAACCACAACUAGUCCCUUACCCGUGAAUCUCUGACAAGACCAGUAUAUUUAGGUUUCCUAGUAACCCUCAAUGAAAUAUUAGGUGGCGACUCCCAGAAUCAAACAAGCAAAGGAAUGAAAAUCGCCAACGCCACCGCUCGAGCACUUGCGACAGAAUGACGACUCCACUAGGGAAAGUACUGUUUCUGACAAUAUUGGACUAAGCUUUGUGUAUUUGAUGUGUUUUUGCAAUUUUAUCUCUCUUUUUUUUAAUAUUUUUGUUUGCAUGCAUUUUAUAGAAUUGUUUCAUGCAUCACAUGUCUUUAUUUUUUAAAGCACACACAAGCUUUUAGGUUAGGUGAGGAACUAGCGAUCUGCCCUAUGACUAUUGGUCAAGGUUCAGAUGCAUGAAACACCCAACUCAUAUCUGAGUGCUUGCUUGGUAAUGGUGGGUAUACGUGCCUUAACCAUUUCUCACAACGCCUCUAUACUGUCUUUACGAAGAUCGUCACUGAGCAGAUGUAAGACCCUUUUGAGAUCAGGUAGAAAACCUACCCAUGUUUAUAUAAUGAAUAGAACUUGUCCUUAGGUUAUAUGUGCUAUCUUUAUUUACAUCAAGGCAAACCCUUCUUGAAGCAUCUUGAACUCAAGACUUAUGGGUGACACAAUGAUCAUCACUCAUAAAAUUUUCAUUGUAAAGUUUGGGCAAGAAUCAAGAUUCUUGUUUCAUCAUGCAAGAGUUACGAUCAUAUCUCACCCUCGAAGAACGAGUUCAUCAUAUAGAUUACAUGUUCAUACAUUUGUCAUGCAUGCACUGGGAUGAAAAGUAGAUACCCGGACAUCUCUCUUGAUUUUUAAGGAAGCAUCUCCAAUUAGUAUCCUUAAUCAUUUUAACUCAUCGUUCAUACUUUCAAUCGCAUCAUCAUUCUUUUUAUAGUACUAAUUGUAUCUCAAAUUACUAUUUUAUAUUUUUUAUUAUUAACUUCUCAAUCAAAAUUUAGUUAGUACACAGAACCUUUUAAAUUGCAAACUUUCAAACAAUGUCCAAGCAUAAUUAAAUCAUUAAAACACCAAUAUUUACACAAUUUUUUUCCUUCCAUCAUUUCACAUUCAACCCACAUAAUCCCAUAUCUAGAAAUUCAAUUCAUCAAGAAUCACAAUCAUGAUCAAACAUAAUUUCAUCAUCAUACUAUUCAAGUUUAAGCAUCACAUUAUCUUUCUAUCCUCAAAACCACACAAUUUAGCCAAAAUUACACAUUUACACCAUUCCAACAUAUUGCAGCAAUAACUAACUACCUAGCGAUCCAUAUCACAACAUUCCAUUUCGACCCCAAGCAUUCCCAACAUCAUUUUAAAAUAUCAAAAUCACAUAAAUGGGUUGAACUCGUCUGUACACAACCCAAGUCGGACAUUCCUUGAUUCAGCAAAAAAGUCAGGAUGCACACUGUUAAACGUUUCCACGCUUCGCCGUUAGAAGGAUGCACCAUCACACCAUUAAUGGCAUCGUGUGUUUGGUGCCAUGUCAUGUGCUCAGCAGUCCUUGGUGACAUAAAUAACCUCUGCAGUCUAGGUGUGAUCGGGAAAUAUCUAAGUUUUUUAUAUGCCAUUAGAGUCUUCCCCUUGCCAGUUCUGGGUUUGUAACGGGAAUGCCCGCAUGUCAUGCACUCGGUCAUCUCAACAUUUUCAAGGUAGUAUAACAUGCAGAAGUUAGGGCACAUGUCAAUUUUCUGGUAUCCUAAACCGAGGGGUUUCAUCAUGGACUUCGCAGCAUAGAAGUUCUCUUUGAGCCUGUUCCCUUCAGGUAAAAUGCUUCUUGCCCAAUCAAUAAUUUUGUCAUACCCGGCCUCACUCAACCCGUGAUCUGACUUGAUGGUGAACACCUGUGCCACGGCCGAUAAUUUACUGUGGUUUGUGCAGCCAUCCCAUAAUGGUUCGUCAGAAUCUUUCAACAAAUCAAAAAACCUAGCUGCCUCUGCAUUAGGUUCUUCUUCUACGAUUGGACAUUGAUUGACAUUAUCUUGAUUCAUUCUCAUUGCAUCCAUAACCAUGUUUCUGUAAGGAUUAGUGUUGUCAUUUGCCGCUUCAUGCACGUUGCUAGCACUAGAAGUUGACCCAACCACCGUUUCUCCCAUUCUCCUAUUACUAACAAAUACCUCUCCAUGUGCAUACCAACACUCGUAAUCCUCCACAAACCCUUUGUGUAGAAGAUGCAUCAUUACAACAUCUGGAUGCAGAUACUUUUUAUUUUGACACUUCCUGCAUGGACACCUAAUACCGCCUCCAGUAAAAUUUCUGGGAAUAGAUGUUGCGAAAUUAAUAAAACCCUGAACCCCGUUACAAUAAUCCAUCAUCCGCAAUCCUUGAGGUGAAUCUAGAUACAUCCAUGAACGAUCAUCCAUGACUUCUAUCGAACCUCUAUAAAAAGGACCUAUUAAGCAAGCUCUUAAUUAUUUCAAAACAUAACAUCUAAUUCGGUAAUUCUACAAAUUAAGUUUUAACAAUUUACAAACAAAUACAAUCUUACAAAAUCUAAAACAAACCAUAACAAGUAUAAAAUUAUACAUUCAUAUACUACAAGUUUGUUUGAGAAAUAACAAUAAAACAUGUACAUCUACUAAAAAAACAAUAAAAUUGACAUUUAAAUGUUAAAAUUUUAAAAGAUAGAAUUACUUACAAAAAAUGAUAAAAUCCGUCGGUAAAUCAGAACACGGAUGCUGUGACCACAAAACUUCAAGAAAUACAACUUGUUGUGCUGAGAUGAGGAAGAUUUUUGUUUUGGGGCGAGGGGGGGCUGGUUAUUUGCAGAUGGGGAGGGUUAGGAUUAGGAAGAAGAAGGAGAAAUGGGGGAGGAGAGUGUCGGCAGAGUGGCCAUAUAUUCACUUUUGCCGACGGACUUACCGACGGUUUUAUUCCGUCGGCGAAACCGUCGGUAAUUCUGACGGGCAAUCGACACGUCACCGCACGGACCUGCUAUUCAAAUCCCUCGGUGAUUCCGUCGGUAUUUUUAACGGUGCACCGGUCACGUCACCGGUACGGAUCUGGCAUUUCAAAUCCGUCGGUGAUUCCGUCGGUAUUAUUGACGGUGAACAAGUCCCAUCACGUGUACGGCUCCCCGGUUUUCAUUCCGUCAGAAAAAUCACCCGCCAAAACCUCCGCGCCACCUACCCGCCCUUUUUUCAUUAAUUCUGAAUUUUCUGUCGGUAAUUCGGUCGGUAAUUACCGACGGAUAUAGUCCGUCGGUAAUUACCAACGAAAAUAGUCCGUCGGUGAUUUCGACCGAAAAUAGUCCGACAGAAAAAAUUCCGUCGGUGAGUCCGUUGGUAUUUAGCGAAUUUCUGGUAGUGAUCAAAAUUUAGUUAGUACACAGAACCUUUUAAAUUGCAAACUUUCAAACAAUGUCCAAGCAUAAUUAAAUCAUUAAAACACCAAUAUUUACACAAUUUUUUUCCUUCCAUCAUUUCACAUUCAACCCACAUAAUCCCAUAUCUAGAAAUUCAAUUCAUCAAGAAUCACAAUCAUGAUCAAACAUAAUUUCAUCAUCAUACUAUUCAAGUUUAAGCAUCACAUUAUCUUUCUAUCCUCAAAACCACACAAUUUAGCCAAAAUUACACAUUUACACCAUUCCAACAUAUUGCAGCAAUAACUAACUACCUAGCGAUCCAUAUCACAACAUUCCAUUUCGACCCCAAGCAUUCCCAACAUCAUUUUAAAAUAUCAAAAUCACAUAAUUUAAUCAAGCUUCCACAUUUCCCCAAAAUCCCUACCAUGUCUGCCCACUCAUGGUCCCAAAUUUCAAAACUUUAGUUUUUAAUAUCUUUAAUUUAAUCCUUAGCCAUGUUAUCUAACCCAAAAUUAACCAAUAACUAUACUAUGUCACCUUUCCAAAUACAAACACACAUAAAUCCUAAAUUUUUAAAUUUGGGGAUUUUCAGUCCCCAUAAAAAUUAACAAAAUAAAGUGCAUUUAGAGCAAUAGAAACAUCUUGCCACAAUCAAUUAACCCAAUUUGUUAAUCCCUCUGCAAGAAAUCCCAAGAUGUUCUUUAGUACAUCUCAAAUCUUCUUCUUGUUCCUUAGUUUUAUAUUUUUGUUUUGUUGUCCUUAAACUCCUACAACACUAGUUUUUUAUUCCAACAAAAAACACUAACAUCAACUGAUACAAUUUUUUAUUUCCAAUUCUUUCAAGUUUCUUUUUUUUUACCGUUAACUUUUUUUCUCUUGUUUGGCUGCUACGGAAAGAAGAGAAGAAAGAUUGUAAAUCCAUUGUUUAGAAGUCGAAACAAAAUAAAUUUCAGAAUCAUAGGAAUUUAAUACUUCAAGAAGGAGGUUAUCUUUCUGAAAUCGAAUUCCUAUUCCAAAUGGAAAAGGGAUGCUAAUAUUUCCACAAGUUUAUGUAGGAUUUGGUGUUGGGAUGUUUCGUUCCAACUUCCAAGCUUUGAUUAAUAAUGUAUAAAUUAUUUCUCAAAUUGAUGUUUCUGUUCAAAAUAAUGCAUCUUUAAAAUUUAUGGUCAAGUCAUUGUUUAUGUUUAGCAUCUUUUGUUUCCAUUAUGUCGAUCUUUUGCAUUGUCGAGCAGAGAAAGAUUGAUAAAAGCUAAAGCAUCAGUAUGAAGGCCAAAAGCUGAUAGCUUAUGCUGCAUUUCUUGGGUCCAGUCGGAAAGUGAACAUUGAGAAGAAAUAAUGUAUAAAUUAUUUCUGAAAUUUAUGUUUCUUUCCAUAUUUUUAAUUCGAGUAGUCGUAGGGUGUUUCUUUCCAACUUCCAAGCUUCGAUUAAUAAUGUAUAAAUUCCACAAGACUAUAAAUUAAGACUCCCAAAUUGAUGAGUGAUGGUGACUUUCGUCUAACCAAUUCAAAGACGAUUAGUCUAAAAGUAAAGAGAGGAAACAGUAGGCUGUGAACCACUCAAAUGUGUUGGAACUCAGAAUAGAGAAAUUAAAGAUAAUAGAAAGGUAGCGUGUAGACGACGAUGCUAUGAAUAAAACAGGGGAAGAUUCCAUAUUCCGUCGAAAUACCUUUUGUCGGUGAUUCCACAUUCCGUCGCUAUAUUGGUCGGAAAUACCAAAAAAACAUUUACCGACGGACCGUGCGCGCAAAAAAAAAAAAGUUUCCCACUUUGAAUAUACCGAUGGAAAAUAUUCCGUCGGUGUUAUGUAAAUAUCGAAGGACUAAAUCCGUCGGUAAAAGUGUCGGUGAUAUUUCAUACCGACCGAAUAUUUCCGUCUGUAAAUUCGUCGGUAAGUUUAUACCGACGGAUUAUUUCCGUCGGUGAAUAUGUCAGUGAUGGGAUGGAAUACCAACCGAAUCUGUCCGUCUGAAUAUUCGUCGGUGAUGGUGGCAGACACUGUCCAAUGCCGACGGAGUUAUUCCAUUGGUAAAUCCCUGUGUAAUUUUUUUUUAAUGUUUUUUUAAUUAUUUAGAAAAAAUAAUAAAAAUUAAUGGUAAUACAAACCAAUUAUGCAAAUAAAAUUUAUAUUAAGCAACAAAAACUCAAAGUUAAAUAAUAUUCAUUACAAAAUGAAUGUGUUUCAAAAAAACAUUAAACAAAAUUUUAAAUGUAAAUAAUGUUUAUUAAAAAUUAAUAUAAAGGUGGAGGAGGAGGAGGAGGAGGAGGCUGGGGGUUAGGCGGCAAAAAAGGAUUAGGCGCACAUGUUCCACCUUGUGUCAUGUUCAUGACCAUUUGACGAAGCUCUUCAUAGGCCGCUCUUUGUUGUUCAGACUCUGCUCUGUGUUGUUCGUUCGCCAAUCUUUGAGUUGUGUGUAUGCCUCUGAUAGGUGGUCGCACCUUUGCUGCAAGGCCACGAACUCCUUAGACUGGGAGCUUGAUUCAGAUUGGGAGCUCCCAACGGUUAAAGCAGUACCGGUCGACCGCAAGUUGGCGGCGGUAGUGUUGGAGAGCCCGUAAACCUGAUUUUUAUCGGGUCCACCUAACGAUCCAGCCUCCAUCCACAAAUCCGGAUCGAAUUCCGGAUGGGUCGAAGGAUCGUCCCCGUAUGUCUCCCUCAACCGAUUAUUAUAGGUUUGCUGAAAAAAAAAAUCAUCAUAUUCAAUUCAAUAAACAUAAUAAUAACUUACAAAAUAAAAUGGUUGAACAAACAUACCACAAACUGUUGAGCACGGUUGUCAACGAACUGUUGCGUCCCCUUUUGGCGGUCAUGACUCCGCACGUGCAUCUCCACAAACAGCUCCAUAGGGCUCGGCUCACGUCCAAGAGACGUAGCCUAUAAUGAAAAAAUUUUAUUAACAACAAAUUAAUUGAACGAUAUAUUUCAUUUAAAUUAAUCUUACCAUCCGUUUCGCAUGUGCAGCAAACGGAACGGAGCCGCUGGUGUGCGUUGUCACCGAGCCAUGAAUUGGCCGAUUCCGGUUGCCAGCACCGGACUGUGAGCGUCGAGUGAACCGCUCAGACGUCACGUGUUGAAGAUAGUGCGGCCAUAUAUCUUCCGGGAUGUAUAUCGGUUUGAAAUCCCUCCAAACCGCAACAUCGUUCCAGCCUUGGAACCCCUUAUCCCUCGCUGUUUUUUUGGCCUUUUCUGGGUUUCAUACCAAAAAUCACGCAACCUAAUUCACGCACGAAAAAAUUACAUUUCGAAACAUAAAUAAUUAUGUAAAAAAAAAGUCGUAUUGUUUUCGAUGUUACCUAAUUGCCGCGUGAUUUUCCCACACCCUCCUCACAACAGUGUCAUGUUCAUCGUCCCAGCUGAAUCGAUGCUGUGUAUAAAAAAAUAAUUUUUUUAAAAUGUUAAUAAUUUAUUUACAAUUAUAACUAGAAUUUAUUAGAAAUAAGCAAAAAUAUAUUAACACGAACCUCAAAUCUACGAAACCAUGCAUUGAUUUGAGGCAUCCAUUCAGGAUGCCUGGAUAUCUGACUCCAUUGAAAACAAUGGAAUCUCCAACGCUUUAAACGCCGAUGAUAUUACUCGGGCGCCUCAAUGUUUGUGAACCUAAGAAAUGAAAUUAAUGAAAUAGAUUACUUCAUUAUGUUUUAAAUUUGUUUUUUUUAUUAUAUAAAAAAAACUAAAACCUUAACAAACUUACAUUGAAAGAUCGUCCUUCCACUGUGCCUCGUACUUGGGUAAAUUGAUUCCGCUGCGAAGGCACGCCGCUUCUGCGAUGUGAAACAUCGCUGGAAGAGGCAGCAUCGGUUGACGGCGCAGGUGGUGUAGGUGCCUCUUCUUGAGAGGCACCUAAGGAAACAUCAGCAUCGCUGCUAGACGAACUUGAUUCGACUGGACGUGAACGACAGCUCUGGUUUUCAUUUUGCGCAUCUAAACAAUUUUAUAUAAAUAAUUGUAUAAUAAAAUUCAAAAGUUAAAAAAAAUCGGCAGCACCUCCCCUAUACUGGAUACUACCCAAAUCCACAAACCUGCAAAUAUUAACAAUAGCCACAACCAAUUGACCCAAUCUAUACUAAUUAUUCCAACAUAUUCAACUAUUAAUCCUAAGAUAAAUUCAACGUUAACAAUUACAAUUCACAAAUUAUUCAAUAAUUAUGUCAAUACAACAAAACUAUAAAUUCAAAAUAAAUAGAAACAAUUAAACACAAAUCAUCAAGUUAGAGUAAAAUUAAUAAUUCUUCCAACAUAUUCAAUUAUUAAAUCUAAGAUAAAUUCAACAUUAACAAUAUUAAUUCAACAAAUUAUUAAAUAAUUAUGGCAAUACAACAAUAAAAUAUAUUCAAUAAAAUAAAAAAGAAUUAUAGCCUAACAAUUAAAAUCAAUGGAAACAAUUAAACACAAAUCAUGCAAUAAUAUAUAAAAAAUACUAAUUAUUCCAACAUAUCCAAUUAUUAAUUCUAAGGUAAAUUCAACAUUAACAAUUAUAAUUCAACAAAUUAAUCAAUAAUUAUAUAUGGCAAUACAACAAUAAAUUAUAUUCAAUAAAUUAAAAAAUAUAUAUAGACUAACAAUUAAAAUCAAUGAAAAUAAUUAAACACAAAUCAUGCAAUAAUAGAGUAAAAUUAAUAAUUAUUCUAACAUAUUCAAUUACUAAUUCUAAGUUAAAUUCAACUUUAACAACAAAUAUUCAACAAAUUAACUAAUAUGUUAUUAUGACAACAAAACAAUAAAAAAUAUUCAAAAAAUUCAAAAAAAAAACCUACAUCAAGAAAAGGAACGAAAUAUACAUACCUUAAUAAUGUGACAAAUUCAAAACUUUAUCUACAUUACAAAAAAAAACACCAAAACAACAAAAUAACAAAAUAAAAACAACUAAAAAUAAAUUAAAAGUAAAUAAAAUAAAUUGGAAAAAAACACAUACCUUUUAUGAGGAAGAUUCACAACACUAAAUCUUGCUAGAGAUUGAAGGUGAAAUUCUUGAAGGAUUGAGGGCAAAAAAAUAAAAAAUCUGAGGUGCAAAACGGAGGAGAAGAGAAGAGAAGCGGCGCGGGGAGAAGAAGAAAAAAUGAGGCGAAGCGGCGGGGGCUGGAACUUAUAGGGCAGUUUUACCGACGGAAUCACCGACGGACUUAAUAUCCGUCGGUAACAGGUCAAAAAUUCCGUCGGUAACAGGUCAAAAAUCCGUCGGUAAUUUUUGAAUUUCGCACCGAAUUUUUAAAAGCCCUCCAUAUUUUUCGACGUCCGUCGGUGAUUCCGUCGGUAAUAUGACAAGUUCAGAGGCGCAUUAAUUCACACACUUUGGAAAUCGCGCGGUCUGUCAGUAUUUCUGUCGGUAAUAUGUGUGACCGACAAAUUACCGACAGAAAUAUUCCGUCGGUAUUAGCGUCGAAAAAUCGGUCGGUGAAUCCGUCGGUGAUUGUGGCAUUUUGUUGUAAAUAUUUUCGAACUCUCUAUGAGAUACCGACGGAUGUCCGUCGGUAUACCGUCGUGAUUGUGGCAUUUUGUUGUAAAUUUUCGAACUCUCUGUGAGAUACCGACGGAUAGAAUCCGUCGGUGUGUGUCGGUGAAUCCGUCGGUAAUGUCGUCGGUGUUGUGGCAUUUGCGUAAUAUUUCGAACUCUCUGUGAGAUACCGACGGAUGGUUAUCCGUCGGUAAGUUUGCAUUAUGCAGGAAAGGUUGUCUUUGUAUUGCCUGUUUACCUUCCUGCAAAACUUAACUGAUAAACUGUCCAUCACAUAAAACAAUAACCACAUUGCUUAAAAGUAAAUAUUUUGUUUUACAAAAUACAUCAUCAAUAAUCUAAAUUACAUGAGACAAAUGUUUUUACAUAGGGCUUCAUUUUCAUAAUUAGUCGGAAUUUUCUUCUUCUUCCUCAUCAAUUGAAUUGUCAUCAUCUUCAUCGCAAUCUUCAAUAUGGAUAUCAUCUUCUUCAUCGACAUUUGCUUGUCCGCUAGAGCUGAGAACAACAUUCAACUCCUCUCCGUCAAUAUCAACAAGACUAUCAUCGAGAACUCGAAAAUUUGAAUUUUCUUCCAAUUCAAUCGAAGGAGCAACUCGAUAUGGUUCAACCAACUCACGAACUUGAAAGACUUCAUCUCGCACACUUGUGUCUUCGUUCUCAUCCUGAACAACCUCGACACGACCCCGUGGUUUCGUUUUUAAAACGGACAACCAAUCAACUCUUGAUCGAUCCUUUCUAAAUGAAGGGGUGUAUGUGUAAUAAACUUGUUGACAUUGCUUUGCGAAAACAAAGACAUCGUUUAUGUUGCGGAGUCUAGCUUUUGAGUUGAUUUCGACCAGACCAUGGUGCGGAUCAACUCUGAUUCCUCUGUCCGUCGUGUCAUACCAAUAGCAUUUGAAUAAAAACACUUUAUUCUGCUCGCUAUGAUAUUGCAGUUCGACGACCUCUUCUAAUCUACCAUAGUAGUCAACUUCUAACUGGCUACUUGUGGAUCCCUUAACACAAACACCGCAGUUGUAUGUCUUUCUUCCUUGCCCGUAUUCUUCAGUAUGGAAAACAUAUCCAUUGACAAAAUACCCGUUGUAGCACUUAACUUUUCUUUCAGGGCCGAGGCUUAGUGAAGACAAUGACUUGGGCGCACUCCUUCCCAUUUGAUAAACCUUGUAAAUAUAUGUAAUUAAAUGUACAUCAAUACACGGUAAAUGAACGAGAAUCUCGUAAUGACAUGCAUACGUUAGAAUGAGUUUGUGAUAGUGCUUACAUGUGUUCUGAACCAUGUGGCAAAUUGUUCAUCUUGUAAUUGAAAGAUCUGGGAUUCGGUCAGCUGCGAGUUAUUGGAGAGCAAAUAUUGUCGAUGUUGCCUGCAAGUGAUAAUGAGUGUAUGAUAUUACAAUAUAUAAUUAACAGUAUAUUACUGACAAAGUUUAAUUAGUAUUACACAUAUAUAGACUUACUGAAUAAAUGGUCUCAGCUCAUCACAGUUAAAUAGAACAUAGUUGUGUGCUUGUUUGAAUUCUAUUUCCGACAAAUAUCUUCCUCUUACGGCAUUUUUAGGUGUGGGUCGUCCAGUAUUGGAGAAUAUUGACAAGUUCCCACUGGAAGGCACUUCACCGCCAUCGUCAUGCCGUGGAACGCGAUUGAUUCUUGUUCUCAGAUGAGGUUCGAAAUAGUACGAGAUAAAUGUUGAUAUCUCUUCAACAAUAUAGGCCUCAGAUAUCGAAGCCUCAACAUGCGCCUUGUUCUUAACCUUUUUUUUUAGAUUAAACAAGUACCUGCAUUGAAGUACAAUUCAAGUAUUUUCAAUAAGAAAAACAUAGAAAAUACUUUAAGAUAUGAAUUCCAUUGCAACUGUAAUAUCUCACCGUUCGAAUGGGUACAUCCAUCUAUACUGGACCGGUCCUCCAGCUUUUGCCUCGAACGGUAGAUGUAUAGGGAGAUGCUCCAUUGAGUCAAAAAAUGAAGGAGGGAAUAUCAUCUCAAGUUUGCAUAGUGUCUCGAUGAUAUUCGUUUGAAGCAUCUCAAUGUGCUCAACAUUCAUCUUGCUGGAGCAUAUAUCUCUGAAGAAAUGACUGAUCUCCGUUAGUGCAUCCCAUAUUCCCUUUGGCAACAAAUCACGAAAAGCUAAUGGGAUGAGUGUUUGCAUAAACACGUGGCAGUCAUGCUCUUCAUUCCAUACAAUCUGCAGUCCUCUAUGUUAACAAGCCUUGAUAUGUUCGAUGCAUGUCCAUCCGGGAAACGCAGACUCUUAAGCCAUUUGUAGACUAGCAGUUGUGCGUUUUUCUCUAACACGAAGCUUGCCCUUGGUUUUGCAACCCGUGACUCGUCAUAAACCAACUCCAUAUUUUUACGGUUACAGUAUAAAGCUAUAUCCAAUCUAGCCUUCAUGUUGUCCUUUGUCUUCCCCUUCACAUCCAUGACGGUGUUGAAAAUAUUCUCAAACACGUUCUUUUCGAUGUGCAUGACGUCAAGGUUAUGGCGGAGAAGAUUAGUCUUCCAAUACGGAAGCUCCCAAAAGAUACUUCGCUUUACCCAAUUAUGGGUCAAACCAAAACCAGGAAACUUUUGCUUACCUGAUUGAAGGCCAAACACAAUGUCACCGUACUCUGAUACAACAUGAUGCAAUUCUUCACCAGAAAGACGCGGGGAUGCAACAUCUUUUUCAACUCUACCAACAAAGAAAUCUUUUCUGUUCUUUCUGAACCUGUGAUUAAGUGGCAAGAAGCGACGGUGACAGUAAAAAAAAAGAAGCUUUACCUCCGUUUGCUAGCGUGAAUGCCUUGUUGUUUUCCAUGCAGUAUGGACAUGCGAGUUUCCCAUGCGUGCUCCAACCAGAAAGCAUUCCAUAAGCUGGAAAAUCACUGAUAGUCCACAUCAAAGCCGCCCUCAUAAGGAAAUUUUGUUUCCUCGAUAUAUCAUAAGUCAGAGAUCCGGAGGACCACAACUGCGCCAGCUCAUCUAUCAACGGUCGAAGACAAACAUCUAUAUUCCGCCCCGGGCUGCUUGGACCGGGUAUGACAGUAGAUAGAAACAUGAACUCCGGCCUCAUACACAUUCCCGGUGGCAAGUUAUAAACUGUGAGAAUGACCGGCCAACAAGAAUAAGGAACAGCAAAUGACCCAAAUGGGUUGAACCCGUCUGUACACAACACAAGUCGGACAUUCCUUGAUUCAGCAGAAAAGUCAGGAUGCACACUGUUAAAGCGUUUCCACGCUUCGCUAUCAGAAGGAUGCACCAUCACACCAUUAACGACAUCGUGUGUUUUGUUGCAACCCAAUUUUUGACCCAUGUUUUUGAUAUAUUUUCAAAAAAUCCAAAAAAUAGAGAAAAAUAAUGAAAAUCCAAAAAAUAUGUUUUUUAAUAUAUUCUCGUCAUUUUAGCAUUUUCAGCGUCGUUAAAAUUUUUUUUAAUUUUUCAAACGCGUUCGACUUUUCACGCGUCGUUUUUAAAAUCAUUGAUUUUCCUCAUCGAGUCGACGUUGAUAUUGCUCCUUUUCAAAACAUACAAAAAAACAAGAAAAAUGAAAUUUUACAAUAAAAGAAAGUUAAGGGACCAAUUUUGAAAGCUUGGCAAUAUUUUUUGCCUAUAAAUACUGGUUUCCAACACUUGCAAGAGGGGGGGGGCAAUUUUGAUACAUGGGGGCAAUUUUGACAGAUUCAGAAAAAAUACAAAAAAUCCCUAACCCUAAGCCCUUCUUUUUUUCAGGGGGUGCAGGCCCCUCCCUUUCUUUUUUUCUCUGAAAAACACCGCCGCCCCCAUCUUUUCUUCAUCGGAGCCCCACAUUUGAACCCGACCGGUCCAACCAUCUCCUUCUCCUUUAGAAACCAAAAGCCAGCAGCCGUCUCCCUCCCGCUGGCCAUUUAUUUUUCUCCCCCCGGCCACCUCACUCUCUCAUCUUCUCUACAACCGACCCCCCCUUUUUGAUUUUCGGUUUCUUCUCCCUUCAGCCGGUCAAGUCUCACUCUCCAUUUCCCUCUUCCCCGGUUCUCCUCCCUCAAUAGCAACGGCGAAGCAACGCCGUCCACCACGACAGCGCCGAUCCGCUCCUCUAAGCCCUCAACAGGGCCUUCUCCUCCCUCAGUAGACGACCCACAGCCACGGACAACAGCGCCGCCGAUCCGCAACCAGCAAGGAAGAAGCUGAGAUAUACGGCGCCCACAAACCCACCUCCAGUAGCAGCCCGACGCAGCGGCGCCCACUGCCAUCCUCGCCCGAACCGGCACCGGCCGCUGCACACACACAACCGAAGCACAGCCGCCAGCCGCACCUUGGGCAUGCGAUCUGCUACCUGAAACAGAGAAGAAGAAGACGACCGAAGGGGACCGAGCUGUUUUGGAAGCAGAUUCAAAAGACCCGAACGAACCAGAUUUGAGGAGGAAGAAAAAAACUAAAUCGACUGCUUUGUUGCGUUUUCUGUUGUUAUUGCAGGUCACCUCCGGCGAGGAAGGGAAUAGGGGAGGAGGCUGUUACAGACCCCCCUGUUUUCCGGUCGUUUUCACGGCGGCGCGUGAACCCACGCGCCGCCAGUGGUGGUGGCGCAUGAAGGAGACGCGCCGCCAGUGUUUUUGUGGUCUAGAAGCCUUCCAGCAGUUUCCUAGAUUUUUAGGGCUGUUAUGUAAUUUAUUUGUGUAAUGUAUUUUCUGUAAUUUUGAAUUUUUAUUAUUUUUAUUUUUGUGGAUGUAAAGAAAAGAAAAGGAAAAGAAAAGAAAAGAAACAAAAUAGUGAAAGUGAAUGUGUGUUUGUUUUUUAUUUAUGUUAUUGAAUUAUAAAAUAAAAAAGUACAAAAAGAAUUAAUUGUUAAUUUAAAUAUGGUUAAAUAUCUCAAGGACAAAUAAAAUCAAGUUGUAUUUUCCACGAAAAUGUAAGGACAAGUUUCUACACAUAUUCGGGGAUUUAAUAACUGAUUUAUUCAAGCCUUAGAAUUUAAUUAAUAUUGACAAAAGAAUUAAUUGUUAAUUUAAAUAUGGUUAAAUAUCUCAAGGCAAAUAAAAUCAAGUUGUUUUCCACGAAAAUGUAAGGACAAGUUUCUACAUAUAUUCGGGGAUUUAAUAACUGAUUUAUUCAAGCCUUAGAAUUUAAUUAAUAUUUUAAAUUUUCAAAUCACAUUAGAACACAAAGCAGCUUACCUCAGGUAGGGUGUGUUAGGGGUGCUAAUACCUUCCCUAACCACAACCAGUCCCUUACCUGCGAUCUCUGACAAGACCAGUACAUAUGGUUUCCUAGUAGCCCUCAAUGAAUUACUAGGUGGCGACUCCAACAAACGAAUUCAAAGCAAAAACAACAAACGAUGAAAAAUCGCCAGCCGAUGCCGCGCGCGCCAGGAUUUUUUGGGGUGCGACAGAAUGGCGACUCCGCUGGGGACAGGUAUUGUUUUCAACUUUAUCGGACUAAGCUUUGUGUUUUGAUGUGUUUAAGUUUUUUUUGUACUUUGUUUUAUUUUAUUUGUGUUUUAUUCAUGCAUUGUAUAUAAUUCUCUCAUGCAUCACAAGUUUUAAUUUUUGAAAGCACACACCACUUUAGGUUAGGUGGGGACUAGCAGCUUACCUUACGUUGAGUCAAGGUUUAAGUUUGUGUAAACCCCAAUCUUUGUUGAGUGCUUAGACUGGUAAUAGUUGGACACGUGCCAACCAUUACCUACUGGGCCCCUAUAUUGCCUUUACGAGGGCGAUCACUGGGACAACAAGAGACCCUUUUAGAGACCAAGUAGCAAACCUACCCUGUCUCACGUAAAAUGAAUAAAGCCUGUCUUUAGGAUGUAUGUGCUAUUGUUUUGCAUCCGAGCAAACCCUUCUUGAAGCAUCUUGAACUCAAGACUUGUGGGUGACACAUUGGUCGUCACUCGAAAAUUUUCAUUGUAGACUUUGGGCAAAACAUCACGAUUCUUGUUCCAUCAUACAAGAGUUACGACCUAUUGUCACCCUCGAAGGGUGAGUUCGUCAUAUAGAUUUACAUAACAUGUGUACCGGGUUGAAAGGUAGGUCCCCCGUACAAGUUGUGCUGCACGUGAUUAAGAAAGAUGAGGAAGUGAAAAAGAUUCAGAUAGAGGCUCAUUAUCAGUUUGGUUGAGAGCAUCAAAGGUGAAGUAGCUGGACUCAGAUCUGCUCGAACAAGUUGAGCAUCAAAUGGAAAGAGAGUGUCUGCAUAGUCUUCUGUGGGAACACUACUUGUUCAUGUCCAAUUGAAGCUGUACCUCUCCUUUUCCGUCAUAAACAACAGCAACAAUGCCUUCAGUCAUCAACUAAUGACAACCCUGGUUCUUGUCUAGUUGCACUGUUAAAUGUUCAUUGCCUCCACAUCAUCUAAUGGAACCAAACGACUAUUAGCCUCCUGUACAUGUGCAUUAGUCUGCUUUGAAGUUACCCCAAUUAUGAGCUCAAUUCCAGUUCAACAGCACAAGAUGUUGGUCCGAAAAACCAUGAUCAGACACUGAACUUCUACGCGGUAAAGCUCUCUCUGUAGAGAUUUAUUUGUGGAUCUGCCAAUAGGAAAUGGAAAAGGGGAUGUAUUAAUUUCAUAUGCUUUGAAAUUUUUUCCCACCAGUGGCACGAGCAAAACAUUGUAGUAGGCAGAAGAGUUAGGCCUAGUCUGAAAAUAUGAGCAGUAGUCGAACUUCAACAUGGCAGAGCUCUUUCUACAAAAAUCUGUUUAUGAUGCUGCAAGUUGAGAGUGCAAGAGGGGAUUUACUAAUUGCAUAUGCUACAAAUAUUUUUCUCAUCAGUUUCAGCACGAAGAAACUGUAGCAGGUUAAAGAGCCAGACUUGGUUUGAAAAAUAUGAGCAGACAUGAAACUUCAACGUAGCAGAGCUCUCCCGGCAGGAAUCUGUUUGUGGAUCCGCAAGUGGGAAAUCCAAGAAGGAAUACAACAGUUUCAGAUCAUUUAUGAUUUUUCUCCAACAGUGUCAGUAUUAAAACGCAAAAGUAGAGAGAAGAGACAUGCCUAGACUGAAAAAACAUGAAGAAUACUGAAACUUCAACAGAGCAGGACUUCCUCUAUAGGUGUUUGUUUGCUGCACUGUCAGUUGAGAAAUCGAAGAGGGGACAAAGGAGUUUUAGAUUCAUCAGGUGCUCUUCCAAUAGAGACAAUGUGUGAUUCCACACGUCGGUAGUGGCGAUACUACAAGUUUCUGGGCGCUGCCAAGAUUACCAAGCUGUUGGAAAGUUUUCUAACAAUCCUCAACCAACCACAACAACAUUGGAAGAUUGAAAUGAUGUUGUGAGGAUUUGCCGAAGAAUUGAACAAGCUAUGAAGAGAGGAAAGAUUGAAGGAUCUGCCAUGGAUUCCAGAACAAUGAUGAGAGGUGAAUCAGGAGAUGACUUUGACGGUGUGAACCCUUAAUUAUGUUGUAUAGCCAGGUCUCACGGUAGAAUCAAUUGCUCAAAUGUCUUUGCCAAGAUGGGACAUUCCUCUGCCACUUAAGUUUGUCGACCAGCAUCUGCCAGAUUCCAGAAUUUUGCUUGACUCCGACAAAUCCCAUGCAACCACCAAUUUCUAGGUGGUAUAAUCAGAUAAGAGAUGUGAUGUCAUGGGGUCCUCAACCAUUUCAAGUGAACAGUUUCAAGAAUUGCAAGAAUUGAGUCUGAAAGUUGGUGAACAAGGGAUAAGUGGAGUCUGUGAAGGAUGGUGUCAUUGACUAUAUUGUUCCCCGAACAUCUUCAGAAUGACAUGAUCGAAAGUGCUUGGCAAAACGUCAAUAUUGCCAGAAAAGUUGAUUCAAGAAUGGUGAUGAAAUGUCAAUCAUAUUGUUAUGGAAUUCUGCAUUUUGUUUUGAGAUCACAUCUUAUCCUUCAACGAAACAUGCCUUGCUUUUGUCUUUGUUGUUUUGAAAUCCAAAGAUGUUUAGCAUUUCGUUCUGACAAAAUAUUUUGAUCAAACUCCAACAUGCGAUAAAGGUUAAUCAAUCCUGAAGAUUAAAAGUGUUUUGAUUGCAGAAAUGACUCGAUUCUUGUUGAAAUGACAUGAGGUGACCAAACAAAUUUUGAGCUCACACAUAAACUGAACCACACAUCAUAUAGCUAAGUUUUAACAGUAUGCAUAAUGACAUGUAGUGGAUUCGGUAGUUAUGGAAUCGUGAAUCAGUGACUCUUACAAGUCCAAAUCAUUACACUGGAUAAGGUCAAAAUUUAUCGGUUUUAACUGACCUUGCUUGAAAUGAGAAAAGGCCAUCUUUGUUAUCCUUUCACUUUCUAAAAUUAUAUCCUUGCAGUCCCAUUUUGAGCUGUAUAGAAUAUUCUUUUCAUAAAAACCCUGACUAGGAUCACACCCCACACUGGGGGCAAAUGAGAGAUAUUUUGAAGACAUUGAUGUAAUUAAUGGAUAAAGGAGAAGGCUUAGAACAAAAGUCUAAUGAUUGAGAGAGUGCGAGAAGAAAACACAUAGACUGGGGGCAUAUAAGAAAAAUUUGAGGAAGGCUACGAGAAAAAGAAGAAGAAGAAGUUGAAAUUGCCUUCAUUUAAAGACAUGUCAAAGAUAAAGGAAGGAGAACGUUAUCAAGUCUAUGAAGAGAAAAAGAAAUUUCAAUCAAGGAAAGGCACGACAAAAGUCAAUACCAGAAAAAAGACUAAGUUAUAAACGUGACUUUUGGUAUCCAUUAUAAAGCCUCUAAUGUCUUCAAAAUUAGAUUAGUUAUUCAUCAAGGAAAGAGGAAUUUGCAUUAUGACUUAUGUUAAGAAAAGUCUGAACUUUGAGGUUAACAAGGUUAUAGGUCGUUUCCUCUACAAAGACAACAAUAGAAAAGAGUUGAUGAAUAAUUGAUGUUGAUCCUAGGUUUUUGAAACCCUCAAACACCUUUUGAGCCUUUGAAUUCUUUUUCAUAGCCAUGAACCAUAGCCUGCAUUACGUGCUUUUAAAAGCCCUUUUUAAUCAAGCAAGCAAUUUGAACCGAUAAAUGCGCUCUCAAAACUUGAAGAGCUUUUCCAUAAGGGUCGUGACUUCAUGAAUUAAGCUACUGGUUAUUAUGCAUGCUGAUAAAAUAAAUAUGAGAAAAGAAACAACCUUUCUUGAUAAAGCCUGAGCAUUUGUUUUGAAAUUUAAAAAUAUCACCUCAUCACAGACCAUCAAAAGAUAUACCCAAAAUCAGAGUUUAAAGUGGAUAGAAAGAACCAUGGGAAAAACCAUUUUAAUCUUACAACGGGUCGAAUUUUGUUUUCAAAAUACAAGACAAUCAAAGGUCUGCAUUGAAUAAUGUGUUGGGUCUUUGACCAAAGAAGUUUGAAUUUCAAAAGAAAAAAAUAAUUUCAAAAAUAGACAUCUCUCUAAUUUCAUUUCAACAAUUAGACUUGAAUAGACAUGACCUUUGAAGUAUGAGAUUUGAUUCUAGAACAAUAAAGAUUGUCAAACAAAGAAGAACAUUUAUUGAGUUUGUGGAAUCCUUGACAUGAAAUGACAUCAACUCUUCUCAAAACUCCUUGAAAGGUUGACCACUUGGGGGCAAUUCAGUGGACUUUAAGAAGGAAAACAAAUAGCAUCCGGAUCAGCUGGGGGCAAAGAAAGAAUCAGAUGAUGAGUCAUCAAAGUCCCGGAAAGUUAUGUUUAACGUCUGACAAUGACAAAGAAAAACCUUCUUGAGUAUAAACUGAUGAACGAGCAUUCAUAUCAUAUUAGGGGCAAUGUUGUUCAAAGACAAUCCAUGAUCUAGUGCACUUCAGCAGCAAUUGAUGAGUAACGCUGCACUAGAAGGAUAUUUUCAUAUCUUCAUCUUGGUUUAUCAUCUUCAACAUGGCUAUGACUUUUGAUCGAUGUUAUCACAUAGUUGCAUGUGAACGAAUGCUGGAAGGAUGCACCCACCAAGACUGACUGUGGGACCAUUUGUUUUGAAGCUCAAAUGCACACUUCAUCGCAUGAAUAUGGGUGAUAAAAUGGAUCAUUGAUGAUGCCAACAUAUUUCUUUUCACGAUCUGAUUUGACAAGCUGAAAGGAAUCCACAGAGAAGAACAUCGAACUUACAAUGAUAAGCUUUUUAUUGCAAAGCAUGAUAUCCAUGUCUAGAUGACUUGGCUGUUCCAUAAAGGUUGGUGACCACAUAUACUUGAAUGGUGUUUCAGCCGAAGGCAAGUUCAUGACCGAUUAACAAUCUUGAUGGGUGUUGGCAUGAUGCACACAAUCAAUCAGAGGAUAAUUCUCAAAAGAAGCCAAAGAGAAAAUCCUUCAUGAUGAAUCAAGCACCACACUUGGGGGCAGGGUCAAGCUUGAUGAACGAUGCAAGCAGUAAUUGUCGAAGACAGCCCGGGAUGGGCACUGCAUUUACAACUGAGUGGAUGGCUAGCACAUGAAUGAGCCAAUGCAUCGAAAGAACAAAGAAAGCUUUGGGAUGCAAACAAGGGCACCCUAUGACGAUGGACAUCAAAGAGGGGGGACCUAUUUUCAAAUCAGGUAAGGAUGCAUGCAUAUCAUCUAACCUCAAAAAAAAAAAAAACCAUUUGCACAUAUUUUUGAAUUGUUACAGGAAAAUCCUUAAUGAGGUCCAGCAAGAUGGUGGAAAGAGAAAGAAGCAUUGUGGUGAUGAUAAUAAAGAAUCGGUUUUGAUCAUGGAAUAAAAGGACGAUGGGAUGAACCUACCAUUAGGAAAAUCCCAAAGAAAUGAAAGAUCAACCUUGCAAUCGGGAAGCCUCGAGUUUUCAACCCUUGCAGUCAGGAAACACCGAGUUUUCAAACCCUAUGAUCGGGAAUUAUCAGGAAGCACCAAGUUUUCCAGCCCUUCUUCUGUCAUCCCCUCAGGACUUCGCCAGGUAAGUCCUAUUUUUCAUACUUGUCAUAUCAUAUUCUUUCCAUCUGGGUAGGUCGCCCAUCAUAAUAAGACCGUUUUUCACAUUUUUUCCAUCCGGGUAGGUCGCCUAUGACAAUGAGACCGCACUUCAUCAUAUUUUUUCCAUCCGGGUAGGUCGCCUAUGACAAUGAGACCGCACUUCAUCAUAUUUUUUCCAUUUGGGUAGGUCACCCAUUACAAUGAGACCCCACUUCAUAUUUUUUCCAUUUUGGGUAGGUCACCCAUUACAAUGAGACUGCACUUCACAUUCUUUCUAUUUGGGUAGGUCGCCUAUCACAACGAGACUACUUUUUCAUAUUUUUUCCAUCCGGGUAGGUCACCCAUGACAAUGAGACUGCACUUCAUCAUAUUUUUUCCAUCUGGGUAGGUCACCCAUUACAAUGAGACCACACUUCAUAUUUUUUUCUUUUUUUGGGUAGGUCACCCAUUAUAAUAAGACCGCACUUCAUAUUCUUUCCACCUGGGUAGGUCACCCAUUACAAUGAGACCGUUUUUUACACAUUCUUUUGUUUUGGUUAAAUGAGAUCGCCAGAUGGGAUCUCAUGUAGCUUUGGUUAAAGGGAAUCGCCAGAUGGGAUUUCAGGUUAACCGAGUUACAUAUAUUUUCGUUCCAGUUGAAUGAGGUCGCUAGAUGGAAUCUCAUGUAGCUUUGGUUAAAGGGAAUCGCCAGAUGGGAUUUCAGGUUAACCGAGUUACACAUAUUUUCGUUCCAGUUGAAUGAGGUCGCCAGAUGGGAUCUCAUGUAGCUUUGGUUAAAGGGAAUUGCCAGAUGGGAUUUCAGGUUAACCGAGUUACACACAUUUCUAGUUACAGUUGAAUGAGGUCGCCAGAUGGGAUCUCAUGUAGCUUUGGUUAAAGGGAAUCGCCAGAUGGGAUUUCAGUUUAACCGAGCUACACACCAACUUUUGUUCUUGUUAGAUCGCCAGAUGGGAUCUCAGGUAAACCCAAUUAAAAGGGCAGGUCGCCCGUGAAAAUAGACCAGUGUGAGAGUGUGGGCCGGUCGCCCGUGAAAAUAGACUAGAGUGAGUAUGUGUGGGCAGGUCGCCCGUGAAAAUAGACCAGAGUGAGUAUGAGUGGGCAGGUCGCCCGUGAAAAUAGACCAGUGUGAGAGUGUGGGUCGGUCGCCCAUGAAAAUAGACCAGAGUGAGUAUGGGUGGGCAGGUCGCCCGUGAAAAUAGACCAGUGUGAGUGUGUAGGCAGGUCGCCCAAGGUAAUGAAAUCAUUUUUCUUUUGUUUUCUUUACAAAGCUUACUAUGCAAAACAUUGAGGAUUUUUGCUUCGUAAGCAUUGUAAAGAGGGGGCAUCUGUUGCUACCCAAUUUUUGACCCAUGUUUUUGAUAUAUUUUAAAAAAAAUCCAAAAAAUAGAGAAAAACAAUGAAAAUCCAAAAAAUAUGUUUUUUAAUAUAUUCUCGUCAUUUUAGCAAUUUCAGCGUCGUCUAAAAAAAAAUUUAAUUUUUCAAAAGAUUUUCAAACGCGUUCGACUUUUCACGCGUCGUUUUUAAAAUCAUUGAUUUUCCUCAUCGAGUCGACGUUGAUAUUGCUCCUUUUCAAAAAAUACAAAAAAACAAGAAAAAUGAAAUUUUACUAUAAAAGAAAGUUAAGGGACCAAUUUUGAAAGCUUGGCAAUAUUUUUUGCCUAUAAAUACUGGUUUCCAACACUUGCAAGAGGGGGGGCAAUUUUGAUACAUGGGGGCAAUUUUGAUAGAUUCAGAAAAAAUACAAAAAAUCCCUAACCCUAAAACCUUCUUUUUUUCAGGGGGUGCAGCCCCCUCCCUUUCUUUUUUUCUCUAAAAAAAACUGCCACCCCCAUCUUUUCUUCAUCGGAGCCCCACAUUUGAACCCGGCCGGUCCAACCAUCUCCUUCUCCCUUUGAAACCAAAAGCCAGCAGCCGUCUCCCUCCCGCUGGCCAUUUAUUUUUCUCCCCCCGGCCACCUCACUCUCUCAUCUUCUCUGCAGCCGACCCCCCCUUUUUGAUUUUCGGUUUCUUCUCCCUUCAGCCGGUCAAGUCUCACUCUCCAUUUCCCUCUUCCCCGGUUCUCCUCCCUCAAUAGCAACGGCGAAGCAACGCCGUCCAUCACGACAGCGCCGAUCCGCUCCUCUAAGCCCUCGACAACGCCUUCUCCUCCCUCAGCAGACGACCCACAGCCACGGACAACAGCGCCGCCGAUCCGCAACCAGCAAGGAAGAAGCUGAGAUAUACGGCGCCCACAAACCCACCUCCAGUAGCAGCCCGACGCAGCGGCGCCCACUGCCAUCCUCGCCCGAACCGGCACCGGCCGCUGCACAGACACAACCGAAGCACAGCCGCCGGCCGCACCUUGGGCAUGCGAUCUGCUACCUGAAAACAGAGAAGAAGAAGACGGCCGAAGGGGACUGAGCUGCUUUGGAAGCAGAUUCAAAAGACCCGAACGAACCAGAUCUGAGGAGGAAGAAAAAAACUAAAUCGACUGCUUUGUUGCGUUUUCUGUUGUUAUUGCAGGUCACCUCAGGCGAGGAAGGGAAUAGGGGAGGAGGCUGUUACAGACCCCCCUGUUUUCCGGUCGUUUUCAAGGCGGCGCGUGAACCCACGUGCCGCCAGUGGUGGCGGCGCGUGGAGGAGACGCGCCACCAGUGUUUUUGUGGUCCAGAAGCCUUCCCAGCAGUUUCCUAGAUUUUUUAGGGGCUAUUAUGUAAUUUUUUAUUUGUGUAAUGUAUUUUCUGUAAUUUUGAAUUUUUAUUAUUUUUAUUUUUGUGGAUGUAAAAGAAAAGAAAAGGAAAAGAAAAGAAAAGAAACAAAAAUAGUGAAAGUGAAUGUGUGUUUGUAUUUUUAUUUAUGUUAUUGAAUUAUAAAAAUAAAAAAAGUACAAAAAGAAUUAAUUGUUAAUUUAAAUAUGGUUAAAUAUCUCAAGGACAAAUAAAAUCAAGUUGUAUUUUCCACGAAAAUGUAAGGACAAGUUUCUACACAUAUUCGGGGAUUUAAUAACUGAUUUAUUCAAGCCUUAGAAUUUAAUUAAUAUUGACAAAAAGAAUUAAUUGUUAAUUUAAAUAUGGUUAAAUAUCUCAAGGGCAAAUAAAAUCAAGUUGUAUUUUCCACGAAAAUGUAAGGACAAGUUUCUACAUAUAUUCGGGGAUUUAAUAACUGAUUUAUUCAAGCCUUAGAAUUUAAUUAAUAUUUUAAAUUUUCAAAUCACAUUAGAACACAAAGCAGCUUACCUCAGGUAGGGUGUGUUAGGGGUGCUAAUACCUUCCCUAACCACAACCAGUCCCUUACCCGCGAUCUCUGACAAGACCAGUACAUAAGGUUUCAUUACAACAUCUCCAUGUGCAUACCAACACUCGUAAUCCUCCACAAACCCUUUGUGUAGAAGAUGCAUCAUUACAACAUCUGGAUGCAUAUACUUUUUAUUUUGACACUUCCUGUAUGGACACCUAAUACCGCCUCCGUAAAAUUUAUGGGAAUAGAUGUUGCGAAAUUAAUAAAACCCUGAACCCCGUUACAAUAAUCCAUCCUCCGCAAUCCUUGGGGUGAAUCUAGAUACAUCCAUGAACGAUCAUCCAUGACUUUUAUCGAACCACUAUAAAAAGGACCCAUUAAGCAAGCUCUUAAUUAUUUCAAAACAUAACAUGUAAUUCGGUAAUUCUACAAAUUAAGUUUUAACAAUUUACAAACAAAUACAAUCUUACAAAAUCUAAAACAAACCAUAACAAGUAUAAAAUUAUACAUUCAUAUACUACAAGUUUGUUUGAGAAAUAACAAUAAAACAUGUACUUCUACUAAAAAAACAAUAAAAUUGACAUUUAAAUGUUAAAAUUUUAAAAGAUAGAAUUACUUACAAAAAAUGAUAAAAUCCAUCGGUAAAUCAGAACACGGAUGCUGUGACCACAAAACUUCAAGAAAUACAACUUGUUGUGCUAAGAUGAGGAAGAUUUUUGUUUUGGGGCGAGGGGGGGGCUGGUUAUUUGCAGAUGGGGAGGGUUAGGAUUAGGAAGAAGAAGGAGAAAUGGGGGAGGAGAGUGUCGGCAGAGUGGCCAUAUAUUCACUUUUGCCGACGGACUUACCGACGGUUUUAUUCCGUCGGUGAAUACGUCGGCGAAACCAUCGGUAAUUCGGACGGGCAAUCGACACGUCACCGCACGGACCUGCUAUUCAAAUCCCUCGGUGAUUCCAUCGGUAUUUUUAACGGUGCACCGGUCAUGUCACCGGUACGGAUCUGACAUUUCAAAUCCGUCGGUGAUUCCGUCGGUAUUAUUGACGGUGAACAGGUCCCAUCACGCGUACGGCUCCCCGAUUUUCAUUCCGUUAGAAAAAUCACCCGCCAAAACCUCCGCGCCACCUACCCGCCCUUUUUUCAUUAAUUCUGAAUUUUCUGUCGGUAAUUCGGUUGGUACUUACCGACGGAUAUAGUCCGUCGGUGAUUUCGACCGAAAAAUACCGACAGAAAAAAUUCUGUCGGUGAGUCCGUUGGUAUUGAGCGAAUAUCUGGUAGUGAUCAAAAUUUAGUUAGUACACAGAACCUUUUAAAUUGCAAACUUUCAAACAAUGUCCAAGCAUAAUUAAAUCAUUAAAACACCAAUAUUUACACAAUUUGUUUCCUUCCAUCAUUUCACAUUCAACCCACAUAAUCCCAUAUCUAGAAAUUCAAUUCAUCAAGAAUCACAAUCAUGAUCAAACAUAAUUUCAUCAUCAUACUAUUCAAGUUUAAGCAUCACAUUAUCUUUCUAUCCUCAAAACCACACAAUUUAGCCAAAAUUACACAUUUACACCAUUCCAACAUAUUGCAGCAAUAACUAACUACCUAGCGAUCCAUAUCACAACAUUCCAUUUCGACCCCAAGCAUUCCCAACAUCAUUUUAAAAUAUCAAAAUCACAUAAUUUAAUCAAGCUUCCACAUUUCCCCAAAAUCCCUACCAUGUCUGCCCACUCAUGGUCCCAAAUUUCAAAACUUUAGUUUUUAAUAUCUUUAAUUUAAUCCUUAGCCAUGUUAUCUAACCCAAAAUUAACCAAUAACUAUACUAUGUCACCUUUCCAAAUACAAACACACAUAAAUCCUAAAUUUCUAAAUUUGGGGAUUUCCAGUCCCCAUAAAAAUUAACAAAAGAAAGUGCAUUUAGAGCAAUAGAAACAUCUUGCCACAAUCAAUUAACCCAAUUUGUUAAUCCCUUUGCAAGAAAUCCCAAGAUGUUCUUUAUUACAUCUCAAAUCUUCUUCUUGUUCCUUAGUUUUAUAUUUUUGUUUUGUUGUCCUUAAACUCUUACAACACUAGUUUUUUAUUCCAACAAAAAACACUAACAUCAACUGAUACAAUUUUUUAUUUCCAAUUCUUUCAAGUUUCUUUUUUUUUUACCGUUAACUUUGUUUCUUGUUUGGCUGCUACGGAAAGAAGAGAAGAAAGAUUGUAAAUCCAUUGUUUAGAAGUCGAAACAAAAUAAAUUUCAGAAUCAUAGGAAUUUAAUACUUCAAGAAGGAGGUUAUCUUUCUGAAAUCGAAUUCCUAUUCCAAAUGGAAAAGGGAUGCUAAUAUUUCCACAAGUUUAUGUAGUAUUAGGUGUUGGGAUGUGACACGACCAAAAGCUUGAUGUCUUUUCCCAAGUGCAGGAGUAUCGAAGUAAUAAAUAACCCGGCAAGACCGGGGUCGAACUACAGAGAGGUUAAUUGUAUAAAUUAUAAAUAACAACACAACAACAACAAUAACAACAAUAACAACAAUAAUAAUUAUAAUACUCAGUACGUGGCAUUGUUAUACCUGAGAAUGAUCGAAAAGAUCGGGUCACAGGUUUCCAGCCUAUAUACUGAGUUUAAGAAAAGAUCAAAGAUAUAUAUUAUAUAAUAUAAACAGAAUAUAAAUAAUAAUAAUAAUAAUAAUAAAAGUGGAAGAUGAAGAAAUUAAUGAGAACUUUGAGAUGAAAGAUUAACGUAAGGAUUAAACAAUGAUAAAAACAAAUGUCAAGGUUAGAGGAUCCACUAAUGGUACUUCAAACAAGUAUAGUAUAAACUCUUAUUACUUAGUUGGAAACCACACAUAAAGGAGGUUCCAAUCAGAUUAUAAAUUGUUAACAUGAUUACAUUAGUUAUCUUAUUCGAAUAAAGCUAAUACUUGUAAAUGUUGGCAGGCAUUCAUGAUUAUAACUUAUGUUAACAACAAAUCAAGUUCCUUUCAUAGCUCAGGUGUCGGUUAAACCAUACAGUAUGGGCUAUGAAAGUGCCAAGUAUUUGUUGUACCAAGUGUUACAACAUAAAUAGAUUAACCAUUUAACAAGCAAAGUAUUAAAGUGAACAAGAUAACAAAUAUAAAACAUGUUAGUAUCCAACGUUAAGGUCCAUGUUAAGUUUAUAUUAUACUUGUUCUUACACCAUUAGUGUACCCUUUUCACCUUGACAUAAUUAACUUAGCUAACAUAAUAAAAGAAAGAAACAUAAAUGACAAAGAAGAACAUAAAUGAGAAAGAAGUUAACUAGUAAAGGAAAGGAAAUGAAGUGCAUAAACUUGAUAUUAAUGAAAGCAAGACAUAAGCAAUACAAAGAGAGAAAGCAAGAGCAUGAUCUUGAUCUGAACACCAAGAUGCCUCAAUACAUGGUAAGUGCCUCCUUUUAUAGGCCAAAAUUUGGAACUAUUGAUUUGUUGACUAAUUGAUGAGUGGGUGGCCACAUCUUGACUAGAUAACAAUCCUUAUCUUCUUGUCUGAUCAAGACGUCAUUGCUAACAUCAUAAUUUGCCCAGAAUCCUCAAGAAUGUUCUAGGAAAUUGUCUCAGCUUUCCAACAAAAAAAAGAUGAGGUCAUUUGGACUUCUAGAACUCAAGAUAUGGGCUGAACACUAAAUAGUGUUUGGGCUGCAGGACAGCUUCGGACUUCUUCGUUGUUCCUUCAAUUUGGACUUCAAAACGACCUUUUCAAAUCUUGGGCUCCUCAUGAAAGUUGUAGGCUUUUGUCUUUUACCUUUCCAUCCAUAAAAUGGACCUAAAUCCGAAAUCUAGAGCUCCAGAUAUGAUCCAAUUACCGAGCAAUGUUCCGGUUUGGACUGCACCGACAUCUCUUUUCUAAGUUUGGCCAUCUCUUUGUCCUUUAACUUUCAAUGCUUAAACUCAUCAAUCAAUCCUUUUAUUUAUGUGAUAGUCCUGCAUUUAAAAUGAGCAUUUACCAUAAAUUAAGGUAUCUUAUAAUAUCAAACUUGUUAUUAUAAAACAUGCUUUAGUUAAGGAGUUAUUGAUACUUCAAGUGCAAAAUGAUGAUAUAAAACCUUGAUAAACAUGCACUUUUAAGUACUAAUCACACCCCCCAACCAGCUUAUUACUAGUCCCUAGUAAUCUAAAGCGUUAAAAUAGAGAAACAAUUUGCAAGUUCCACAAAGCAAGGCAUUCAUCAUUCAACUUCCAUUAAUCUAUCCAGUUAAACAAACUCUCAUUAAAUUUAUAUUCCUGCUUCAUACUUCUUAAACAAGAUAUUAAUAAACCUUCUUUUUGUGUGCUCAAUGAAAACAUAGAUGAUGGGGCUUUUGUUGGAAGAAAACAAUAUUAUGUUCAAAUGUUUAAGGUGAACUUCCUUGGGUUGGGAUAAUUUUUUUUUUCUUUUUAUUUAUAUACACAUACAACUUAAAACACAAUGUAUCUUUAACCCAUGUAACGAGUUUGAGGCUAAUGACUCCCAGACCAGUUGGUCUUAGGGCAUUAGGUGUUGAGACACCCCUACGAGCUUAACAACUCGGGUUGCAGAUACUGAUACGUAGAUAGUGCAAUGUUUGAUUCCCUUAAGCUUUUCUCCUUAACCCAUGUAACAAGCUUUGGGCUAAUAGCUCCCAAGUCAGUUGACUUUAGGGUAUUAGGUGUUAAAACACCCCUUCGGGCUUAAUUGCUUAGGUUAGGGAGGCUACGAAACCAAACUUAUCCACGUUUUAUUAUCAUCAAUACUAUCUUCUUCUUUUUUUUUCUUUUUUUUUGCAAAUUAUAUACUAUCCUUUUCCCUUAGUUGUUACCUUCAACAAAAGAACAUAAUUAAUGUAAUAAUCCAAUGUGCAACCCAUAAUCAUAUGUUAAAGUGUGUGUGUGAAAAUGAAGGUUUAAUAAUACUUGUUAAAUGAGUAUAUAAGCAGAAUCAAGUGAUAACAAUGUGAGAGUUUGUAAACCUGAAUAUUUCAAGAAGUAUUAUGAUAGACCUUGGUAAUGAAACUUACUAAGAUGAGUCUCUAGAGUCAAUAAAAUUGAUUCCAUACUCUGCCAUCCUAAUAACAAUUUUGUCAAAUGGUUUUAAUAAUAGCAAAAACAGUUAGCAAGUUAGUUUUUUUUUUUUUUUUUUUAAAGUACUACCCUCUCCCCCCAACCAAAACGAACAUUGUCCUCAAUGUUCGAAGGUAGAAAGAUAGAGUAUAGAAGACAUCACCUGAAACAGCGAACAAUGACAAACCUGAAACACACUUAAACAAACAUAAGAAGUAACAAAACAAAAUAAUAUGCUAUUAAUAAAACCAAAAGACACAAGGUUUCACAGAUGAAGGCUCAAAUCUAAUCUAAGCUUUUUACGGCUUUCCUUAGUUGACCAAUCUAGGCGACUCAUGCAGGGAUCAAUGACAGGGAUGAAAGAUUGUAGUUGGUCAAUCAAUUGUUCAGCAGUAGCAGCAGAGAUUAUGAUUGUCGUGCCGAAGAUGUUAGAAAUUCUUGUUCACAGCUUAUCAAGGAAAGACAACAACUUAUCAUAAAAACCAUUAACAUUUAACAAACCUAUAGGUUUAUGGUGAAUGUGCAGUUGGGCCCAAGAUGAAAUAUGAAAGAUCUCUUCCAAUGUGCCCAGACCACCUGGUAAGGCAAUGAAGGCAUCAGCAUGGUUAAACAUGGUAUUCAGUCGGUCAGACAUUGUUGGGACCUGUAGUUCUCUCCAAUUGUUUUUCCAAUGAUGUCCCCAUUUGCUAAAGCUUUGGGGACAACCCCCAAAACUUGACUGCCUCCUAAAAAUGCAGCCAUUGACACACCUCCCAUUAACCCAAGGCCUCCCCCAUACACUAAAUGAAUCUUUCUCUCAGCUAGUACCCGACCAAGAUGAUUUGCUGAUUCUAAAAACUCUUUUUCUUUCCCAGAACUGGAUCCACCGAAAACACAAAUAUUUCUUAUAUGAUGACUUGAGGAACCUGCCAUUUCUACACACUUCUAUAUUUGAUGAAUAUAUGGGAUGAGUAGAAAUGAAGGGAAGGAAGAGAAGAAUUUAUAGAUGAAAAAGUGAAAAUGCAAUCAUACCACCUAUAUGUAGGCCAGCUGUAGUCUCACAAACUCUCUCUCUCUCUCUUAUUAAUUAUUUAUUUUGAAAAAGCAUGUAUGUACAGGUAGUUGUGAUUGUGGCUCACAUCUUCCCUUGGUUUUACGUCCAAGAACGGCUUAAACGCCCUCUAUGGGUCGGGGAUAGGCUUCCCAUCCAGUUUUCUUAAAAACUGGCAAACAGGGUCUUUUUUAGUCAGAUUCCCAAGACUAAGUCGAUCAUGUUCUUUAUGGAAUUGUGGCCAUAAAUCAUGAAUUACACGAUGCACAUCUCCACUAGGAUGCGUCUCAAGGGUCAACAAAAGAUUAUCUAAAGACCCCUUACUCAGGCCAUCCUUAAUGAAUUGUAUCUUAUCUUCACGGUUUACAGAUACCAUUCCUAAAGAACGACAUGUCGCAUUACAAGUCCAUCUGGCACAUCUGUGACAGACUUUCAGUCGUUUUGCACGACGUUUCUUUGCAAAAGUGCUUUUACCUGUUCCAGGCAUGUGUGAAAUGAAAGAAUUGGAGGACUCACCUGAUAAUCGACCUUUGCUUCAAUUAGCCAAUAUCUUCAGGAAUUCCAUGAUUCAUUAACAACCUCAAUCUUGCACACCUAGCACGGUAAAUUUUAUUAAUCGCAUUUGGAGGCAAAGCGGGAAAAUACCUUUUCAACUUUUCAAGAGUGGUGUCCAUUUUCAAAAGAGAAUUAGAGAAGAGAUUCAAAGAAGGAGAAAGAGCUAAGAAUUGUACAAAUAUAUACAGAUAUCAGUUAUUUGGGAAACUGAAAGAACCGACUUAAGUCACGGAGUACCGUUAUCCGCCAUUUGACCGGGGUGAAAGAGAGACUAGCAAAACAAUAGAUACAAAAAACACAAAACAAUGUGAGAAAAAGAAUCAAUCUUUAUAUACAGGAUCACUCAAUUCAAUAGAGUCAUUUUCAACCGAAAAAUUGUCAAAAUAAACUUUCAAACGAUGCCCAUUUACCUUGAAAACAUUGCCAUUCUUUGGAUUCUCAAUAUCACAGGCCCCAUAUGGAUACACAUGUUUCACAAUAAAAGGACCGCUCCAUCUUGAUCUUAGUUUUCCAGGAAAUAAAUGGAGUCGAGAAUUAUAAAGCAAGACUUUUUGACCAACAUUGAAUGUUUUUCUCAGUAUUUUCUUGUCAUGAAACUCUUUAAUUCUUGCUUUAUGAAUUUUGAAUUGUCAUAUGCAUCAUUUCUUAUUUCCUCAAGCUCAUUUAUUUGCAAUUUUCGCAGCUGACUAGCAUCAUCAAGGCUUGAAUUGAAAGCUUUAAUAGCCCAAUAAGCUUUAUGUUCAAUUUCCACAGGCAAGUGACAAGGUUUUCCAUAGACUAGUCUAUAAGGUGACAUACCUAAUGAUGUUUUAUAAGCAGUUCGAUAAGCCCAAAGUGCAUCAUUAAGUCUUAAAGACCAGUCUUUCCUAUUAGGGUUCACUGUUUUCUCCAAGAUCUGUUUGAUCUCCCUAUUAGCAAGCUCUACUUGUCCACUUGUCUGAGGGUGAUAAGGGGUGGCAACUUUAUGUGUGAUUCCAUAUUUCUUCAUUAAAGACUCAAAUGGCUUGUUGCAAAAGUGUGUUCCACCGUCACUUAUCAUGGCUCGAGGGAUUCCAAAUCGACUUAAAAUGUUUUCUUUCAAAAACUUUAUCACCGUUUUGUGAUCAUUGGUUCGACUUGGAAUUGCCUCUAUCCAUUUUGAAACAUAAUCUACUGCGACCAAUAUGUACAAGAAACCAAAUGAUGGAGGAAAUGGACCCAUGAAAUCUAUACCCCAACAGUCAAAGAUCUCAAUGACAAGAAUAGGAUUUAAAGGCAUCAUGUGACGUUUCGAAAUAGAUCCCAACUUUUGACAAUUUUCACAAAUCUUACAGAAUGCAUGUGAGUCUUUGAACAUGGUGGGCCAGUAAAAUCCACUUUGUAAGAUUUUUGCAGUUGUCUUUCUUGAUGAGAAAUGACCCCCACAUGCCUCAGAAUGACAAAAUUUAAUGACACUACUUACCUCAUUGUCAGGAAUGCAUCUUCGAAAUAUUUGAUCAGGACAAUAUUUGAAUAAAUAAGGGUCAUCCCAAUAAAAGUUCUUCACUUCGUUCAAGAACUUUCUUUUGUCUUGGGUACUCCAAUGAGCUGGCAAUUGUCCUGAAACAAGAAAAUUAACAAUAUUAGCAAACCAAGGCAUCGUAGAGAAGAAAAAAAGAUUCAUCAGGAAAGUAGUCAUCGAUUGGUGUAAUGUCAGAUUUCGAAUCUAUUGUCAAUCCUGACAAAUGAUCUGCAACAACAUUUUCGGUGCCUUUCUUGUCUUUGAUUGUGAUAUCAAAUUCUUGAAGUAACAAAAUCCACCGCACCAAUCUAGCCUUAGAAUCUUUCUUAGAAAGAAGAUAUUUCAAUGCUGCAUGAUCACUAAAAACAACAACAGGUGAGCCAACAAGAUAAGAUCUGAAUUUAUCACAAGCAAAUACUACUGCAAGUAAUUCUUUUUCAGUGGUUGUGAUUGUGCAUCAAAAGUAUCAUUAAGUCUUUUAUUUUACAUAUGUAUUUAUUGUUUUUAUUUGGGUUUUUUAUAAUAAGUGAUGUGCUUUUAGUAAUGAAGUUUCUUUUAAUGUUUCGAUAGGUUUUUGGAGCUUAAAUGAAUUAUUUCAGAAAAUUCAAUGUCGGAAUUCGGAACAAAGAAUUGAAGAGAAAUUUAGUUGAAGAUUGAAGCAAAUCUUGGUUCAAAUAAGUGCUCCAAAUUUGUCCCAAAAAUCAAUUCUAUUCCAAUUCUAGAAAAGAAUAUCAUAUGAUCUAUUUCAAGCCCAAACUUGCCUUAUGUUGUGUGCAAACUUCAACCAUCAAACACUCAAGGUUUCAAUGUCAAUCUUAGCCCAAAUAAUAGGUACAUUUGUAUACUUAUUUGAUGCUUAAAUUCAGCCCCAAUUCAGCCCCAAAUCAGCCUACAAAUCAGCCCAAGCACAAUCCAUGAUCCUACAUGUCCACACAACAAAUAACAUUUGAUUUAUUUUGGGUAAUUCAUUGAUCCAAGAGGGCAAGUACAUGGAUGGAAAGCUGGAGGGAACAUUGUGACAUUAUUUUGGGUCAAAAAGAAGAAAGAGACAGCUCAUAAAGGAGGAAGAAAAACGUGCACCAAAGUGUUCUUCAAGCUGGCCUGAUUUGAUUUUCCAGAACACCUUUUGACUCAGAUUUCCAAAUGCGCGGUUCUUUAAUGAUCUGGAAAGAUAACAUAAUUUCCUAUAAAUAUGUCUCUAAUAUCCAUCUCCAGAGGAGGCUUCUAAGAGGGUCGAAUUGCUGUCCAAAGUUAGAGUCAGAUUUGUGUCCGAAUUUUUACUGAAAUUCUGUUGUGUUCUUCUUUGUAGAUUUCGGUUCUUUAGUUUGUAAAACUUAUUAUUUCAGUUUGAUUCAAGUUAUUUCAUGUUUAUUAAAGUGUUCUUAUAUAUAAUCAUGGUUGGCUAAUCUCUUUCUUGGAUCCAAAUCAAGGAUGAUGGUGAUUGAGGUGAGUUCUUUAAGAUAUGAAUGAAUCUUAAUGUUUAUCUUCUCAUUUUCUUCAUGAAUGUUUUAUUAUUGCAAAGAAAUUUUAGAAAUCAUUUAGGUAAUGUUAUAAUCUUGAAUUUUUAUGCACAAACCUUAGUUUUGGUAUAGAGAUUGCUUGAUUCAAUGUCUUACUUAAUUUGAAAGUACUUGUUCAUUCUUAAGCAAUAAUUAAUCUUCAUCCUUUUAAACUUCAUUGUAAUAUCUUCCGAUCUAAUAUCACCAUCGUUGAUAUUAGGUUGAGUUAUCUUAUAUAUGUUGAAGAAAUCACCAAUACAUCACCAUUAAAAUUGAUUUGGACCAAGACUUACUUUUUCUUGUCUUUUAAAAUCUAUUUACACUUUUUCAUUUUUGAAAACAAAUCCAUCAAUUAUUUUCAACCAAGUUAUUGUUAAUUUAAUUUCUCUUGAGUUUUUUUUGUUGUUACCUAGCUUAAUUUCCAGAUCUAGCUCUCUAUGGAUAUGACCUCGAUCUUACCGAGUUAAUUGCUACAUCGCACACUCGUGCACUUGCGAGUUAAAACAAGCCGAUCAUAAAAAGCGGUCAAGCAGUGGUGUAAUUCAUUUGAGCACUAUUUAAAGUUUUACUUGCAUAGUAAAUCACAUAAGGUUUCUUAUCUUUUCUUUGUCCCAAGACAGCACCCACGGCAUAAUCACUAGCAUCACACAUUAUUUCAAAAGGUAAUGACCAAUCAGGAGGUUGAAUGACAGGAGCAGAAGUAAGCAAGUUUUUAAGUUUAACAAAGGCUUCCUCACAAUGUUCAGUCCAUUCAAAAAUAUUAUCCUUUGUUAGAAGGUACUCAAGGCUUAGAUAUUACACUAAAAUCUUUGAUGAACCUUCUGUAAAAACCAGCAUGUCCCUAAGAAUGAUCUAACAUCCUUAACAGAUUUUGUGUUGGUAAGUUGGCAAUUAACUCGAUUUUAUAUUUAUCAACCUCAAUUCCUUUCGAUGAAACAAUGUGACCAAGUACAAUGCCGUUUGUUACCAUAAAGUGACAUUUUUCCCAAUUCAGUACAAGAUUCUUCUCUUCACACCUGCUCAAAACCUUUUCUAAGUUAGUCAAACAAUCAUCAAAUGAAUCACCAAAAACAGAAAAAUCAUCCAUAAAAAUCUCAAGAAAACGUUCAACCAUAUCACUGAAUAUGCUAAGCAUGCAUCUUUGAAACGUGGCUGGUGCAUUACAUAAUCCAAAAGGCAUCCUUCAAUAUGCAAAAGUACCAAAUGGACAUGUGAAAGUCGUCUUCUCUUGAUCUUCCAAUGCAAUUUCAAUUUGAUUGUAACCUGAAUAGCCAUCUAGGAAACAAUAAAAUUCAUGACCUACAACUCUUUCUAGGAUUUGGUCCAUGAAAGGUAAAGGGAAAUGAUCUUUUCUAGUCAUUAAAUUAAGUUUCCUAUAGUCAAUGCACAUGCGCCAACCAGUAACAGUCCUCGUUGGAAUUAACUCAUUUUUCUCAUUUGUUAUCAUAGUGACUCCAGACUUUUUGGGUACAACUUGGGUAGGACUUACCCAUUUGCUGUCAGAAAUAGGAUAAAUGAUUCCAUUAUCUAGAAGCUUAAUGACUUCAUUUUUCACUACUUCUUUCAUAUUAAGAUUAAGCCUUCGUUGCAUUUCUCUAGAGGGUUUAGCAUUUUCCUCCAAAUAAAUCCUGUGUGUGCAAAUCAAAGGGUUAAUUCCUUUUAUGUCAGCUAUGGUCCAUCCUAAUGCAUUUUUGUGCAUUUUUAGAGUCUGUAAUAACUUACCUUCUUGAUGUGCAUUAAGUUUGGAAGAGAUUAUUACCGGAAAAGUUUCAUUUUCUCCCAAAAAUGAGUAUUUGAGAUUAAAUGGUAACGGCUUCAAUUCAGGUUUUGGUGGUUGAACACUUGAAGGUAUGGGCUCAAUUGAUCGUGGUGGCAAUUCUUCAAUUUGUGGUCUCCAAUUGCAUGCCUUUGAUUCUUCCUGAAAAUAGACCAUUUGCAAAUCAUCAGAUUCAUCAAUCUCAGUUUCAAUAGAAGUGGUUUGAAAUUGAUCAUGAACUAAUUUUUCAAUAAAGUCCACUUCCUGUAAAUCAUUAUCAUCUCCAGGUUGCUUGUAAAUGUUGAAAAUAUUCAUCUCCAAUGUCAUGUCCAUUCCUGUAAUUAAUCAAUGCAUUAGAAGUGGCAAGAAAUGGACGUCCUAAAAUGACAGGAAUUGAAUUACAUGCUUCAACAGGUUGCGUGUCCAAGACAAUAAAAUCCACAGGAUAGAUGAAACGGUUUGGAAAUUAUGGUGUGCUUGAAACGGUGGCUAUGAAGUUUGUGCAUUAUUACUAUCACUCUUCCAACUGAAAUUUAGGUGAUUUCUCCAACCAGGGUUAUACGUUUGUGAGUAUGGGUUAUGGUUGGGUCUUUGGAAACUGUUUAAAGCAUGGGCUUGUUCAUGGAGGCAUUCCCUAAAAUAAGGCAAAGUUGGACAAUCAUUGGUUGCAUGCUCAUUUGUUUCACAGAUUUGACACACAAUGUCUUGAACAUAUUUUAAUUGACCACUCUUUUUCAAUUCUAGUGCCUCGACUUUUCUAGCUAAAGAUGCAAACUUAGCUUGGAGAUCAUGAUCUUCCCUAAGGUUGUGCAUACCUCCACUAGAUGUAUGAGGUUGAGUUUUACUUGGUGCCUCAUAAGUACCUGUGGUGUCCCAAUUUUGAGCAUUUUCGGCUAGCAAGUCUAGGUACUCCAUUGCUUCACCAGGGUCUUUAUCUUCAAAGGUUCCAUUGCACAUCAAUUCAACCAUUUGCCUAUCUCUAGGUGUUAAACCUUCAUAAAAAUGUGAAACCAAUCUCCAUGUUUCAAAACCAUGAUGAGGGCAAGUAUUAAGCAAAUCUCGAUACCUAUCCCAACAUUGGUAAAAUGUUUCUCCUGGUUUUUGAGUGAAAGUGAUGAUUUGUCUUUUGAAAGAGUUUGUUCUGUGAGAUGGAAAAAACUUCUUUAAAAAUUGUUGUUGCAUAUCAUCCCAAGCACGAAUGGAUCCUGGUCUCAAAUUUUGUAGCCAUGUUUUAGCUUUAUCUUUUAAUGAAAAAGGAAAAAGCUUUAAUCUAAUGGUGUUCAUGCUACAAUUUGAGUCAUUAUAGGUAUUACAGACCUCCUCAAAUUCCCUUAAAUGCAAGUAUGGAUUUUCUAGUCUAAACCAUGAAAAGAAGGUAGGAGUUGAAUAAUGCCUGGCUUAAAAUUAAAAUGAGAUGCAUCAGGAGGGAAAACUAUGCAUGAGGGUGCACUUGUUCUUGUGGGAUUCAUAUGGUCUCUAAGUGUUCUCAUACGGUUAUUCUCAUUAUUCUCAUUAUGAAGUGAUUGAUUAUCUUCUUCGGCCAUAUUUUCUGAAAAUGAUGAGGAUACCCUACAAAGUCGACCACUUAAUGUACGUGACCAAACUCUCAUGCACGUGUAGUAAGAGAAUAAAAGCAAGAAAAGAAAAGAGAAGAAAAAGAAACAAAAGAAAAGAAAUGAAGCAAAAUUAAAUAAAAUAAAAAAUGAAAAGAGAAAAUAAAAUAAGUAUUAAAAUUUAUACAAGAAUUUACCUCCCCGGCAACGACGCCAAAAACUUGACACGACCAAAAGCUUGAUGUCUUUUCCCAAGUGCAGGACUAUCGAAGUAAUAAAUAACCCGGCAAGACAUGUUAUCUAACCCAAAAUUAACCAAUAACUAUACUAUGUCACCUUUCCAAAUACAAACACACAUAAAUCCUAAAUUUCUAAAUUUGGGGAUUUUCAGUCCCCAUAAAAAUUAACAAAAGAAAGUGCAUUUAGAGCAAUAGAAACAUCUUGCCACAAUCAAUUAACCCAAUUUGUUAAUCCCUUUGCAAGAAAUCCCAAGAUGUUCUUUAGUACAUCUCAAAUCUUCUUCUUGUUCCUUAGUUUUAUAUUUUUGUUUUGUUGUCCUUAAACUCCUACAACACUAGUUUUUUAUUCCAACAAAAAACACUAACAUCAACUGACACAAUUUUUUAUUUCCAAUUCUUUCAAGUUUCUUUUUUUUUACCGUUAACUUUUUUUCUUGUUUGGCUGCUACGGAAAGAAGAGAAGAAAAGAUUGUAAAUCCAUUGUUUAGAAGUCGAAACAAAAUAAAUUUUAGAAUCAUAGGAAUUUAAUACUUCAAGAAGGAGGUUAUCUUUCUGAAAUCGAAUUCCUAUUCCAAAUGGAAAAGGGAUGCUAAUAUUUCCACAAGUUUAUGUAGUAUUAGGUGUUGGGAUGUGACACGACCAAAAGCUUGAUGUCUUUUCCCAAGUGCAGGAGUAUCGAAGUAAUAAAUAACCCGACAAGACCGGGGUCGAACCACAGAGAGGUUAAUUGUAUAAAUUAUAAAUAACAACACAACAACAACAAUAACAACAAUAACAAUAAUAAUUAUUAUAAUACUCAGUACGUGGCGUUGUUAUACUUGAGAAUGAUCGAAAAGAUCGGGUCACAGGUUUCCAGCCUAUAUACUGAGUUUAAGAAAAGAUCAAAGAUAUAUAUUAUAUAAUAUAAACAGAAUAUAAAUAAUAAUAAUAAUAAUAAUAAAAGUGGAAGAUGAAGAAAUUAAUGAGAACUUUGAGAUGAAAGAUUAACGUAAGGAUUAAACAAUGAUAAAAACAAAUGUCAAGGUUAGAGGAUCCACUAAUGGUACUUCAAACAAGUAUAGUAUAAACUCUUAUUACUUAGUUGGAAACCACACAUAAAGGAGGUUCCAAUCAGAUUAUAAAUUGUUAACAUGAUUACAUUAGUUAUCUUAUUCGAAUAAAGCUAAUACUUGUAAAUGUUGGCAGGCAUUCAUGAUUAUAACUUAUGUUAACAACAAAUCAAGUUCCUUUCAUAGCUCAGGUGUCGGUUAAACCAUACAGUAUGGGCUAUGAAAGUGCCAAGUAUUUGUUGUACCAAGUGUUAUUCAACAUAAAUAUAGACUAAUCAUUUAACAAGCAAAGUAUUAAAAGUGAACAAGAUAACAAAUAUAAAACAUGUUAGUAUCCAACGUUAAGGUCCAUGUUAAGUUUAUAUUAUACUUGUUCUUACACCAUUAGUGUACCCUUUUCACCUUGACAUAAUUAACUUAGCUAAACAUAAUGAAAGAAAGAAACAUAAAUGAACAAGAUAAGAACAUAAAUGAGAAAGAAGUUAACUAAGUAAAGGAAAGGAAAUGAAGUGCAUAAACUUUAUAUUAAUGAAAGCAAAACAUAAGCAAUACAAAGAGAGAAAGCAAGAGCAUGAUCUUGAUCUGAACACCAAGAUGCCUCAAUACAUGGUAAGUGCCUCCUUUUUAUAGGCCAAAAUUUGGAACUAUUGAUUUGUUGACUAAUUGAUGAGUGGGUGGCCACAUCUUGAAUUGAUAACAAUCCUUAUCUUCUUGUCUGAUCAAGACGUCAUUGCUAACAUCAUAAUUUGCCCAGAAUCCUCAGGAAUGUUCUAGGAAAUUGUCUCAGCUUUCCAACAAAAAAAAGAUGAGGUCAUUUGGACUUCUAGAACUCAAGAUAUGGGCUGAACACUAAAUAGUGUUUGGGCUGGAGGACAGCUUCGGACUUCUUUGUUGUUCCUUCAAUUUGGACUUCAAAACGACCUUUUCAAAUCUUGGGCUCCUCAUGAAAGUUGUAGGCCUUUGUCUUACCUUUCCAUCCAUAUAAAAUGGACCUAAAUCCGAAAUCUAGAGCUCCAGAUAUGAUCCAGUUACUGAGCAAUGUUCCGGUUUGGACUGCACCGACAUCUCUUUUCUAAGUUUGGCCAUCUCUUUGUCCUUUCACUUUCAAUACUUAAACUCAUCAAUCAAUCCUUUUAUUUAUGUGAUAGGCCUGCAUAUAAAAUGAGCAUUUACCAUAAAUUAAGGUAUCUUAUAAUAUCAAACUUGUUAUUAUAAAACAUGCUUUAGUUAAGGAGUUAUUGAUACUUCAAGUGCAAAAUGAUGAUAUAAAACCUUGAUAAACAUGCACUUUUAAGUACUAAUCAGGAUGUUUCUUUCCAACUUCCAAGCUUUGAUUAAUAAUGUAUAAAUUAUUUCUCAAAUUGAUGUUUCUGUUCAAAAUAAUGCAUCUUUAAAAUUUAUGGUCAAGUCAUUGUUUAUGUUUAGCAUCUUUUGUUUCCAUUAUGUCGAUCUUUUGCAUUGUCGAGCAGAGAAAGAUUGAUAAAAGCUAAAGCAUCAGUAUAAAGGCCAAAAGCUGAUAGCUUACGCUGCAUUUCUUGGGUCCAGUCGGAAAGUGAACAUUGAGAAGAAAUAAUGUAUAAAUUAUUUCUGAAAUUGAUGUUUCUUUCCAUAUUUUUAAUUCGAGUAGUCGUAGGGUGUUUCUUUCCAACUUCCAAGCUUCGAUUAAUAAUGUAUAAAUUCCACAAGACUAUAAAUUUAAGACUCCCAAAUUGAUGAGUGAUGGUGACUUUCGUCUAACCAAUUCAAAGACGAUUAGUCUAAAAGUAAAGAGAGGAAACAGUAGGCUGUGAACCACUCAAAUGUGUUAGAACUCAGAAUAGAGAAAUUAAAGAUAAUAGAAAGGUAGCGUGUAGACGACGAUGCUAUGAAUAAAACAGGGGAAGAUUCCACAUUCCGUCGAAAUACGCCCGUCGAAUACCUUUUGUCGGUGAUUCCACAUUCCGUCGCUAUAUUGGUCGGAAAUACCAAAAAAACAUUUACCGACGGACCGUGCGCGCCAAAAAAAAAAGUUUCCCGCUUUGAAUAUACCGAUGGAAAAUAUUCCGUCGGUGUUAUGUAAAUACCGAAGGACUAAAUCCAUCGGUAAAAGUGUCGGUGAUAUUUCAUACCGACCGAAUAUUUCCGUCCGAAACAAAAUAAAUUUCAGAAUCAUAGGAAUCUAAUACUUCAAGAAGGAGGUUAUCUUUCUGAAAUCGAAUUCCUAUUCCAAAUGGAAAAGGGAUGCUAAUAUUUCCACAAGUUUAUGUAGGAUUUGGUGUUGGGAUGUUUCUUUCCAACUUCCAAGCUUUGAUUAAUAAUGUAUAAAUUAUUUCUGUGAUAAUAAAAAAAAGAAAAAGAAAUGUUUGUGUGUGCUUGUAAUUUUUUUAUGUAUGUUAUUGAAUAAAAAAAAUGAAUUUAAUUUAUAUGCACAAAUAUCUAAAGGACAGAUAAAAAUCAUGUUGUAUUUUCCAUAAAAAUGUAGAACAUGUAUCUACAUAUAUUCUGGGAACUAAUAACUGAUUUAUCAAAGCCUUAGAAUUUGGCUAAAAUUUUAUUUUUAAAAUCACAUCAAGUCCACGAAGCUUGAAAGUAAAUAUGUGGUGUGUAUUUUGUUUAUGAAUGAUUUAUUUUUUAUGAUAAAAUUGCAAGAAUAAAGAAGAAUUUAAUAUUCUGAUUUGUUCACGGAUAAAGAAUUAUGAACUUACAUGUAAGUUGUAUUUUCUAAAAUUCGAUGAAUGAAUUGAAUUUUAAAACUUCUUUAACACAUCAAGUCCAUGAAGCAGCUUACCUCAGGUAGGGUGCGUUAGGGGUGCUAAUACCUUCCCUAAUCACAACCAGUCCCUUACCCGUGAAUCUCUGAUGAGACCAGUACACCCGGGUUUCCUAGUAGCCCUUGAUUAAAUACUAGGUGGCGACUCCAAUGAACCAAAUCAAGCAAAACAAGCAAAGAACGAGCAUAACGAGAAAAUCAAGCAAAACAAGCAAAGAACGAGCAUAACGAGAAAAAUCGCCAGCCCGAUGCCGCGCGGAUUUUCUGACGUGCGACAGAAUGGCGACUCCACUAGGGACGGUAAUGUUUUCGACAUUAUUGGACUAAGCUUUGUAUAUUUGAUGUGUUUAUGUUUUUGCAUUUUUUAAUUUUAUUUUUGUUUUAUCCAUGCAUUUUGUAGAAUUGUCUCAUGCAGCACAUGUGUUGCUACCCAAUUUUUGACCCAUGUUUUUGAUAUAUUUUCAAAAGAAAUUCAAAAAUAGAGAAAAACAAAGAAAAUCCAAAAAAAUAUGUUUUUUAAUAUAUUGUCAUCAUUUUAGCAUUUUCAACGUCAUCUAAAAACGAAUUUAAAUUUUUAAGGGUCUUUCGAACGCGUUCGACUUUUCACGCGUCAUUUUUAAAAUCAUUGAUUUUCCACAUCGAGUCGACGUUGAUAUUGCUCGUUUUCAAAAAAUACAAAAAAAUUAAGAAAAAAUCAAAUUUACAAAAAGAAAGAAAUUGAGGGACCAAUUUGAAAACCUAGCAAUAUUUUCACCUAUAAAUACUGGUUUCCUCAACACAUUCAAGGGGUGGCAAUUUUGAAAUAUCAGGAGAAUCACAACAAAACCCUAAACCUAAACUUAUCUCUACCUAAAAAAAAAAAAAGACAGCCGCCCCCCACCCUUUGUUUUUUUUCUCCAGCCGCUCACUCCCCCCUCACACAUAACAAAUCUGAACCGCCGCCCCUCUCCUCUAGUUGAUUUUUAAUUUUGUUUCUCCCUAGGCCUCUUCUCCGAAAGCCAUCAACCGUCUCCCUCCCGCUGGCCAUUUUUCCCCCCCCCGGCCACCUCACUCUCUCAUCUCUCAGCUGAUCCCUCCUUCCCUUUUUCCUACAAACACAACCGAACCAGCCCCCUCCCCCCGAUUUGAUUUUUUUUUGCUACCACAACCACCCCCUGAUUUUCAGCUCUCCAUCAUCUCCCCUGCACCACAAAGCAGCUCCAUUCCCACACAAAACCAACCAGCUCAAUCCCAGCCGACUUUUUUUUAGGGUCAUUUUUGUAAUUUCCAAAUGGUUUAAUGUAAUAUUUGUUUAGUUUUUAGUUUUUUUGAAUUUUUAUUAUGAAAAUGUGGAUAUAAAAGAAAAAGAAAAGAAAAGAAAAGAGAAAGUAAUAAAAAAAAAAGGAAAUGUUUGUGUGUGCUUGUAUGUUUUUUUUUAUGUAUGUUAUUGAAUAAAAAAAAAUGAAUUUAAUUUAUAUGCACAAAUAUCUAAAGGACAUAUAAAAAUCAUGUUGUAUUUUCCAUGAAAAUGUAGAACAUGUAUCUACAUAUAGUCUGGAAAGUAAUAACUGAUUUAUCAAAGCCUUAGAAUUGGGCUAAAAUUUUAUUUUUAAUAUCACAUCAAGUCCACGAAGCUUGAAAGUGAAUGUGGUGUGUAUUUUUGUUUAUGAAUGUUUUUUUUAUUAUGAUAAAAUUGCAAGAAUAAAGAAGAAUUUAAUAUUCUGAUUUGCUCACGGAUAAAGAAUUAUGAACUUACAUGUAAGUUGUAUUUUCUAAAAUUCGAUGAAAGAACAUAAUUUUUAAAACUUCUUUAACACAUCAAGCCCACGAAGUAGCUUACCUCAGGUAGGGUGCGUUAGGGGUGCUAAUACCUUCCCUAACCACAACCAGUCCCUUACCCGCGAAUCUCUGACGAGACCAGUACACCCGGGUUUCCUAGUAGCCUUCAAUGAAAUACUAGGUGGCGACUCCAACGAACCAAUUCAAGCAAUACAACAACGAGAUGAAAAGGUCGCCAAGCCCAUGCCGCGCGGAUUUUUUGACAUGCGACAACAUGUUGUAAUUUUUUAAAAGCACACACAAGCUUCAGGUUAAGAGGGGGACUAGCAGCUUACCUUACGACUUUUAGUCAAGGUUUAAGUUUGUGUAAACCCCAACUCUUCGUUGAGUGCUUAGACUAGUAAUAGUUGGACACGUGCCAUUUCAUUACCUAUUAGCCCCUAUAUUGCCUUCAAGAGGGUAAUCACUGGGACAACGAGAGCUCCUUUUUAGAGACCAAGUAGUAAACCUACCUUUUGUCUCACUUAAAAAGAUUAGAACCUGCCUUUAGGAUGUAUGCUCUGUAUACAUUGUUUUGCAUCCAAGCAAGCCCUUCUUGAAGCAUCUUGAACUCCAGACUUAUGGGUGACGCAAUGAUCGUCGCUCAGAAAAUUUUCAUUGUAGAGUUUGUGCAAGAAUCAAGAUUCUUGUUUCAUCAUACAAGAGUUGCGACCAUAUGUCACCCCUUGAAGGGCGAGUUCGUCAUAUAGAUUACAUAUUCAUACAUUUAUCAUGCAUCUACCGGGUUGAAAGGUAGGUCCCCCGCACAAGCUGCGCUACACAUGAUUGAAGAAAGAUGAUGGAAGUGAAGAAAGGUGUCAGAUAGAAGCUUAUUAUCAUAUUAAGGUUGAGAGCAUCAAAGGUGAAGUAGCUAGACUCAGAUCUGCUCGAACAAGGGUUGAACAUCAAAUGGAAAGAGAAUGUAUGCACAAUCUUCUGUGGGAGCACUGUUUGUUCAUGUCCAAUUGAAGCAGUACCUCUCCUUUUCAGUCAUGAACAACAGCAACAAUGCCUUCAGUCAUAAACUAAUGACAACUCUUGUUCUUGUCCAGUUGCACUGUUAAAUGUUCAUUGCCUCCACACCAUCUAAUGGAAGCAAACGACUACUAGCCUCCUGUACAUGGUGCAUUAGUCUUCUUUGAAGUUACCCCAAAUAUGAGCUCAAUUCCAGUUCAGCAGCACAAGAUGUUGGUCUGAAAAACCAUGAUUAGACACUGAACUUCUACGUGGUAAAGCUCUCUCUAUAGAGAUUUAUUUGUGGAUCUGCCAAUGGGAAAUGCAAAAGGGGAUGUAUUAAUUUCAUAUGCUUUGAAACUUUUUCCCACCAGUGGCACGAGCAAAACAUUGUACUAGGCAGAGGAGUCAGGCCUGGUCUGAAAAUAUGAGUAGUCGUCGAACUUCAACGUGGCAGAGCUCUCUCUACAAAAAUCUGUUUAUGAUGCUGCAAGUUGAGAGUGCAAGAGAGGAUUUACUAAUUGCAUAUGCUACAAAUAUUUCUCUCAUCAGUUUCAGCACGAAGAAACUGUAGCAUGUUGAAGAGCCAGAUUUGGUUUGAAAAACAUUGAGCAGACAUCAAACUUCAACGUUGCAGAGAUCUCUCGACAGGAAUCUAUUUGUGGAUCUGUAAAUGGGAAAUCCAAGAAGGGAUGCAGUGGUUUCAGAUUGUCCACAAUUUUCUCCUACCAGUAUUGGCAUUAAAACGCAAAAGUGGUUGUUUGCUGCACCGUCAGUGAGGAAUCAAAGAGGAAAUAAAGGAGUUGUGGAUUCAUCAGUUUCUCUUCCAAUUUUGACAAUAUAUGAUUCCAUACUCUUUUUUUUUCGCACUGCCAUGAUUACCUAGAUAUUGAGAGGUUUCCAACAAUCCUAAAACAAUAACAACAACAUUGGAAUAUUGACAUGAAGUUGUGUGGAUUGCCAAAAAUUGAACAAGCUAUCAAGAUGGGAAAGAUUGAAGGUUCUGCUAAGGAUUCCAGAGAAACGAUGAGAGAUGAAUCAAAAGAAGACUCUGAUGGUGGAAAACCUUAAUUAUGUUGGUCUAACCAAGUCUUGUUGUAUCAUCGACUACUCCAAUGUCUUUGCCAAAGAUAGACAUUCUUUUGCUAUGUGGGUUUAUUUACUAGAAUCUGCCAGAUUCUAGACUUUUGCUAGACUCCGACAAAUCCCAUGCAACUACCGUUUUCUAGGUGGUAUAAUCCAGACAAGAGAUGUGAUGUCAUGGUAGAGUCCUCAACCAUUUCAACUGAACAGUUGCAAGAAUUUCAAGAAGAGAGUCUGAAAGUUGGUGAGCAAGAGACAAGGAAGUUCCGUGAAGGAGGGUGUCAUUGGUUAUAUUGUCCCCCAAACAUCUUCAGAAUGACUUGUGAGCGAAAGUGCUUGGCAAAACACAGAUAUUGCUAGAAAAGCUAAUUCAAGAAUGGUGAUGAAUAGUCAAUCAUAUUGUUAUGGAAUUCUGCAUUUUGUUUUGGGAUCACAUUUCAUCCUUCAACGAAACAUGCCUUGCUUUUGUCUCUUUGUUGUUUUGAAAUCAACAAAUGUUUAGCAUUUUAUUUUGACAAAAUAUUUUGAUCAAACUCCAACAUGCGAUAAAGGUUAAUCAAUCCUGAAGAUUAAAAUUAUUUUGAUUGCAGAAAUGACUCGAUGCUUGAAAAUGACAUGAGGUGACCAAACAAUUUUGAACUCAUACCUCUUGAAAUUGAACCACACAUCAUAUAGCUAAGUUUUAGCAGUAUGCAUAAUGACAUGUAGUGGAUUCAAUAGUUAUGGACUCGUGAAUCAUGACUCUUACAAGUCCCAAAUCAUUACACUGGAUGGGGUUAAAAUUUAUCGGUUCUAACCGACCUUGCUUGAAAUGAGAAAAGGCCAUCUUUGAUAUCCCUUCACUUUCUAAAGAUUAUAUCCCUUGUAGUCCUAUUUUGAGCUGGAUAGAAUUUUCUUUUCAUAAAAACCCUGACUAGGAUCACACCCCACACUGGGGGCAAAUGGGAGAUAUUUUGAAGACAUUGAUGUAAUUAAUGGAUAAAGGGGAAGGCUUAGAACAAAACUCUAAUGAUUGAGAGAGCGCGAGAAGAAAACACAUAGACUGGGGGCAUAUAAGAAAAUUUUGAGGAAGGCUGUGAGUGAAAUUGCCUUCACUUAAAGACAAGUUAAAGAUAAAGGAAGGAGAAUGCCUAUCAAUUCUAAGAGAGGCAAGACAGUUUUCAAUUGAGAAAAGACAGCAAAUGCUAAAAGUCAACACUAGAAAAAUCGAUGCUUCAUAUCUUUUGGUGUGUCUUGGAUAGAGCCUCUAAUGUCUUAAAAAAAAAAUUAGAUUAGUUAUUCAUCAAAGAAAAAGUUGGAUUUGCAUUAUGACCUAUGUUAAGAGAAUUCUGAUAUUUGAGAUUAACAAGGUUAUAUGUCACUUUCUCUACAAUGACAACAAGAGAAAGAGAAUCGAUGAAUAGUUAAUGUUGGUCCUAGGUCAUUGAAACCCUCAAACACCUUUUGAGCCUAUGAAAUUCCUUUCUUUUAUAGCCAUGAACCAUAGCCUACAUUACGUGCUUUUAAAAGCCCUUUUUGAUCAAGUAAGCAAUCUGAACUGAUAAAUGGCGCUCUCAAAACUUGAAGAGCUUUUCCAUAAGGGUCGUGACUUCAUGAAUUAAGCCCUUGUUAUUAUGCAUGCUGAUAAAAUAAAUACUGAGAAAAGAAACAACCUUUUUUUAUCAAGCCUGAGCAUCUAGUCAUUUGAAGUUCACAAAAAUAUCACCUCAUCACAAACCAUAAAAAAAAAGGAUAUACCCAAAAUCAGAGUUUAAAGUGGACACACAGAACCAUGGGAAAGACCAUUUUAAUCUUACAAUGGGUCGAUUUCUAUUUUUAAAAUGCAAUACAAUCGAAGGACUACAUUGAAUGACAUGUGUUGGGUCUUUGACCAAAGAAGCUUGAAUUUUGAAAAUACUUUUCAAAAACUGAUAUCUCUCUGAUUUCAUUUCAACAAUUAGACUUGAAUAGACAUGACCUUUGAAGUAUGAGAUUUGAUUCUAGAACAAGAAAGAUUGUCAAACAAAGAAGAACAUCGAUGGAGUUUGCAAAAUCCUUGAUAAAAAUGACAUCAACAUUUCUCGACACUCCUUGAAACGUUGACUACCUGGGGGCAAUACAGUGGACCCUAGGAAGGAAAACAAAUAGUAUCUAGACCAGCUGGGGGCAAAGAAAGAAUCAAAUGAUGAGUCAUCAAAGUACAUGAAAGUUAUGUUUAGCAUCUGACAAUGACAAAGGAAGACCUUCUUGAGUAUAAACUGAUGAAAUAGAAUACAUAUCAUUGCUGGGGCCAAUGUUGUUCAAAGACAAUCCAUGAUCUAGUGCACUUCAGCAGCAAUUGAUGAGCGACGCUGCACUAGAAGGAUAUUUUCAUAUCUUUAUCUUGGGUUACCCUGUAAAACAUGGCUAUGGCUCCUGACAGAUGUUAUCAGGUGAGUGCAUUUGAAUGAACAUCGAACAUAUGCAUACCACUAAGAUUGACUAUGAGACCAUCUAUUCUGAAGCUCAAAUGCGCACUUCACCACAUGAAUAUGGGUGAUAACAUGAACAUCAUUGAUGAUGCCAAAGCAGUUAUUUUCACGAUCUGAUUUGACAAGCUAGGAGGAAUCCAUAGAGAAAUACAUCGCACUUACAAUGAUGAGCUGUUUACUGCAAAGCAUGAGAUCCAUGUCUGGAUGACUUGGCAGUUCCAUGAAGGCUGGUGACCAUAUAUACUUGAAUGGUGUUUCAACCGAAGGCAAGUUCAUUACUGAUUAACAAUCUUGAUGGGUGUUGGCAUGAUGCGCACAAUCAAUCAGAGGAUAAUUCUCAGAAGAAGCCAGGAGAGAAAAUCCUUCAUGAUGAAUCAAGAAGUACCACACUUGGGGGCAGGGUCAAGCUUGAUGAACGAUGCAAGCGGUAAUUGUCGAAGACAGCCCGGGAUGGGCACUGCAUUUACAGCUGAGUGGAUGGCUAGCACAUGAAUGAGCCAAUGCAUCGGAAGAACAAAGAAAGCUUUGGGAUACAAACAAGGGCACCCUAUGACGAUGGAGCAUCAAAGAGGGGGGGACCUAUAUUUCAAAUCAGGUAAGGAUGCAUGCAUAUCAUCUAACCUUAAAAAAAAAACCAUUUGCAUAUAUUUUUGAAUUGUUACAAGAAAAUCCUUAAUGAGGUCCAGCAAGAUGGUGGAAAGAGAAAGAAGCAUUGUGGUGAUGAUAAUAAAGAAUCGGUUUUGAUCAUGGAAUAAAAGGACAAUGGGAUGAACCCUGCCAUUAGGAAAAUCCCAAAGAAAUAAAAAGGUCAACCUUGUAAUCGGGAAGCCUCGAGUUUUCAACCCUUGCAGUCAGGAAACACCAAGUUUUCAAACCCUAUGAUCGGGAAUUAUCAGGAAUCACCAAGUUUUCCAGCCCUUCUUCUAUCAUCCCCUCAGGACUUCGCUAGGUAAGUCCUAUUUUUCACACUUGUCAUAUCACAUCUUCCACUUGGGUUGGUCACCCCUUUACAAUGAGACCACACUUCAUAUUUUUUCCAUCUGGGUAGGUCACCCAUCAUAAUAAGACCGUUUUUUCCAUUUUUUCCACCUGGGUAGGUCACCCAUUACAAUGAGACCACUCUUUCCUUUUUCUUGGGUAGGUCACCCAUUACAAUGAGACCAACAUUUUUUCUGGGUAGGUCACCCAUUACAACGCGACCACUUCUCCAUGUUUUUUUUACUUGGGUAGGUCACCCAUUACAAUGAGACCAUUCUUUCCCCUGGGUAGGUCACCCAUAAGAAUGAGACCACUCUUCCCCCUUUCCACUUAGGUAGGUCACCCAUCACAAUGAGACCAUCAUUUUUUUUCUAGGUAGGUCACCCAUUAGAAUGAGACCAUUCUCCAUCUUUUUUUUUUUUACCUAGGUAGGUCACCCAUAAUAAUGAGGCCAUUCUUUCCCCUGGGUAGGUCACCCAUAAGAAUGAGACCACUCUUCCUCUUUUCCACUUGGGUAGGUCACCCAUCACAAUGAGACCAUUUUUUUCUCUAGGUAGGUCACCCAUUAGAAUGAGACCAUUCUCCAUUUUGUUUUUACCUGGGUAGGUCACCCAUUAUAAUGAGGCCAUUCUUCCCCCUGGGUAGGUCACCUAUAAGAAUGAGACCACUCUUCCCCUUUUCCACUUGGGUAGGUCACCCGUCAUAAUGAGACCAUCUUUUCCAUAUUUGGUAGGUCACCCAUUACAAUGAGACCGCACUUCACAUUCUUUCCAUUUUGGGUAGGUCACCCAUCACAAUGAGACCGCUUUUCAUAUUCUUUCCACAUGGGUAGGUCACCCAUUACAAUGAGAUCGUUUUUUACACAUUCUUUUGUUUUGGUUAAAUGAGGUCGCCAGAUGAGAUCUCAUGUAGCUUUGGUUAAAAGGAAUCUCCAUAUGGGAUUUCAGGUUGACCGAGUUACACACAUUCUUUGGUUUUGGUUAAAGGAGCUCGCCACAUGGGAUCUCAGGUUAAUGAAAAAAAGAAGAGAGAAAGACAAGAAAAAAAAGAGUAAGGUUUUUAGAUGAAGUGAAUUUUGAGCAAGUUAAGCAGACAGAAAUACAAGUUUUUCUUUACAAAGCUUACUAUGCAAAACAUUGAGGAUUUUUGCUUCGUAAGCAUUGUAAAGAGGGGGCGUCUAUUGCUACCCAAUUUUUUAUCCAUGUUUUGAUAAAUUUUUAGAAAAAUUCAAAAAUAGAGAAAAAAACAAUGAAAAUCCAAAAAAAUAUGUUUUUUUAUAUAUAUUCUCGUCAUUUUAGCAUUUUCAGCGUCGUCUAAAAAAGAAUUUAAAUUUUCAAACGCGUUCGACUUUUCACGCGUCAUUUUUAAAAUCAUUGAUUUUCCUCAUUGAGUCGACGUUGAUAUUGCUCGUUUUCAAAAAAUAUAAAAAAAUUAAGAAAGAAUCAAAUUUACAAAAAGAAAGAAGUUGAGGGACCAAGUUGAAAAACCUAGCAACAUUUUACCUAUAAAUACUGGUCUUCAACUCACACAAAGGGGGGGGGCAAUUUUGCAAUUAAAGGGGGAGAAGAAUAGAAACCCUAAAAAGCUCAACUUUUUCUUCUCCCUCACCCGAAAGGCAGCCGCCGCAGCCCCUUAGCCCUCUGAUUUUUUCUUCCUCUCCCCAGCGGCUCACCACAAGAGACAGCAGCCCCCCUUUUCUUUGAUUUUUUUUUCCAGCCGCUCACCACAACAGUCCACAGCCGAUCUUCCCUCGCUUCCUCACAAGACAACCCCCUCAUCUCCAUCUAGGCCGUUCCCCCUCCUCACCGAACCCCACUGACCGGACGAUCCCCCUGCCUCUGAUUUUUUUUUUCUUCUUCCCCCCGGAGGAUCUCACUUCCUUCCCUGCGAACCAGCCUUCCUUUUCCUUCCCCAUCAUCUCCCUACUCUCAGCUAGUCUCCACCGCCAGCAGCAGUCGCCGUCAGACUCGGAGCGGUCCACCUUCUUCCUCCAGCAACGUCUGUAGAUCUGCCCUCCAGCGGCAGCCCCCACGGCGACGCCCACAGAUCGAGCGCCAUUUCAAGCGGAGACCGACGAUCAGCCAACACUCUUUUCUCCUCCAGCUCUGGCGGCCAGACACGACAGAAGCACAGUCGCCAGCAGCUGCCUAAAACAGAGCAGGUGAAACAAAAAGAAGAAUGACAGAGACAGAGAGAAAGCAAAGAUAAAACAGAUUUGAAAAAAGGGGAAGAACCGAGACUUUGCUUGCGUUUUUCUUCUUUUGCAGGUGAUGUUGCCCCUCAUUGCCAGUGCAGAAGGGAAGAGGAGACGGAGUAGAGCCAAAUCCAACUGGUGUGCGGGUCUGUUCGCAGCGGCGCGUGGGUCCAGACGCGCCGGCACUAUUCCGGCAUGCAGAAGGGCUUCCCUGCAAUUUCUGGAGUUUAGGGACUAUUUUGUAAUUUCUAAAUUAUGUAAUGUAAUUUUUGUUUAGUGUUUAAUUUUUUAUAAUUUUUGUAAUGUGAUGUACAAAAAAAAACAUGUAAAAGAAAAGAAAAGAAGAGAAAGAGAAAGUGAUAAUAAAAAAAAGAAAAAGAAAUGUUUGUGUGUGCUUGUAAUUUUUUUUAUGUAUGUUAUUAAAUUAAAAAAAAUGAAUUUAAUUUAUAUGCACAAAUAUCAAAAGGACAGAUAAAAAUCAUGUUGUAUUUUCCAUAAAAAUGUAGAACAUGUAUCUACAUAUAUUCUGGGAACUAAUAACUGAUUUAUCAAAGCCUUAGAAUUUGGCUAAAAUUUUAUUUUUAAAAUCACAUCAAGUCCACGAAGCUUGAAAGUAAAUAUGUGGUGUGUAUUUUGUUUAUGAAUGAUUUUUUUUUUAUGAUAAAAUUGCAAGAAUAAAGAAGAAUUUAAUAUUCUGAUUUGUUCACGGAUAAAGAAUUAUGAACUUACAUGUAAGUUGUAUUUUCUAAAAUUCGAUGAAUGAAUUGAAUUUUAAAACUUCUUUAACACAUGAAGUUCACGAAGCAGCUUACCUCAGGUAGGGUGCAUUAGGGGUGUUAAUACCUUCCCUAAGCACAACCAGUCCCUUACCCGUGAAUCUCUGAUGAGACCAGUACACCCGGGUUUCCUAGUAGCCCUCGAUUAAAUACUAGGUGGCGACUCCAAUGAACCAAAUCAAGCAAAACAAGCAAAGAACGAGCAUAACAAGAAAAAUCGCCAGCCCGAUGCAGCGCGGAUUUUCUGACGUGCGACAAUCUUUAAUUUAAUCCUUAGCCAUGUUAUCUAACCCAAAAUUAACCAAUAACUAUACUAUGUCACCUUUCCAAAUACAAACACACAUAAAUCCUAAAUUUCUAAAUUUGGGGAUUUUCAGUCCCCAUAAAAAUUAACAAAAGAAAGUGCAUUUAGAGCAAUAGAAACAUCUUGCCACAAUCAAUUAACCCAAUUUGUUAAUCCCUUUGCAAGAAAUCCCAAGAUGUUCUUUAGUACAUCUCAAAUCUUCUUCUUGUUCCUUAGUUUUAUAUUUUUGUUUUGUUGUCCUUAAACUCCUACAACACUAGUUUUUUAUUCCAACAAAAAACACUAAGAUCAACUGACACAAUUUUUUAUUUCCAAUUCUUUCAAGUUUCUUUUUUUUUACCGUUAUUUUUUUUUCUUGUUUGGCUGCUACGGAAAGAAGAGAAGAAAGAUUGUAAAUCCAUUGUUUAGAAGUCGAAACAAAAUAAAUUUCAGAAUCAUAGGAAUUUAAUACUUCAAGAAGGAGGUUAUCAUUCUGAAAUCGAAUUCCUAUUCCAAAUGGAAAAGGGAUGCUAAUAUUUCCACAAGUUUAUGUAGGAUUUGGUGUUGGGAUGUUUCUUUCCAACUUCCAAGCUUUGAUUAAUAAUGUAUAAAUUAUUUCUCAAAUUGAUGUUUCUGUUCAAAAUAAUGCAUCUUUAAAAUUUAUGGUCAAGUCAUUGUUUAUGUUUAGCAUCUUUUGUUUCCAUUAUGUCGAUCUUUUGCAUUGUCGAGCAGAGAAAGAUUGAUAAAAGCUAAAGCAUCAGUAUGAAGGCCAAAAGCUGAUAACUUACGCUGCAUUUCUUGGGUCCAGUCGGAAAGUGAACAUUGAGAAGAAAUAAUUUAUAAAUUAUUUCUGAAAUUGAUGUUUCUGUUCAAAAUAAUGCAUCUUUAAAAUUUAUGGUCAGGUCAUUGUUUAUGUUUAGCAUCUUUUGUUUCCAUUAUGUCGAUCUUUUGCAUUGUCGAGCAGAGAAAGAUUGAUAAAAGCUAAAGCAUCAGCAUGAAGGCCAAAAGCUGAUAGCUUACGCUGCAUUUCUUGGGUCCAGUCGGAAAGUGAACAUUGAGAAGAAAUAAUGUAUAAAUUAUUUCUCAAAUUGAUGUUUCUGUUCAAAAUAAUGCAUCUUUAAAAUUUAUGGUCAAGUCAUUGUUUAUGUUUAGCAUCUUUUGUUUCCAUUAUGUCGAUCUUUUGCAUUGUCGAGCAGAGAAAGAUUGAUAAAAGCUAAAGCAUCAGCAUGAAGGCCAAAAGCUGAUAGCUUACGCUGCAUUUCUUGGGUCCAGUCGGAAAGUGAACAUUGAGAAGAAAUAAUGUAUAAAUUAUUUCUGAAAUUGAUGUUUCUGUUCAAAAUAAUGCAUCUUUAAAAUUUAUGGUCAGGUCAUUGUUUAUGUUUAGCAUCUUUUGUUUCCAUUAUGUCGAUCUUUUGCAUUGUCGAGCAGAGAAAGAUUGAUAAAAGCUAAAGCAUCAGCAUGAAGGCCAAAAGCUGAUAGCUUACGCUGCAUUUCUUGGGUCCAGUCGGAAAGUGAACAUUGAGAAGAAAUAAUGUAUAAAUUAUUUCUCAAAUUGAUGUUUCUUUCCAUAUAUAUAUAUAUUUUUUUUUUUUUUUUGUAACCGGGGGUGUCCGGGCCAGCUUGCGCGCACUACAACUAAUACCCGGGCUCACUGAACAUCCUGCAAGCCCAAUGAGCAUGUAAGGCACCGCGGGGGUGACAGACGUACAUAUAGAGGGUCGAACCCGGGAUGGGGACGGAACAAGUCACACGAUUGACCACAGCAGCUGGACCCUCAAGUGUUUCUUUCCAUAUUUUUAAUUCGAGUAGUCGUAGGGUGUUUCUUUCCAACUUCCAAGGUUCGAUUAAUAAUGUAUAAAUUCCACAAGACUAUAAAUUAAGACUCCCAAAUUGAUGAGUGAUGGUGACUUUCGUCUAACCAAUUCAAAGACGAUUAGUCUAAAAGUAAAGAGAAGAAACAGUAGGCUGUGAACCACUCAAAUGUGUUGGAACUCAGAAUAGAGAAAUUAAAGAUAAUAGAAAGGUAGCGUGUAGACGACGAUGCUAUGAAUAAAACAGGGGAAGAAAAGUCGUUUCUCUUGAGUGCCAAGAUCUUAUUAUAAUGUGGAAUAUCCAGUAGAUAAGUACUCAGAAUGAACAUAUAUUUAGAAAUUAAUCAGCAAUCAGCUAGCAAACCUAAUUCAAAAAGAGAUUGGAAGAUUGUGUUUAGUUAAUGUUAUAGGAUGUAAUGAACAUAUACAAAAGGGAUAGAAAAAUCACCAAAUCAAAGUUCUCCUUAUUAAUGCAAGUGUUUUGUUUUAAAAAAUUCUCACAGGAAUAGUGUCCGACUUGCAGUGACGAAGUACAAUUACUUAAUAAUUUAACUAUUUUAUUAUCAUAGAAUUUUAAAUAAUCUAAGAGGAAGCUACAAUUUUUUUCUUCUGUUUUACUUUUCAACAAAAAAUAAUAAUCCAUUAUAACUCUUAAAUUAAAUCAAUUUUUUUUUAUAGAAAUUCUAUAUCAUGGAGAAACUUAACCGAAAUUUUCAAUGUGAAAUCUAAAACUUAAGUUAUUGGACAGAGUGUUUCUGUGUGGACAUAUAAUUUGGACCCAAAAAUCACAAUUCUAUCAUUACCCAUGUAUGCUUUCGGUUCCUUAUUUAGAGAUUAGCACCCGUGAACAGUAGCAUGAGGACCGAUGAUACCAGCAGCAACCAUAACAAGUCCAGUAAUUGCUCCUUAUUUGGAUAAUGGAUAUCCGAAACUCAAUUAGGUAUUCAAGAUUUAUAUCCGAAACGUUUUUCUUUUCUUUUCUAAUGGAAAAUAAAUAAAUAUAUUUGUUUAUAUGUUGAGAAUAAAAAAGAUUUUUUUCAAAAAACAAAUACAUUAAGAUUACAAAUAUUUUUUAUAAGAGAUGUUGUUACCCAAUUUUUGACCCACGUUUUUGAUAAAAAAUUUUAAAAAUAAAAAAAAAAGAUUUUUUUUAAAUAUAUUUGCAUCGUUUUUAGCAUUUUCAGCAUCGUUUCAAAAGAAUUUAAAUUUUUAAUGGUCUUUUAAACGCGUUUGAAUUUUCACGCGUUAUUUUUAAAAUAAUUGAUUUUUCUUAUUGAGUCGAUGUUGAUAUUGCUCGUUUUUAAAAAAUAUAAAAAAAUAAGACAAAUCAAAUUUACAAAAAAUAAAGAAGUUGAGGAACUAAGUUUGGGGACCAAACAAUAAUUUGCCUAUAAAUAAUAUUUUCCCAAAACCAGCCAAACCUCUCCUCAUCAUCUUCCUUAGCCUCUCUAUAACCCAAGCCCCUAUUUUUUCUCGCAAGCAACAGACUACCUCCUAGACUGAACACGGCGACAAGCCCAACCACCGGUGCUACCAAUAGAAGCGAAGAUCAUCAGCUCAUCAACUAGCCCUAGGAACCAGCCCAAGGACAGCAGCCCACAGACUCAGAUCGGCCGGCCUUCCUCCAGCUCCUCCCUCAUAGACCGAACCAUCUCUUCCCUCCAUUCAGCCUCCAAUAUUAGCGGCCAAAACAACAACUUGAAGCCAGCCGCCACUCACCCUCUCCUGGCCAACCCAACUUCCCCAUAACCGAGAGCAACCCCACAGUGGCUCCUUUCUUCCUCAGGCCGAGCACAUCAGCAACCCCCGUUAUCUUCUUCCCAGUCUUCAAUCGUGCCCACAUACCAGCCUCUAACAGCACCGACAACAACCGUGGUGGAAAGCAGAAGAAACUAGAUCUAAAAAACUAACUACAAUCGACUGAUGUGUGCAUUUUCUUUUUGUUGCAGAUAAUGUAGCUCCUCACCACUGGCAAGGAAAGGAAGAGAAGAGGAAGACGUUCCCGAUCCACCGAUUUUCUUGCAUUCAACGGCGAUGGCGCGUGAACCCACGCGCUACCACUGUGCAUACAGUUCUAGAAAGCUUCCCAGUGCUGUUAUAGAUUUUUGGGUGUCUAUUUUGUAAAUUUUAAAUUGUUUGAUGUAAUUGUUGUUUAGUUUUUUUUUUUGAAUUUUUAUAAUUUUUAGUGUGGAUAUAAAAAAAAAAGGAAAAAAUAUAGUAAAAGUGAAUGUGUGUUGUUUGUACUUGUUUUAUGGAUUUUUUAUUUUUUUUUAUUUUUAUGAUAAAACUGCAAAAACAAAAGAAGAAUUUAAUAUUUUGAUUUGCUCACGGUAAAAGAUUAUGAACUUAUACGUAAGUCGUAUUCCUAAUAUAUGAUGAAAUGAUAAAAUUAUUAAAAAAAAAUUUAACACAUCAAAGCCAUGAAGCAACUUAUCUCAAGUAGGGUGCGUUAGGGGUGCUAAUACCUUCCCUAACCACAACCAGUCCCUUACCCGUGAAUCUCUGAUAAGACCAGUAUAUUUAGGUUUCCUAGUAACCCUCAAUGAAAUACUAGGUGGCGACUCCCAGAAUCGAACAAGCAAAGGAAUGAAAAUCGCCAACGCCGUCGCUCGAGCACUUGCGACAGAAUGGCGACUCCACUAGGGAAAGUACUGUUUCUGACAAUAUUGGACUAAGCUUUGUGUAUUUGAUGUGUUUUUGCAAUUUUAUCUCUUUUUUUUAAUAUUUUUGUUUGCAUGCAUUUUAUAGAAUUGUUUCAUGCAUCACAUGUCUUUAUUUUUUAAAGCACACACAAGCUUUUAGGUUAGGUGAGGAACUAGCGAUCUGCCCUAUGACUAUUGGUCAAGGUUCAGAUGCAUGAAACACCCAACUCAUAUCUGAGUGCUUGCUUGGUAAUGGUGGGUAUACGUGCCUUAACCAUUUCUCACAACGCCUCUAUACUGUCUUUACGAAGAUCGUCACUGAGCGGAUGUAAGACCCUUUUGAGAUCAGGUAGAAAACCUACCCAUGUUUAUAUAAUGAAUAGAACUUGUCCUUAGGUUAUAUGUGCUAUCUUUAUUUACAUCAAGGCAAACCCUUCUUGAAGCAUCUUGAACUCAAGACUUAUGGGUGACACAAUGAUCAUCACUCAUAAAAUUUUCAUUGUAAAGUUUGGGCAAGAAUCAAGAUUCUUGUUUCAUCAUGCAAGAGUUACGAUCAUAUCUCACCCCUCGAAGAACGAGUUCAUCAUAUAGAUUACAUGUUCAUACAUUUGUCAUGCAUGCACUGGGAUGAAAAGUAGAUACCCGGACAUCUCUCUUGAUUUUUAAGGAAGCAUCUCCAAUUAGUAUCCUUAAUCAUUUUAACUCAUCGUUUAUACUUAUUCAAUCGCAUCAUCAUUCUUUUUAUAGUACUAAUUGUAUCUCAAAUUACUAUUUUAUAUUUUUUAUUAUUAACUUCUCACUCCACUACAAGAUUUCACAGUUUUAGCGACGGAACUAUUCCGUCGGUGUGUGAUAGAAAGUUCGUCGGUAAAUUAUUUACCGACUAUAUUACCGACGGAAUACACACGUCGAAAUACUUUUUGUCGGUGAUUCCACAUUUCGUCGUUAUAUUAAUCGGCAAUAUCAAAAAAAUAUUUACCGACGGUUUUACCGACGGACAAGUUUAAGGGUGGAUUACAUAUUAAAGUAGUCAUAGGGGACUGUGACUCUGGUACGGGCUUGUAUUGUUUUCGAGAUUGGGAUUUGUUUUUGUCACCAAAUAAAAUAGUGAGAGCCUGAAAGGUAUGUAUGCUCGGCUGCUCACCAAGUUAGGGUAUCUGUGGACAGAUUAGAGGCAUAUCUGAGAAUGGAGAUGACAGUUGGGUGGAGUUUCCCGAGUAAAUGUCGUCUCCUGAACGAGAAGAGAGAGAGCGUGUGGCGGGACCCAUCAUCGCACAUAGCUAGCUAUAUUUGCAUCUUCCUCUCGGUAUUAGGAAUCAUGAUAAAGGAAGUUUAGGAUUAAAAAAUUUAUCUUUUAUAUGAUUUUAAAUUAAAAUCAUGUAAUUAUUAAUAAAAUAAUUAUUAAAAAUUUAUAUUAUCAUUAAUUUUAAAAUUAAUUGAGAUAUGUGAAAGCUAAAUCGGAUAAUUAUAAUAAUAAUAAUAAUAAUAAUAAUAAAUAAAUAAAUAAAAAUUGUUUGAGGUGAGCAUAUAAAAUAAAUCAAUCACCUUAAAAAUGGUUGUCCACAUUUUAUUUGGGUGUCGAGAAUGAUGCAUGCCCUUGAAGUUGAAGUGGGUUUGGAACACGACCAUUCAUUAAUAGGACAAGUUCCUAUCAUGUCAUGUGAGCCCCAUCCACAGUAAUGAGUGGUAACCUCGUCGAGAUUCAUCAUGAUCUCUUGAGCACUUUUAUCUUUAUCCCCUUUCCAUCAUUUAGAAUAUUGGAUGGUUAUGUAAAAUUGGUCUGAAUUGAAAGAAAGUAAAAUGGUUCGAAGAUAUUCUGGCCUGUGCGUUGGUGGACAGUAUGGCAUUAUAUUGGUUUGUGAGUUGUGAUUAAUCAUCUCUGGAUGCACCCACCCUGCCACCCACCAUGUGUUGAAAAAAUAAAUAAAUCCAGCCUACUUACGGUCAGGCACGAUACGAGGUGGAGUUCUUUUGUAAUAUCAUGUUUUAACAUUCGAUUGAGAAAGGAACUUAAUGAGUAUAAGUAUGAUUCUUUCAAGUAAUUUGUUCAUGCCAUGGGAUCGAGGGUUUUAUAGAUGCUCUGUCGUUGUAAGAAUAUUCAUUUAUGUGUUAUUUGAGCACCUUAUAAUUAAAUAACAAAUAAUUGUUAACAUGUAUCGAGUGUGUAUUUGACUAUAUAAUUUAAAAAAUCAAAGAUAAUAAAAUGAGAAAAUCAAAAUCCAUAUGUAUAUAAUUAAUUCAUUACCACCAAUACCAUCACAUCAAUUUUUAGAUUUGAAAGUUGUGUUUAGUGAUUUACACGAUGUUUUAAAUUGUUUACUAUUGUUGUUUAUUUUUAUGUUUUAAAAAAAAAGGUUUGACUAUAAAUAACUUUCAGCUUAAAUUAAAUAUUUGUUAUAUAAUUAACUGUGUCAAUUUUUUUAUUUAGUCAAAAGUUAAAAUUUUAAACUUGUAAUUUAUGAACUAUAUAUUUAUAUUGCAUGUUUUCUUUAAGCAAAACUAUUUUUUUAGUCAUUUUUAUCAAACAAUGUCUCCAAUUCAAAAUUAUUUAGAUGUUAUUGUAUUGUAAGUUAUUUACGAGGAACAACCUAUAAGAUGACUUAAAGUCAAAGGUCAUUUUUCAUAAAUCAGCCCAGAUGUAUACUUUUAUAUCCUUUUGAUUUAAUUAUUUAAAAAAAAAACAUUUUACUAAUAAAUUCUAACUUGCACUGCAUCUCUUCUUCAAAAAAAAAAAAAAACCACCUUUAGGCUUUAGCCAUUUUUUAUCACACACACAUAUAUAUUUAUAACUUAAAGUCAUUUUAACUUGUUUUUAUCAUAAUUUAUUUAUGAAAAAUAAUUUUUGAAUUAUGACUCAAAGUCAAAAGUCAAUUCUAUUAGUUAUGUAAGACACAGUCAAAGAGUCCGUUUGAAAUGAUCUGUGAAAAAAUAAGUUUUAGAUCUUGAAUCAUGAUCCAAAGGUUAUUUUUUUACAAGUAAUUUAUGAUAAAAAUAAGUUGAAAAUGACUUUAAAUUAAAAGUAUCUCCAGUAAAAAUAAUUAAAAAUGAUUUUUUCAAAGAAGAAAUGCAGUAUAAGUAGAUUCUACAAGUUAAAAAAUCUAAUAUUUAAUAAAAUAAAAAACUUAACUCAAUUUUAUAAUACAAUAAGCUCGCAUAUAAAAUUUUAUUUCUAAUUAAAUAUAUUUAUGAUUUUCUUUCAAGUCAAGAGUUUAAAAAAUAAUUUAAAUAAACUUGUAAAGAUUAUACUAAACGAAACCUAAACCAAGAUAGUUCACCAGAAAACAAAGUUCAUGAUUGCAGUCACCGAAUAGCACAAGUUACUUUUAGACAAUUUUGUAUCGAAUACGCACUUUUUUAAUGCAAGCCGUAAGUAGUGUUUUCGUCCUCUCCUUUUCCCCUGCAAAGUUAAGGCUUUAAAAAAGCCCAUUUCUUUAUAUCAGGCUGGUUCGGUGGCACCGCAAGUGGAAGUCAUCCUUCAAGGAGGAUGAUGAAAUUUGUACAAUUCUCCCCGUCACGACACAUUGAGCUAUCUAAUCAGUAUUAAAAUCUAAGAUAUUUAGUAAUACGAACAUUGAUAUAUUACAUGAUUGAAUAUUUUUUAGAUCAAGUAAUAUAAUUUAUUUUUUAUAAUUAAAAUAGCUGAUACAUAUAUGAAAAACUUAAAGAAUUAAUGAGUGGUAAUGUAUGAUACUUGGUAAAUCAAAUGAUUGAUAGUUGAUAUUUAUAAAAAAAAUUAUUUUGAUGGAUGUGGAGAUUCUUGGAAGAAAAAGUUAAUAAUUUUGUAGAGAGAAAAAAAUACACAGAUAGUUUAAAGAGAUAAAUUCUAAAAUUAUAUACCCUAAAAAUAUUAAAAAUAAAAAAAUUUAUGAACUUUUAACUUAAAACAUUCAUGAUUUAUUUAAAACUAAUGAAUUAUUUUUUUAUGAAAAGAAAGGGUUAAAAUAUUUAUCAUUGUAAUAUUUUAAAUUAUAUUUUAUUUAAAAUAAUACAGAAUUAGAUUUGGACAACCACACUCGGCCACUCUCUUAAACCCCAAUUAUACUCUGAGUUUGGAAUUCCGACCCAUUUCCUUCAGCUCUCGAAUUUGAAAUACCAAAUCCAGUUCAAUUUGAUAUUUUUGUUGUGCCUAUUUUAAGGAAAUUUUAUUUGUUAAUUUUGGGAGGGUUUUUUGUUUUUUUGUUUUUCAGGAUACAUCACUGUCAUAACAAGGACACAUGCUAAACAUCAAUCAUAGUUUUCGAUCCUUUAAGAUUUUCUUGCUCUUUAUAUGUUAUUUUAAUACAAGUUUAAUGCGGGUCUGCCAUGUUGCGUACAUGUCUUCCCAAGGCGUUGAUUUUGUUUCGAGUCUAUAAUUUAAUUCGUUUCUCUCUCUUUUCCUCCGGGUCAAAGCUAGAGCUAAAAGAUGAUGGAUGUAGUCACAUUACAUAGCUGAUGGGUACGAUGAAAAUGUGUUGUUUUAUUCUAAUCUGUUUAUGUUGUCGCUCAUACGACGAGGAGAUCUAAAUGCUUGCACUCAAUGUGUGGACUGUUAAAUAAUAAUUAACAAAUUCUCUAUGGUGUUUCUACUGUGUAUGCACUGUAAGUGCAUCCAUUAAAUUUUUUUGUCUUAAAAUAUAUAUUUUUAAUGUUUUCUUAUUAUUUUAAUAUAAAAAAUAAUUUAAAAAAAAACAAUUUUUUUUAUUUUAAUAUAUUUUUAAAUAAAAACAACUAUAAUCAUUAUAACAAUCCUAAACAUAUUUUUAUAGACAGUGUGAUUGGAUAAAAUAUCAUGUAUGCAUUUAGAGAUAUUUUAUUCUUUAGGGGUGGUUAAUAAUUUUAUAUUGAUUUUAACCAUACAAGUACUGUAAUGACCUUCAAAAGUAAAAAAGCCAUAACCUUUUGAACUUUCCAAUGAUUUCAUUUUUUUGAUGAAUAAUAAAAUUAUUAUAUUAUUCUUAUUAUUUAAAUUUGUUAGCCUUGAUUUCAAGAUUUAAUUGUCAUUUCCUCAUGUUUUUUUUGUUUAGUCCUAGGGAUAUUUUUUGUUUUUUACAAAUUAAUGAACAAUGUAAUUACUCAAUUACCUUUACUAUUCAAAUUUUUUGGCCUUGGGUUUAGGGGCUUGAUUGUAAUUUUCUAAUGAUCUUUUUUUUUUGUCAUUAUUGUUUAGUCCCAAAGGUAUUUUUGGUGUUUUUCAAGUUCAAAAAAAUAGAGAAAAAGUUAAUGACACAUGUCUUGCACAUAUUAGUCGCUUUGCUAUAUUUGGAUGGCGCGUGUGGAUGUUUUGGUGGUGGCAAUCAUUAUUCUGUCACUUUAUUUGAUUCGUCUUAAUGUCCUUUACCUUCUUGUGUGAUGCGUGCAUAGUUAUCAAACCCAACCCGGGUAUUGACUUGGUCAAGGAGCUGGGUCUCGGGUUUUAUGGGUUAACCCGGGUCAACUCGGUAAAUGGUUUUAUGGGUAAACCAUUUCAGACAAGUUUAAGGGAAAAACAACACUUUGUCUAAACUUUAGUCAACAAAAAGAACCCAUUAAAAUCAAAAUCAUCUAUUUUCACAGUCAAGAAUCAGUCUCAACCAAAACUUUUUUUAUCUACCACGGUAAUCUAGUCACUCUCUCAAAUCGAGGAUCAAAAAAAUAAGGAAAAUGAAGUUUAGAAUCGAAAUUGAAUUUCAUAAAUUGUUAAGGACUAAAAGCUUAUAAUCUUAAAAGUUGGGGGCUAAAGUAUAUGUCUAGCCACAGUUCUAGCAAAACCGUAUCUUUUUGUUGUGUUUUUAAUUUUAGUCUCCUCUUUUUGAAUCUUGCCUUCCUUAAUAAAAGUCCUAUAAUUGGUCAUCAAUUUGGGCUUAUAAAGGUGCAAUAAAAAGAAGAAGAAAAUAAGAGGGACUAAAACAAAAUCAUCUAAUUUAAAAAACGGUGCAUAUUAUUGGAUCACUGGAUGAAUUAUUUUUUUAUAAAUAAUAUGAUUUCAUUCUUUGGGUUUUUUUAAAUAUUUGGUGUUCAUCUUGCUGAGAUAGAUUAAAUUUGACAUGAUUAAUUUUUUUUUAUUUAAAUUAAAAGCUGAGCCAAAUUAGACCAAUUAAAUUUAAUAACUAUUAUUGAAACUAAAAUAUAAUCUUUCAACUUUCGGAUUUAGAGUAACUUUUGUUGGGAGUGGGGUGAGAUAGAGAAAAUCAAAGGAAUGAUAAAAUCACAAGGAGAUAUCAUAAAUAGUACUACCACAAGACACCAAAUACUAAUUAUUAUACAUGUUAUUUUAUUAGUUUCGGAACGUCUGAUGAAGGGAAAUACAAUGAGAAAAUUAUAAAAUUGUCUAAAACUCAUGCAAAUCAAAUGAACAUAAGUGUUUCUGUGUGGACAUAUAAUUUGGACCCAAAAAUCACAAUUCUAUCAUUAACCAUGUAUGCUAUCGGUUCCUUAUUUAGAGAUUAGCACCCGUGAACAGUAGCAUGAGCACCGAUGAUACCAGCAGCAACAAUAACAAGUUCAGUAAUUGCUCCUUAUUUGGAUAAUGGAUAUCCGAAACUCAAUUAGGUAUUCAAGAUUUAUAUCCGUUAGGGUUUAGGUGGAUAACAUGACUCCUUAAUUGCAUAGGCGGGACGCAUUAGUGGCUUGCACGGUGGAUUGGAGAGGGUGGCUAUGUUACUUGCUGUUGAACGAAUAACGGGAAGAAGGCACCAGGCAGGAUCUGAUAGCUUGUUAACUCUUCAGACAUUCGUGAGAUUUAAGGAGUCGUGUGCUAAAAUUGAUCUCGAGAAAUUGAAUGGCUAUGAGGGAAUGAUGUUUGGACUGUGUGAAGGCUGGUUAGGGUUCACUUACGCACCUGAUACAUUCAUGGGCAGUACUCUAGUUUGAAGGAAUAUCAAUGGAGUUGUACUCUCAGGUCUAUAAAAUAUUUUCAGCGUCGUUUUUUUUUUUUCGCUUUAACUUUUUAAUCCAAGUUCCUCGAUUUUAUGCUUAUAUUUUCCCCCUUCAGUAGCUCUAUAUUCUGAUUUGUUUUGCAUUGAUUCAAGUUUGCAUUCAUAGGCACUCGACUUUUUUUUGCAAAACUAAUGGAAAUCCAAUUAAAGAUAUUCUUGACAAAUUGAUAAUGAUGACUUAAAAUUAAAGACUAAUAAAUUUUGAAUUUAUGUAUUUUAUGUAAAUUAAGCAGCUAAAGCCUAGCCUAUGUAACUGUUUAAUUUGUUCCCUCUAAUUUAGUACUUUUUUAUAGUUUUGAAAUUUAAAAAAAGAAAAAAUUAAAUGAAAAGAAAUUUAAUUUACUAACACGUUACUAAGAUAGUGUUUGGAACUAUCUCAAAAUAGAAAAAGAUGGACAUGGUUGGGCCGGGAUAAAAGAGACAUGUUUCGUGUCUUUCUUGUAUCAAUCUCAACCGAGAAUUUUUUUUUUUACCACAAGAAUCCAGCCAUUCUCUCAAACCAGGAAUCAAGAAAUAAGAGAAAUAAAAUUUAAAAUCAAAAUUAAAUUCAUGUUAAGGAUUGAAAGCUUAUAAUUUUAAAAGUUAGGAGACUAAAAUAUACGUUUAACUUCAAUUUUAGCAAAAUCAUUUCUCUUUUAUUGUGUUUUUCAUUUUAGUUACCUAUCUUUGAAUCUUGUAUUCCUUAAUAAAUGUGCUAUAAUUGGUUAUCAAUUUGGGUGUAUAAGAGUGCAAUUAAAAAAAAAAAGAAAAGAAAAGAAGAGGGAUUAAAAUAAAUCAUCGCAACAAUCCAUAAUAAUUUGUUUUUUUUAUAAAUAAUGACGCAGGGAAUAAUAUUUUUCCCAUACCUUUUAAAAUAUUACUUAAUAUACCUUUCAAUACCGUUGUUUCCACUAAAUAUAUAAUUGGAAUCCUUCACAUAAGGAAUUAUUUGUUAAUUCACAAAUGAUCAAGUGUUCUUUAACCUGAUUUGAGGUCUAAUUUUUUUAAAAUACAUGCUAUUGGAUCCUUGAUUAAUUUUUUUUAUAAAUGAUAUUAUUUCAUUUUUUUUGUUUUUUUUUUAAAUACUUGGUGUUGAUCUUGCUGUUAGAUUGAACUUGACAGGAUUAAUAUCUUUUUUUUUGUUUAAAUUAAAACCUGAGCCAAAAUAGACCAAAUUUUAAAACUAUGACUGAAACUAAAAUAUAAUCUUUCAAUUUUCCGAUUGAGAAUAACUUUUGAUGGAAGUACUGGGGUGAGAUAGAGAAAAUCAAAGGAGUGAUAAAAUUACACGGAGAGAUCAUAAAUUAAUAGAAAUACCACAAGGCACAAAAUACUAAAUUAUACAUGUUGUUCGAUUAGUUUAGGAACGUCUGAUGAAGGGAAAUACAACGAGAAAAUCUUAAAAUUGUCUAAGACUCAUGCAAAUCAAAUGAACAUAAAUCUUAAUCACCAUGUUUCGUGAGAAAUCAAUGGCUGGACAUCCAAAGAAGGAGCCUUGCCAUUUCUAAAAUCGCCAAUUGUUACUGAAGUAGGAGGCCCAGCAAUUUCCCAUACGUUGGGAACUUCAUCCCUGAUGUUUUCAAGUUCUUUACUACUUUGUUGUGCAUGAAGAGCUCCUUUUGACAGCCGAAUCUGCUCCAACUCUAUCGCCACUUCUCUCAUUGAUGGUCGUUUCCUUCCAUUCAAGUUCAAGCAUCUUCUUGCAAGAUUAGCGACUGCGAUAACUUCUUUCUUCACGGCCCUGCCCCAUAAGUCGUUCAUCAAGAAUAUCAAAUAUCUUGUUCUCUUCCAUCAAAAGAAUAAAAUGAGUGGCUAAACUUCUCCUGUCUUCCGGCCUUUCAUAUGAAAUUGGUUUUUGCCCACUCAAGAGCUCUGCAAGAACAACACCAAAACUGUAGACGUCACUUUUUCCGGUAAACUGGCUAGACUGGAAGUACUCUGGGUCCAAGUAUCCAAAAGUGCCUUGAACAUGAGUGGUUAGAUGAGUUUGAUCAAUGGCGAUCGAUCUUGAAGUUCCGAAAUCUGAUACUUUUGCUCUGAACUUCUCAUCUAACAUUAUAUUUGUAGACUUGAUAUCACGGUGGUAAACCGGAAUGGAUGCUGCGGAAUGAAGAUAAGAAAGUGCCCUAGCAACUUCUGUAGCAAUCCUUAGUCGCAUUUCCCAUGAAAACUCGAACUCCUCCUUCUGGUCAUGAAUAUACUCAAAGAGAUUUCCAUUGGGAAUGAAUUCAUAGACUAAGAGAGGAACCUCCGUCUCUAAACAACAACCUAGCAACUUGACCACAUUUCUAUGAUUGACUUGUGAAAGGAUGACGACCUCAUUGAUAAAUUCUUCCAACUUUUCUUCAUCCACCAUUUUGGAUUUUUUAACAGCCACGAUCAUUCCAUCUGCUAGCAUUCCUUUAUAAACAGUUCCUUGGCCACCUUGACCAAGUAUUCUAUUAUCAUUAAAACGAUCGGUUGCCUUUUCCAGCUCCUUGGAAGUAAAUAUUUUUGUUUUCUGAAUGCUUCCAUCACUUGAGGAUAAUUGUUGCUGCAGCAAUAAACCACCAUUUCGUUUGAAGAACUUCUUCUUCAGUUCAAUGUUCUUUUUUUUUUUUACAAGUUUAUAUAACCGCCAAAUACCAACAAGCAGCAGCAACAAUCCAGUGGCCGCACCUAGAACUGCCAUUGCUCGCAAGGGAAAAAAAAAUAAAAUUGUUAGAUACAUACACACGUAUUAUUAUUGAACAACAAUCCAUGUCAACAAGGUGGUUAAAUGGUUUUUAGGUUGAGGUAACCUUCUGCCGUAUAUUUUUUUAAAUUCUUAUAUUCUUAUAUGUUAUUGUAUCAUUUUUCCCUUAUAUAUCCUCUCACUAUUUUGAACAAAAAGCCAACAAACCUCCAAAAGAAAAUUUAAUUUUAAAAAGCCUAAACAAUAUUUACAAAAACAUAAAAACAUUAAAAAAAUUGAAAAGUGAAAAGUGAAAAAAAAAACUUACUUGAAUAAUAUAAAAAAUAAAAAAAUUUCAUGUCAACAAAGCCUCACAACUAGAAAUUAUAUCUAUGGCAACAAAAUAAGUUUUACAGGUUAUGGAUUUUUCAAAAAAUUUAUGAGUUACCAUAUUUUUUUUUAAAAUAUCUAUGUUCUAUUUAAAAUGUUUUGGUAGUCUCCAGGUUUUUUCAUUUUAGGUUUUUUUUUUAAAAAAUAUGUUAUUAUUAUUUUUUAUCUAUUUUAUUUGUUUUAAUUUCAUGUAUUGUUAAGUUUUCAAUUUUUUUUUUUUUACAUUUGAUAUAUUUUAAGACAAUUUUUAUGUUGGAGGUCUUAGGGGUAUUUUCAUCCAAACAGUAACAAAAGAGUAUAUAAGAGAAAAUAUCUAUAUAUCCGUGCAUACGAAAAAUUUCUUAAAAUGAAUUUUUUUUUAAAUAACACGUGGAAGAAUAAAUCCAAUGCAUAAAGAUAAAUAAAUCAAUUGACCUAAUUUUUUAAAUUAACUUACCACUUUUCUUUUUAUUCCCACAAAUAAAAUCAAUAUUUUUUCUUCUUGAAGUGCAAAUGGAGAACUUUCCAAGUCAAACAUACCGAAUCGAUUAGUAUAAAAAACACUGUUCAACAAUAGCAAUGUAAAACACCUCAAACACGCAAAAAAAAAAAAAACCAUACAAAAAAUUUUAAAAUUUUCUCAUAUAAGUGGAAAAGCGUAAUUAUAGAUAAUUGUACAUUAAGUUUCCAGUUCUUGUCUAUAUUUAAUUAAUUAAAAAAAGAAAGAAAAAGAGAGUGAAAUUAAAAAGAACAGAAUUAUAUCGUAUGCUAUUGUUUACAGGAGAACCAAGGGUAAUUAGAGAAGGGUAAAGAUGUAAAUUAAUAAUUAAGAAAGUACUAUAUAUCAUCGCCUCAUUCUAUCCAUUUUGGGGAGAUAAAAAAGGCAGUCAUGGACGAGAAUUAAUUUUCUCGUAGCUCCCAUUCCAUUCUCUCAGACAAGGGAAAAUAUAUAAUUUCUACUGUCUCCCAAACACAAUUUAUCCUCUAAACAAACGUUUCAGGUUCCUAUAAAUUACGAAGGAAAAAAGAAUUCAGGAAAAAAGUUCCUCUAAAAAGAACUUACUCAAGAAAGUGAUCUUAGCUUUGUCAAGCUCGCACUUGUACCGCCCCGGCACAUUCACACAUUUUGUCAUCCCCGAACACAAAUUUCCCCAAGAGGGAAUUUUGCACUCAUCGAUAUCUGAUUCAGGAAAUCCAACGAGUAUUAUUUUUUCUUAAAACAAAUAGAUAAAAUCACAUUAAGCGUGUUCGAAUCAUACCAGUGCAUCCAUCAGGAAGAUACGGAUUGCCUUCAUAGCCCGAGCUGCAGCAACAAGUAGUUGAAUUGGAAUACAAUGUUACUGUCCUCAAAUCCGACCCACCAGAACUUAAGUUCAAAGGGCGGCUGCAAUACAUUGCAUCAGAAUUCUCCACACCUUCAGGGAUGUCAGUACCAUAAUACAUAAACCAACGCAGGAUAACUGGAACAUAUUGCAUAUAGUGCACCUCCUCGGGACUUGAUAUAUUGUUCCAGAACCAUUCAUCCUCUACUAUAAAAGCUACCUUGCAUUGAUUGCUGCCUUGAUCAUUAGGGUGCUCUGCGUUCCCCAAACUCGCGCUGAACACCUGGAGACUCGAGGGAAUUCUGGUCUGGCAGCAAUUGUUACCAGAACAGUAGCUAUUUUCUUUCCCUUCAGCACUAGUCAAAUUAUUAGCACCGCAAGUUGACGUGCACCCAACAAUUUCUGGCUCAAUUCGAUUCAAUAAAGCACGAUUGUUGCAGCCCCUUGUGAUGAAGAUAUUUGAGGAAGAGAAGGCGAAAGGACUUCCAGUCAUAUCAAUGGAUAUGUUGGCACCUCUACCAGAGCAGCCGGAGGAAAUUAUUGGACUGUUUACUCGAACCAUACUAUUACCGUACCUUAUUGAAAUCUCCAAGACCUCCAUGUUGAUUCUGCUUAAGAAAGCCCUGCUAGGAGAAUCCGCGGUUGUUUUGUUGCAAUCAACUGAGAACCAGUCAUUCAUUGAACAACCUGUUCCUAUUCCAAAUGGAAAAGGGAUGCUAAUGUUUCCACAAGUGUCUUUACAAUUAGGCUUCGCCAUAAUUAGUGCUGAUACAGUUGCUAUUUCAGGGACUAGAAAUAGCAGGAAGAAAAUUAGAGAGACACUACGAGGAAUCAUGGCUUCCCUUCUAUUGCAGAUUUAGAUGCUGCUGGAGAUCAAUAAUGGAAGGAGAGCGAGAGAGAGGGGAAAGAUCUUUCGUUGCCCCCUAUAUUUGUAAGAAAAAAAUACUAAUUGAGACAGAGAAGACUACCUUAAAAGAGUAAACACAAUGAAAAGUUCUCAAAUCAUUUGAAGCAAAUCCAAUGAAAAGUUCUCUCUCAAUCUAUCUAUAUAUAUAAUAUGGUGGCCUUCCAUAUUUUAAAUUCGAGUAGUUGUAGGAUGUUUCUUUCCAACUUCCAAGCUUUGAUUAAUAAUGUAAAAAUAUAUUUACAUUGUUUUUAGCAUUUUCAGCAUUGUUUCAAAAGAAUUUAAAUUUUUAAUGGUAUUUUGAACGCGUUUGAAUUUUCACGCGUUAUUUUUAAAAUAAUUGAUUUUUCUUAUUGAGUCGAUAUUGAUAUUGCUUGUUUUCAAAAAAUAUAAAAAAAUAAGACAAAUCAAAUUUACAAAAAAUAAAGAAGUUGAGGAACUACGUUUGGGGACCAAACAAUAAUUUGCCUAUAAAUAAUAUUUUCCCAAAACCAGCCAAACCUCUCCUCAUCAUCUUCCUUAUCCUCUCUAUAACCCAAGCCCCUAUUUUUUCUCGCAAGCAACAGACUACCUCCUAGACUGAACACGGCGACAAGCCCAACCCCGGUGCUACCAAUAGAAGCGAAGAUCAUCAGCUCAUCAACCGGCCCUAGGAACCAGCCAAAGGACAGCAGCCCACAGACUCAGAUCGGCCGGCCUUCCUCCAGCUCCUCCCUCAUAGACCGAACCAUCUCUCCCCUCCAUUCAGCCUCCAAUAUUAGCGGCCAAAACAACAACUUGAAGCCAGCCGCCACUCACCCUCUCCUGGCCGACCCAACUUCCCCAUAACCGAGAGCAACCCCACAGUGGCUCCUUUCUUCCUCAGGCCGAGCACAUCAGCAACCCCCGUUAUCUUCUUCCCAGUCUUCAAGCGUGCCCACAUACCAGCCUCUAACAGCACCGACAACAACCGUGGUGGAAAGCAGAAGAAACUAGAUCUAAAAAACUAACUACAAUCGACUGAUGUGUGCAUUUUCUUUUUGUUGCAGAUAAUGUAGCUCCUCACCACUGCAAGGAAAGGAAGAGGAGAGGAAGACGUUCCCGAUCCACCGGUUUUCUUGCAUUCAACGGCGAUGGCGCGUGAACCCACACUCUACCACUGUGCAUACAGUUCUAGAAAGCUUCCCAGUGCUGUUAUAGAUUUUUGGGUGUCUAUUUUGUAAAUUUUAAAUUGUUUGAUGUAAUUGUUGUUUAGUUUUUUUUUUUUUGAAUUUUUAUAAUUUUUAGUGUGGAUAUAAAAAAAAAAGGAAAAAAUAUAGUAAAAGUGAAUGUGUUGUUGUUUGUAUUUGUUUUAUGGAUUUUUUUUAUUUUAUUUUUAUGAUAAAACUGCAAAAACAAAAGAAGAAUUUAAUAUUUUGAUUUGCUCACGGUAAAAGAUUAUGAACUUAUACGUAAGUCGUAUUCCUAAUAUCCGAUGAAAUGAUAAAAUUAUUAAAAAAAAAUUUAACACAUCAAAGCCAUGAAGCAACUUAUCUCAAGUAGGGUGCGUUAGGGGUGCUAAUACCUUCCCUAACCACAACCAGUCCCUUACCCGUGAAUCUCUGACAAGACCAGUAUAUUUAGGUUUCCUAGUAACCCUCAAUGAAAUACUAGGUGGCGACUCCCAGAAUCGAACAAGCAAAGGAAUGAAAAUCGCCAACGCCGCCGCUCGAGCACUUGCGACAGAAUGGCGACUCCACUAGGGAAAGUACUGUUUCUGACAAUAUUGGACUAAGCUUUGUGUAUUUGAUGUGUUUUUGCAAUUUUAUCUCUUUUUUUUAAUAUUUUUGUUUGCUUGCAUUUUAUAGAAUUGUUUCAUGCAUCACAUGUCUUUAUUUUUUAAAGCACACACAAGCUUUUAGGUUAGGUGAGGAACUAGUGAUCUGCCCUAUGACUAUUGGUCAAGGUUCAGAUGCAUGAAACACCCAACUCAUAUCUGAGUGCUUGCUUGGUAAUGGUGGGUAUACGUGCCUUAACCAUUUCUCACAACGCCUCUAUAUUGUCUUUACGAAGAUCGUCACUGAGCAGAUGUAAGACCCUUUUGAGAUCAGGUAGAAAACCUACCCAUGUUUAUAUAAUGAAUAGAACUUGUCCUUAGGUUAUAUGUGCUAUCUUUAUUUACAUCAAGGCAAACCCUUCUUGAAGCAUCUUGAACUCAAGACUUAUGGGUGACACAAUGAUCAUCACUCAUAAAAUUUUCAUUGUAAAGUUUGGGCAAGAAUCAAGAUUCUUGUUUCAUCAUGCAAGAGUUACGAUCAUAUCUCACCCCUCGAAGAACGAGUUCAUCAUAUAGAUUACAUGUUCAUACAUUUGUCAUGCAUGCACUGGGAUGAAAAGUAGAUACCCGGACAUCUCUCUUGAUUUUUAAGGAAGCAUCUCCAAUUAGUAUCCUUAAUCAUUUUAACUCAUCGUUUAUACUUUUCAAUCGCAUCAUCAUUCUUUUUAUAGUACUAAUUGUAUCUCAAAUUACUAUUUUAUAUUUUUUAUUAUUAACUUCUCAAUCAAAAUUUAGUUAGUACACCGAACCUUUUAAAUUGCAAACUUUCAAACAAUGUCCAAGCAUAAUUAAAUCAUUAAAACACCAAUAUUUACACAAUUUUUUUCCUUCCAUCAUUUCACAUUCAACCCACAUAAUCCCAUAUCUAGAAAUUCAAUUCAUCAAGAAUCACAAUCAUGAUCAAACAUAACUUCAUCAUCAUACUAUUCAAGUUUAAGCAUCACAUUAUCUUUCUAUCCUCAAAACCACACAAUUUAGCCAAAAUUACACAUUUACACCAUUCCAACAUAUUGCAGCAAUAACUAACUACCUAGCGAUCCAUAUCACAACAUUCCAUUUCGACCCCAAGCAUUCCCAACAUCAUUUUAAAAUAUUAAAAUCACAUAAUUUAAUCAAGCUUCCACAUUUCCCCAAAAUCCCUACCAUGUCUGCCCACUCAUGGUCCCAAAUUUCAAAACUUUAGUUUUUAAUAUCUUUAAUUUAAUCCUUAGCCAUGUUAUCUAACCCAAAAUUAACCAAUAACUAUACUAUGUCACCUUUCCAAAUACAAACACACAUAAAUCCUAAAUUUCUAAAUUUGGGGAUUUUCAGUCCCCAUAAAAAUUAACAAAAGAAAGUGCAUUUAGAGCAAUAGAAACAUCUUGCCACAAUCAAUUAACCCAAUUUGUUAAUCCCUUUGCAAGAAAUCCCAAGAUGUUCUGUAGUACAUCUCAAAUCUUCUUCUUGUUCCUUAGUUUUAUAUUUUUGUUUUGUUGUCCUUAAACUCCUACAACACUAGUUUUUUAUUCCAACAAAAAACACUAACAUCAACUGAUACAAUUUUUUAUUUCCAAUUCUUUCAAGUUUCUUUUUUUUUUUUACCGUUAACUUUUUUUCUUGUUUGGCUGCUACGGAAAGAAGAGAAGAAAGAUUGUAAAUCCAUUGUUUAGAAGUCGAAACAAAAUAAAUUUCAGAAUCAUAGGAAUUUAAUACUUCAAAAAGGAGGUUAUCUUUCUGAAAUCGAAUUCCUAUUCCAAAUGGAAAAGGGAUGCUAAUAUUUCCACAAGUUUAUGUAGGAUUUGGUGUUGGGAUGUUUCUUUCCAACUUCCAAGCUUUGAUUAAUAAUGUAUAAAUUAUUUCUCAAAUUGAUGUUUCUGUUCAAAAUAAUGCAUCUUUAAAAUUUAUGGUCAAGUCAUUGUUUAUGUUUAGCAUCUUUUGUUUCCAUUAUGUCGAUCUUUUGCAUUGUCGAGCAGAGAAAGAUUGAUAAAAGCUAAAGCAUCAGCAUGAAGGCCAAAAGCUGAUAGCUUACGCUGCAUUUCUUGGGUCCAGUCGGAAAGUGAACAUUGAGAAGAAAUAAUGUAUAAAUUAUUUCUCAAAUUGAUGUUUCUGUUCAAAAUAAUGCAUCUUUAAAAUUUAUGGUCAAGUCAUUGUUUAUGUUUAGCAUCUUUUGUUUCAUUAUGUCGAUCUUUUGCAUUGUCGAGCAGAGAAAGAUUGAUAAAAGCUAAAGCAUCAGCACGAAGGCCAAAAGCUGAUAGCUUACGCUGCAUUUCUUGGGUCCAGUCGGAAAGUGAACAUUGAGAAGAAAUAAUGUAUAAAUUAUUUCUCAAAUUGAUGUUUCUGUUCAAAAUAAUGCAUCUUUAAAAUUUAUGGUCAAGUCAUUGUUUAUGUUUAGCAUCUUUUGUUUCCAUUAUGUCGAUCUUUUGCAUUGUCGAGCAGAGAAAGAUUGAUAAAAGCUAAAGCAUCAGCACGAAGGCCAAAAGCUGAUAGCUUACGCUGCAUUUCUUGGGUCCAGUCGGAAAGUGAACAUUGAGAAGAAAUAAUGUAUAAAUUAUUUCUCAAAUUGAUGUUUCUUUCCAUAUAUAUAUAUAUAUAUAUAUAUAUAUAUAUAUAUAUAUAUAUAUUAUUGUAACGGGGUGUCCGGCCAGCUGCGCGCACCACAACUAAUCCCGGCUCACUGAACAUCCUGCAAGCCCAAUGAGCAUGUAAGGCACCGCGGGGUGACAGACAUACACAUAGAGGGUUGAACCCGGGAUGGGGACGGAACAAGUCACACGAUUGACCACAGCACUGGACCUCAAGUGUUUCUUUCCAUAUUUUUAAUUCGAGUAGUCGUAGGGUGUUUCUUUCCAACUUCCAAGCUUCAUUAAUAAUGUAUAAAUUCCACAAGACUAUAAAUUAAGACUCCCAAAUUGAUGAGUGAUGGUGACUUUCGUCUAACCAAUUCAAAGACGAUUAGUCUAAAAGUAAAGAGAAGAAACAGUAGGCUGUGAACCACUCAAAUGUGUUGGAACUCAGAAUAGAGAAAUUAAAGAUAAUAGAAAGGUAGCGUGUAGACGACGAUGCUAUGAAUAAAACAGGGGAAGAAAAGUCGUUUCUCUUAGUGCCAAGAUCUUAUUAUAAUGUGGAAUAUCCAGUAGAUAAGUACUCAGAAUGAACAUAUAUUUAGAAAUUAAUCAGCAAUCAGCUAGCAAACCUAAUUCAAAAAGAGAUUGGAAGAUUGUGUUUAGUUAAUGUUAUAGGAUGUAAUGAACAUAUACAAAAGGGAUAGAAAAAUCACCAAAUCAAAGUUCUCCUUAUUAAUGCAAGUGUUUUGUUUUAAAAAAUUCUCACAGGAAUAGUGUCCGACUUGCAGUGACGAAGUACAAUUACUUAAUAAUUUAACUAUUUUAUUAUCAUAGAAUUUUAAAUAAUCUAAGAGGAAGCUACAAUUUUUUUCUUCUGUUUUACUUUUCAACAAAAACUAAUAAUCCAUUAUAACUCUUAAAUUAAAUCAAUUUUUUUUUAUAGAAAUUCUAUAUCAUGGAGAAACUUAACCGAAAUUUUCAAUGUAAAAUCUAAAACUUAAGUUAUUGGACAGAGUGUUUCUGUGUGGACAUAUAAUUUGGACCCAAAAAUCACAAUUCUAUCAUUACCCAUGUAUGCUUUCGGUUCCUUGUUUAGAGAUUAGCACCCGUGAACAGUAGCAUGAGGACCGAUGAUACCAGCAGCAACCAUAACAAGUCCAGUAAUUGCUCCUUAUUUGGAUAAUGGAUAUCCGAAACUCAAUUAGGUAUUCAAGAUUUAUAUCCGAAACGUUUUUCUUUUCUUUUCUAAUGGAAAAUAAAUAAAUAUAUUUGUUUAUUUAUUGAGAAUAAAAAAGAUUUUUUUCAAAUAUAUUUGCAUCGUUUUUAGCAUUUUCAGCAUCGUUUCAAAAGAAUUUAAAUUUUUAAUGGUCUUUUAAACGCGUUUGAAUUUUCACGCGUUAUUUUUAAAAUAAUUGAUUUUUCUUAUUGAGUCGAUGUUGAUAUUGCUCGUUUUUAAAAAAUAUAAAAAAAUAAAACAAAUCAAAUUUACAAAAAAUAAAGAAGUUGAGGAACUAAGUUUGGGGACCAAACAAUAAUUUGCCUAUAAAUAAUAUUUUCCCAAAACCAGCCAAACCUCUCCUCAUCAUCUUCCUUAGCCUCUCUAUAACCCAAGCCCCUAUUUUUUCUCGCAAGCAACAGACUACCUCCUAGACUGAACACGGCGACAAGCCCAACCACCGGUGCUACCAAUAGAAGCGAAGAUCAUCAGCUCAUCAACCGGCCCUAGGAACCAGCCAAAGGACAGCAACCCACAGACUCAGAUCGGCCGGCCUUCCUCCAGCUCCUCCCUCAUAGACCGAACCAUCUCUUCCCUCCAUUCAGCCUCCAAUAUUAGCGGCCAAAACAACAACUUGAAGCCAACCGCCACUCACCCUUUCCUGGCCAACCCAACUUCCCCAUAACCGAGAGCAACCCCACAGUGGCUCCUUUCUUCCUCAGGCCGAGCACAUCAGCAACCCCCAUUAUCUUCUUCCCAGUCUUCAAUCGUGCCCACAUACCAGCCUCUAACAGCACCGACAACAACCGUGGUGGAAAGCAAAAGAAACUAGAUCUAAAAAACUAACUACAAUAGACUGAUGUGUGCACUUUCUUUUUGUUGCAGAUAAUGUAGCUCCUCACCACUGGCAAGGAAAGGAAGAGGAGAGGAAGACGUUCCCGAUCCACCGGUUUUCUUGCAUUCAACGGCGAUGGCGCGUGAACCCACGCGCUACCACUGUGCAUACAGUUUUAGAAAGCUUCCCAGUGCUGUUAUAGAUUUUUGGGUGUCUAUUUUGUAAAAUUUAAAUUGUUUGAUGUAAUUGUUGUUUAGUUUUUUUUUUUUUAAAUUUUUUUAAAUUUUUAGUGUGGAUAUAAAAAAAAAAAAAAAAGGAAAAAAUAUAGUAAAAGUGAAUGUGUGUUGUUUGUACUUGUUUUAUGGAAUUUUUUUUAUUAUUUUAUUUUUAUGAUAAAACUGCAAAAACAAAAGAAGAAUUUAAUAUUUUGAUUUGCUCAUGGUAAAAGAUUAUGAACUUAUACGUAAGUCGUAUUCCUAAUAUCUGAUGAAAUGAUAAAAUUAUUAAAAAAAAAUUUAACACAUCAAAGCCAUGAAGCAACUUAUCUCAAGUAGGGUGCGUUAGGGGUGCUAAUACCUUCCCUAACCACAAUCAGUCCCUUACCCGUGAAUCUCUGACAAGACCAGUAUAUUUAGGUUUUCUAGUAACCCUCAAUGAAAUACUAGGUGGCGACUCCCAGAAUCGAACAAGCAAAGGAAUGAAAAUCGCCAAUGCCGUCGCUCGAGCACUUGCGACAGAAUGGCGACUCCACUAGGGAAAGUACUGUUUCUGACAAUAUUGGACUAAGCUUUGUGUAUUUGAUGUGUUUUUGCAAUUUUAUCUCUCUUUUUUUUAAUAUUUUUGUUUGCAUGCAUUUUAUAGAAUUGUUUCAUGCAUCACAUGUCUUUAUUUUUUAAAGCACACACAAGCUUUUAGGUUAGGUGAGGAACUAGCGAUCUGCCCUAUGACUAUUGGUCAAGGUUCAGAUGCAUGAAACACCCAACUCAUAUCUGAGUGCUUGCUUAGUAAUGGUGGGUAUACGUGCCUUAACCAUUUCUCACAACGCCUCUAUACUGUCUUUACGAAGAUCGUCACUGAGCGGAUGUAAGACCCUUUUGAGAUCAGGUAGAAAACCUACCCAUGUUUAUAUAAUGAAUAGAACUUGUCCUUAGGUUAUAUGUGCUAUCUUUAUUUACAUCAAGGCAAACCCUUCUUGAAGCAUCUUGAACUCAAGACUUAUGGGUGACACAAUGAUCAUCACUCAUAAAAUUUUCAUUGUAAAGUUUGGGCAAAAAUCAAGAUUCUUGUUUCAUCAUGCAAGAGUUACGAUCAUAUCUCAGCCCUCGAAGAACGAGUUCAUCAUAUAGAUUACAUGUUCAUACAUUUGUCAUGCAUGCACUGGGAUGAAAAGUAGAUACCCGGACAUCUCUCUUGAUUUUUAAGGAAGCAUCUCCAAUUAGUAUCCUUAAUCAUUUUAACUCAUCGUUUAUACUUAUUCAAUCGCAUCAUCAUUCUUUUUAUAGUACUAAUUAUAUCUCAAAUUACUAUUUUAUAUUUUUUAUUAUUAACUUCUCACUCCACUACAAGAUUUCACAGUUUUAUCGACGGAACUAUUCCGUCGGUGUGUGAUAGAAAGUUCGUCGGUAAAUUAUUUACCGACUAUAUUACCGACGGAAUAUGCCCGUCGGAAUACUUUUUUGUCGGUGAUUCCAUAUUCCGUCGCUAUAUUAAUCGGUAAUAUCAAAAAAAUAUUUACCGACGGUUUUACCGACGGACAAGUUUAAGGGUGGAUUACAUAUUAAAGUAGUCAUAGGGACUGUGACUCUGGUACGGGCUUGUAUUGUUUUCGAGAUUGGGAUUUGUUUUUGUCACCAAAUAAAAUAGUGAGAGCCUGAAAGGUAUGUAUGCUCGGCUGCUCACCAAGUUAGGGUAUCUGUGGACAGAUUAGAGGCAUAUCUGAGAAUGGAGAUGACAGUUGGGUGGAGUUUCCCGAGUAAAUGUCGUCUCCUGAACGAGAGAGAGAGAGCGUGUGGCGGGACCCAUCAUCGCACAUAGCUAGCUAUAUUUGCAUCUUCCUCUCGGUAUUAGGAAUCAUGAUAAAGGAAGUUUAGGAUUAAAAAAUUUAUCUUUUAUAUGAUUUUAAAUUAAAGUCAUGUAAUUAUUAAUAAAAUAAUUAUUAAAAAUUUAUAUUAUCAUUAAUUUUAAAAUUAAUUGCGAUAUGCGAAAGCUAAACCGGAUAAUUAUAAUAAUAAUAAUAAUAAUAAAUAAAUAAAAAUUGUUUGAGGUGAGCAUAUAAAAUAAAUCAAUCACCUUAAAAAUGGUUGUCCACAUUUUAUUUGGGUGUCGAGAAUGAUGCAUGCCCUUGAAGUUGAAGUGGGUUUGGAACACGACCAUUCAUUAAUAGGACAAGUUCCUAUCAUGUCAUGUGAGCCCCAUCCACAGUAAUGAGUGGUAACCUCGUCGAGAUUCAUCAUGAUCUCUUGAGCACUUUUAUCUUUAUCCCCUUUCCAUCAUUUAGAAUAUUGGAUGGUUAUGUAAAAUUGGUCUGAAUUGAAAGAAAGUAAAAUGGUUCGAAGAUAUUCUGGCCUGUGCGUUGGUGGACAGUAUGGCAUUAUAUUGGUUUGUGAGUUGUGAUUAAUCAUCUCUGGAUGCACCCACCCUGCCACCCACCAUGUGUUGAAAAAAUAAAUAAAUCCAGCCUACUUACGGUCAGGCACGAUACGAGGUGGAGUUCUUUUGUAAUAUCAUGUUUUAACAUUCGAUUGAGAAAGGAACUUAAUGAGUAUAAGUAUGAUUCUUUCAAGUAAUUUGUUCAUGGCAUGGGAUCGAGGGUUUUAUAGAUGCUCUGUCGUUGUAAGAAUAUUCAUUUAUGUGUUAUUUGAGCACCUUAUAAUUAAAUAACAAAUAAUUGUUAACAUGUAUCGAGUGUGUAUUUGACUAUAUAAUUUAAAAAAUCAAAGAUAAUAAAAUGAGAAAAUCAAAAUCCAUAUGUAUAUAAUUAAUUCAUCACCACCAAUACCAUCACAUCAAUUUUUAGAUUUGAAAGUUGUGUUUAGUGAUUUACACGAUGUUUUAAAUUGUUUACUAUUGUUGUUUAUUUUUAUGUUUAAAAAAAAAGGUUUGACUAUAAAUAACUUUCAGCUUAAAUUAAAUAUUUGUUAUAUAAUUAACUGUGUCAAUUUUUUUAUUUAGUCAAAAGUUAAAAUUUUAAACUUGUAAUUUAUGAACUAUAUAUUUAUAUUGCAUGUUUUCUUUAAGCAAAACUAUUUUUUUAGUCAUUUUUAUCAAACAAUGUCUCCAAUUCAAAAUUAUUUAGAUGUUAUUGUAUUGUAAGUUAUUUACGAGGAACAACCUAUAAGAUGACUUAAAGUCAAAGGUCAUAUUUCAUAAAUCAGCCCAGAUGUAUACUUUUAUAUCCUUUUGAUUUAAUUAUUUAAAAAAAAAACAUUUUACUAAUAAAUUCUAACUUGCACUGCAUCUCUUCUUCAAAAAAAAAAAAAAACCACCUUUAGGCUUUAGCCAUUUUUUAUCACACACACAUAUAUAUUUAUAACUUAAAGUCAUUUUAACUUGUUUUUAUCAUAAUUUAUUUAUGAAAAAUAAUUUUUGAAUUAUGACUCAAGUCAAAAGUCAAUUCUAUUAGUUAUGUAAGACACAGUCAAAGAGUCCGUUUGAAAUGAUCUGUGAAAAAAUAAGUUUUAGAUCUUGAAUCAUGAUCCAAAGGUUAUUUUUUUACAAGUAAUUUAUGAUAAAAAUAAGUUGAAAAUGAUUUAAAUUAGAAGUAUCUCCAGUAAAAAUAAUUAAAAAUGAUUUUUCAAAGAAGAAAUGCAGUAUAAGUAGAUUCUACAAGUUAAAAAAUCUAAUAUUUAAUAAAAUAAAAAACUUAACUCAAUUUUAUAAUACAAUAAGCUCGCAUAUAAAAUUUUAUUUUAAUUAAAUAUAUUUAUGAUUUUCUUUCAAGUCAAGAGUUUAAAAAAUAAUUUAAAUAAACUUGUAAAGAUUAUACUAAACGAAACCUAAACCAAGAUAGUUCACCAGAAAACAAAGUUCAUGAUUGCAGUCACCGAAUAGCACAAGUUACUUUUAGACAAUUUUGUAUCGAAUACGCACUUUUUUAAUGCAAGCCGUAAGUAGUGUUUUCGUCCUCUCCUUUUCCCCUGCAAAGUUAAGGCUUUAAAAAAGCCCAUUUCUUUAUAUCAGGCUGGUUCGGUGGCACCGCAAGUGGAAGUCAUCCUUCAAGGAGGAUGAUGAAAUUUGUACAAUUCUCCCCGUCACGACACAUUGAGCUAUCUAAUCAGUAUUAAAAUCUAAGAUAUUUAGUAAUACGAACAUUGAUAUAUUACAUUGAUAUAUUAAUGUAUGAUACUUGGUAAAUCAAAUUAUUGAUAGUUGAUAUUUAUAAAAAAAUUAUUUUGAUGGAUGUGGAGAUUCUUGAAAGAAAAAGUUAAUAAUUUUGUAGAGAGAAAAAAAUACACAGAUAGUUUAAAGAGAUAAAUUCUAAAAUUAUAUACCCUAAAAAUAUUAAAAAUAAAAAAAUUUAUGAACUUUUAACUUAAAACAUUCAUGAUUUAUUUAAAACUAAUGAAUUAUUUUUUUAUGAAAAGAAAGGGUUAAAAUAUUUAUCAUUGUAAUAUUUUAAAUUAUAUUUUAUUUAAAAUAAUACAGAAUUAGAUUUGGACAACCACACUCAGCCAGUCUCUUAAACCCCAAUUAUACUCUGAGUUUGGAAUUCCGACCCAUUUCCUUCAGCUCUCGAAUUUGAAAUACCAAAUCCAGUUCAAUUUGAUAUUUUUGUUGUGCCUAUUUUAAGGAAAUUUUAUUUGUUAAUUUUGGGAGGGUUUUUUGUUUUUUUUUUUUCAGGAUACAUCACUGUCAUAACAAGGACACAUGCUAAACAUCAAUCAUAGUUUUCGAUCCUUUAAGAUUUUCUUGCUCUUUAUAUGUUAUUUUAAUACAAGUUUAAUGCGGGUCUGCCAUGUUGCGUACAUGUCUUCCCAAGGCGUUGAUUUUGUUUCGAGUCUAUAAUUUAAUUCGUUUCUCUCUCUUUUCCUCCGGGUCAAAGCUAGAGCUAAAAGAUGAUGGAUGUAGUCACAUUACAUAGCUGAUGGGUACGAUGAAAAUGUGUUGUUUUAUUCUAAUCUGUUUAUGUUGUCGCUCAUACGACGAGGAGAUCUAAAUGCUUGCACUCAAUGUGUGGACUGUUAAAUAAUAAUUAACAAAUUCUCUAUGGUGUUUCUACUGUGUAUGCACUGUAAGUGCAUCCAUUAAAUUUUUUUGUCUUAAAAUAUAUAUUUUUAAUGUUUUCUUAUUAUUUUAAUAUAAAAAAUAAUUUAAAAAAAACAAUUUUUUUUAUUUUAAUACAUUUUUAAGUAAAAACAACUAUAAUCAUUAUAACAAUCCUAAACAUAUCUUUAUAGACAGUGUGAUUGGAUAAAAUAUCAUGUAUGCAUUUAGAGAUAUUUUAUUCUUUAGGGGUGGUUAAUAAUUUUAUAUUGAUUUUAACCAUACAAGUACUGUAAUGACCUUCAAAAGUAAAAAAGCCAUAACCUUUUGAACUUUCCAAUGAUUUCAUUUUUUUGAUGAAUAAUAAAAUUAUUAUAUUAUUCUUAUUAUUUAAAUUUGUUAGCCUUGAUUUCAAGAUUUAAUUGUCAUUUCCUCAUGUUUUUUUUGUUUAGUCCUAGGGAUAUUUUUUGUUUUUUACAAAUUAAUGAACAAUGUAAUUACUCAAUUACCUUUACUAUUCAAAUUUUUUGGCCUUGGGUUUAGGGGCUUGAUUGUAAUUUUCUAAUGAUCUUUUUUUUUGUCAUUAUUGUUUAGUCCCAAAGGUAUUUUUGGUGUUUUUCAAGUUCAAAAAAAUAGAGAAAAAGUUAAUGACACAUGUCUUGCACAUAUUAGUUGCUUUGCUAUAUUUGGAUGGCGCGUGUGGAUGUUUUGGUGGUGGCAAUCAUUAUUCUGUCACUUUAUUUGAUUCGUCUUAAUGUCCUUUACCUUCUUGUGUGAUGCGUGCAUAGUUAUCAAACCCAACCCGGGUAUUGACCUGGUCAAGGAGCUGGGUCUCGGGUUUUAUGGGUUAACCCGGGUCAACUCGGUAAAUGGUUUUAUGGGUAAACCAUUUCAGACAAGUUUAAGGGAAAAACAACACUUUGUCUAAACUUUAGUCAACAAAAAGAACCCAUUAAAAUCAAAAUCAUCUAUUUUCACAGUCAAGAAUCAGUCUCAACCAAAACUUUUUUUAUCUACCACGGUAAUCUAGUCACUCUCUCAAAUCGAGGAUCAAAAAAAUAAGGAAAAUGAAGUUUAGAAUCGAAAUUGAAUUUCAUAAAUUGUUAAGGACUAAAAGCUUAUAAUCUUAAAAGUUGGGGGCUAAAGUAUAUGUCUAGCCACAGUUCUAGCAAAACCGUAUCUUUUUGUUGUGUUUUUAAUUUUAGUCUCCUCUUUUUGAAUCUUGCCUUCCUUAAUAAAAGUCCUAUACUUGGUCAUCAAUUUGGGCUUAUAAAGGUGCAAUAAAAAGAAUAAGAAAAUAAGAGGGACUAAAACAAAAUCAUCUAAUUUAAAAAACGGUGCAUAUUAUUGGAUCACUGGAUGAAUUAUUUUUUUUAUAAAUAAUAUGAUUUCAUUCUUUGGGUUUUUUUAAAUAUUUGGUGUUCAUCUUGCUGAGAUAGAUUAAAUUUGACAUGAUUAAUUUUUUUUUUAAAUUAAAAGCUGAGCCAAAUUAGACCAAUUAAAUUUAAUAACUAUUAUUGAAACUAAAAUAUAAUCUUUCAACUUUCGGAUUUAGAGUAACUUUUGUUGGGAGUGGGGUGAGAUAGAGAAAAUCAAAGGAGUGAUAAAAUCACAAGGAGAUAUCAUAAAUAGUACUACCACAAGACACCAAAUACUAAUUAUUAUACAUGUUAUUUUUUAGUUUCGGAACGUCUGAUGAAGGGAAAUACAAUGAGAAAAUUAUAAAAUUGUCUAAAACUCAUGCAAAUCAAAUGAACAUAAGUGUUUCUGUGUGGACAUAUAAUUUGGACCCAAAAAUCACAAUUCUAUCAUUAACCAUGUAUGCUUUCGGUUCCUUAUUUAGAGAUUAGCACCCGUGAACAGUAGCAUGAGGACCGAUGAUACCAGCAGCAACAAUAACAAGCUCAGUAAUUGCUCCUUAUUUGGAUAAUGGAUAUCCGAAACUCAAUUAGGUAUUCAAGAUUUAUAUCCGUUAGGGUUUAGGUGGAUAACAUGACUCCUUAAUUGCAUAGGCGGGACUGGCCCUUGUUGGACGUCCACGCAUUGGUGGAUCUAUGUUGCCCGCAAAGAGAAAUCACCUGCGAUUAGUUGGGCUUCCGGCCCCUUAUAUUUAAACAGUGAUGAGCUCACAGCCAUCUGGCCCGUUUAGGUUUUGUCCAAAGAGAUAAGUGUGGAGUUGAAAUCGGGUUUUACUUUACCCGACUCAAAAUGUCUCCAUCAUAGAUUUUUUAUCAUUUGUCCAUACCUCCAAUCUAGUGAAGUCGGGUUACAUGGAUGGCUUUCUAGUAUCCAUCAAAAACCCCAUCUGAUCUAGGUGUUUUUUUUUAAUAAAAAAAUUGAUUUUAUCAAAAUAUACUUUAAUAAAACAAAUCGAAUCAUAAAAUAAAAUAAUUUUUAUAUUUUAUAUAUAUAUAAAAAUAUUUAAAUUAUCAUUAAAGUAUCUUAAAUAAAAAUUCUAAUUAAUUUUUUAUAUAUAAAUUAUUGAGUCUGACGAUCAAAUCCAAAAUACUUGGGUAUUAUAAACAUUCUUUAUUUGAUGAACAAUAAAAUAAAUCAUAAAAGAAAACCACAAAUAACCAAAAUAAAACAAAAGGAUUGUGAAAUUAUUAUUAUUACAAUUUAUAAAAUAUCUUCCAUGUUAUUUAUUUAAAUUUUAUUUUCCAAGUGUAACUUUUAAAGAAUAAAAUAAUAUAUGGUAAAAUUUAAUUGGUAGAAAAUUUAUUUUUCUGGAUAUAGUUUAUCUGUGUUGUAAGUUUUUUGAUGAAUGAAAUCAUUAUUCAAUGAACGAAGAAGCAAGAUCGACCUGCUACAAAGUUAUAAUUUGUCUUCUUGAUUUAGCAAAAUCAUAAUUUGUCACAGAAAACCACUCCCUCUAUUUCAAAGAUAUUGUUCACCUUUCAUUCCUAAAAUUAUAAUCCAUGAUUAAAAACAUUAAACAAUUAAUUACUUGAUUUUACUUUUAUACCGCUAAUUAUAAUUUAUUUUAAUUCUUCCACUCAAGAUUCUCUCUUAUUUACUUUCAAAUGAUGAAUGAAAUAAUUUGAAAUAAGAUACGUAAAUAAUUGCUGAAAAGUUAAAUGAAAUAAUAUCUUUGAAACAGAUGGAUUGAACAAUACAUGCAAUUUGUUUUUUUAAUCCCUCCCUGAUUGGAUAUUAGGUAGGCAAUUAAGUGUCUUAUUCGUUAAGGACUCCUUGAUUAUAUAAAGAGGUUGUAAUUAUAAACCGAAUUAAUUUAAGACACUGAAAGUAGAACUCCAUUAGGACAAUCCUUCUCACGGCAGGAAACCUUUUCUAAUUUUGAGAUGGGAAACCAGAAGAAACAAGGAUUCCAUACACUCCUCAUCAACUUCGGACCAGAUCUUGGCUAUAGAUUGACAACUAAAGCCAUUGAAAUAGCUCAACUUGCAUUAGAUCUUCAAAUCACAACAGCGUCAAAUUAUUAGCACCGCAAGUUGACGUGCACCCAACAAUUUCUGGCUCAAUUCGAUUCAAUAAAGCACGAUUGUUGCAGCCCCUUGAGGAUAAUUGUUGCUGCAGCAAUAAACCACCAUUUCGUUUGAAGAACUUCUUCUUCAGUUCAAUGUUCUUUUUUUUUUUUACAAGUUUAUAUAACCGCCAAAUACCAACAAGCAGCAGCAACAAUCCAGUGGCCGCACCUAGAACUGCCAUUGCUCGCAAGGGAAAAAAAAAUAAAAUUGUUAUAUGUUAUUGUAUAUUCAUUUUUUUCCCCUUAUAUAUCCUCUCACUAUUUUGAACAAAAAAGCCAACAACAACCUCCAAAAGAAAAUUUAAUUUUAAAAAGCCUAAAACAAUAUUUACAAAACAUAUAAAACAUUAAAAAAAUUGAAAAGUGAAAGUGAAAAAAAAAAACUUACUUGAAUAAUAUAAAAAAUAAAAAAAUUUCAUGUCAACAAAGCCUCACAACUAGAAAUUAUAUCUAUGGCAACAAAAUAAGUUUUACAGGUUAUGGAUUUUUAAAAAAAUUUAUGAGUUACCAUUAAAAAAAAUAUAUCUAUGUUCUAUUUAAAAUGUUUUGGUACUCUCCAGGUUUUGUCAUUUCUAGGUUACUUUUUUUUUUUUAAAUAUGUUUUUAAUUUUUUUUUCCUAUUUUAUUUGUUUUUCAUGUCUUGUUAAGUUUUCAAAAAUUAAUUAUUUUUUUUUAACUUUGAUAUAUUUUAAGACUUAAUUUUUAUGUUGGAGGUCUUAGGGGUAUUUUCAUCCAAACAGUAACAAAAGAGUAUAUAAGAGAAAAUAUCUAUAUAUCCGUGCAUACGAAGACUGAAAAUUUCUUAAAAUGAUUUCUUUUUAAAUAACACAUGGAAGAAUAAAUCCAAUACAUAAAGAUAAAUAAAUCAAUUAACCUAAUUUUUUAAUUAACAUACCACUUUUCUUUUUAUUCCCACAAAUAAAAUCAAUAUUUGUUUUUUACAAAUAGUUGUUUUCUUCUUGUAGUGCAAAUGGAGAACUUUCCAAGUCAAACAUACCGAAUCGAUUAGUAUUUAAAAUUUUCCCACAAAUAAAAUUUAAUUUAUCCUCUAAACCAAUGUUUCAGGUUCCUAUAAAUUACGAAGGAAAAAAGAAUUAAGAGAUAGGAACUUACUCAAGAAAGUGAUCUUAGCUUUGUCAAGCUCGCACUUGUACCGCCCCGGCACAUUCACACAUUUUGUCAUCCCCGAACACAAAUUUACCCGAGGGAAUUUUGCACUCAUCGAUAUCUGAUUCAGGAAAUCCAAAGAGUAUAUUCAUGUGAUUGCCUUGUGAUUGGAGCCAUUCAAAAGUACUAGAAUGAGUAUUAUUUUUUCUUAAAACAAAUAGAUUAAAUCACAUUAAGCGUGUUCGAAUCAUACCAGUGCAUCCAUCAGGAAGAUACGGAUUGCCAUCAUAGUCAUCGUUGCACAUACAAAUAGUUGAAUUGGAAUACAAUGUUUCUGUUCUCAAACCCAACCCACCAGAACUUAUUGGAAUACAAUACCUUGCAUUAGAAUACAAUGUUACACCUUCAGGGAUGUCAGUACCAUAAUACACAAACCAAUCCACGAUAACUGGAACAUAUUGCCUAUGUAGCACCUCCUGGCGACUUGAUAUAUUGUUCCGGAACCAUGCUCUCUCUACUAUAAAAGCUACCUUGCAUCGAUUGCUGCCUUGCUCUGCGUUCCCCAAACUCGCGCUGAACACCUGGAGACUCGAGGGAAUUCUGGUCUGGCAGCAAUUGUUACCAGAACAGUAGCUAUUUUCUUUCCCUUCAGUACUAGAACUAGUCAAAUUAUUAGCACCGCAAGUUGACGUGCACCCAACAAUUUCUGGCACAAGUCCGUUCAAUAAAGCACGAUUGUUGCAGCCCAUUGCGAUGAAGAUAUUUGAGGAAGAGAAGGAGAAAGGACUUCCAGUCAUAUUAAUGGAUAUGUUGGCACCUCUACCAGAACAGCCGGAGGAAAUUAUUGGACUGUUUACUCGAACCGUACUGUCCUCUAAUGAAAUCUCCAAGACCUCCAUGUUGAUUCUGCUUAAGAAAGCCCUGCUGGGAGAAUACGCAGUUGCUUCUUUGCAAUCAACUGAGAACCACUCAUUCUUGAAACAACCUGUUCCUAUUCCAAAUGGAAAAGGGAGCUAAUGUUUCCACAAGUGUCUUUACAAUUAGGCUUCGCCAUAAUUAGUGCUGAUACAGUUGCUAUUUCAGGGACUAGAAAUAGCAGGAAAAAAAUUAGAGAGACACUACGAGGAAUCAUGGCUUCCCUUCUAUUGCAGAUUUAGAUGCUGCUGGAAAUCAAUAAUGGAAGGAGAGCGAGAGAGGGGGGGGGGGGGAGAUCUUUCUUUGCUCCCUAUAUGUGUGAGGAAAAAAAAUACUAAUUGAGACAGAGAAGACUACCUUAAGAGAGUAAACACAAUGAAAAGUUCUAAAAUCAUUUGAAGCAAAUUGAAUGAAAAGUUCUCUCUCAAUCUAUCUAUAUAUAUAUAAUAUGGUGGCCUUCCAUAUUUUUAAUUCGAGUAUUCGUAGGAUUUAGAGCUAGGAUGUUUCUUCCCAACUUCCAAGACUAUAAAUUAAGAUUCUCAAAUUGAGUGAUGGUGACUUUCGUCUAACCAAUUCAAAGACGAGAAGUCCAAAACUAAAGAGAAUAGCGUGUAGACGACGAUGCUAUGAAUAAAACAGGGGAAGUACAGGACAAUUACUUAAUAAUUGUACAGAUUUUUUUAUAGAAAAUCUAUAUCAUGGAGAAACUUAACCGAAAUUUCCAACGUAAAAUCUCAAACUUAGGUUAUUGGACAGAGUGUUUCUGUGUGGACCCUAAUCCUCCUAUUUUUCUCUCCUCCUUUAUUACAGCAGAAGUUGACAUCGAACGACAUUAUUCUUUGACAAAAUUAAUUUAAAAACUAUUGACUUGCAAAAUCAGCAUAAUUCACACCCUCAUGAUAAAGCAUAUUACAUGUUUAUAUGUUUAAUUCACAUCAAAAUAGUAACAACAGAAACAACAGAGACACACAUGUGUUUAAUUUAUAGCGAUUCUGCAAACUUUAUUUUUAUUUUACAAUAACAGUAACAACAGGAAAAAUAAUCCCAUUACUCCAUUGUUAAGCCUUCUUAAAUCACCAUGUUUUAUCACAUGUGAUGAUGGAGUCCUGCCACUGUCAAAAUCACCCGUAUCCCAGUCAUUGCUUGCAUCAUUCAUGACCUUUUUUUUUCCCUUCAUAUUUUACAGUUUUGUUGAAUAUUUGGCUCCUUUUGAGACAGUCCAAUUAUCCCAUUCAAGGUCGACUUUUCCCAUUCAAAUUCAAGCAUCUUUUUGCAAUAUGAGCAACAAAGAUAACUUCUGCGUUUUGAUAGCACUCCUUAACUCUAACAUCAAGAAUAUCAAAGAGUUUAUUAUCUUCCAUCAACAUAAUCAAAUGCAUGGCUAGACUUCUACUUUCUGUUAAGGACUUGCACAAAAUAGAAAGAUAGAAUAUAUAUAUAUAUAUUUUUUGAUACAUCCACAUUUACAACCUACAAAAAACAAAAACUCAAAACUAAACAAAUAUUACAUUAAACAAUAAAAAAUUACAAAAACAGUCCCUGAACAAUCCAAGAAUUGCAGGGAAGUCCGUCUGGAACCGCAAGAAUAGUGGCCAGCUUCUGUUAAAUUGAAGGUUGAAUUUUCUAGUUUUUGAUUUCGUGUAUAAAUAGAGUGCCCAGCUUCUGUUAAAUUGUGUGGAUAGAAUUGAGAGAAACACUAGAAAGAGAAAAGAGAGAGAGGGCGUGUUUAAGCUUUUGUGUUAAUUAAUUGUAAGCUUCGGAUUUUUGUAAUAAAACCAUGUGUUUUAUCCCCUCUGAGUGUUUCAAAGCCACCACCAGUGGUUUCUCCCACCAAUAAUUGGUAUCAGAGCCCCGUUCGUCAGAAAACAAAAGUGUUUUGGGGUAUAUCCGAAUUUUCAAAGUUGUCAAAAACAAGUUUUGAUCAUUCCACAGUGUAGAGCUCAUCCAUAUGAACUCACUAUCGCAAGAAUCAGCCUGAUCGGAGACCUCGGUGAGACACACGCGCCGCCUGACGCCUGUGACUGUAGCCCACGCGCAGCCACUCGCGCCAGAGGAAGACGACGAGUGUCGUCCACGCGCGCCAUAUUUGAGCCUUUUAAGCAGCCUAAGCCGAGCUAAUAUCCAGUCGCGCCGAGCCGAGCCUCUUUCUAGCUAGCACGCCGAGAGAAUAUUCCCGGUUCAACCCAGCGAACCGCCCGCCGUACAAAUUGGUUUUUUGACCGGUUCACCCAUUUUCUGACCCGAUUUCUUCAAAGUCAGACCGGUUCCCUACUAUUUGGACCAUUCGGAUCGAUCUACAGUGUCCGUUUGGCCAAAUUCGGCUCCCAGAGAGGUGAUAUAGUCAUUCAAAGAGCAAAAUGACUAUAGAAGGUACACAUACACUCAUCCCGAAGCUGAUCAAAGACAACUAUGAUAGUUGGUGCAUCAGAUUGAAGGCAUUCCUUGGUUCACAAGAGUGUUUGGAUAUUGUACAAACUGGUUAUGAUGAACCAGAGUCCAAAAAAAGAGAAGAUGCUUUACAAGAGGCACAGAAGCAAGCCCUGAAAGUCAACAGAAAGAAGGACAACAAAGCAAAGACCAUCAUCUACCAAGGUCUUGAUGAAGAUACAUUCGAGAUCAUAGCUUCCGCUGAAACAUCACAUGAUAUAUGGGAGGCUCUCCAACAGAAAUACAAAGGUGCUGACAGAAUCAAGAAGAUUCGUCUUCAAUCUUUGCGAGGUGAAUUUGAGUUAUUGCAAAUGAAGUCCUCGGAGUCUAUUUCUGAUUAUCACACAAGGAUUAUGGUGAUAGUCAACCAGAUGAGGAGAAAUGGAGAAGCCAUCGUCGAUUCUCGAAUUACUGAGAAAAUUUUGAGAUCCCUAGAUCCAAAAUUUGAUUUUGUUGUUGUCGCAAUUGAAGAGUCCAAGAAGUGGACAAUUGACUGAGGGAUGGCUUAUGAGUUCUUUGCAAGCUCAUGAGCAGAAGAUUGUAAAGCGAAAUGGAGAUAAGGCCAUCGAGCAUGCCUUACAAGCAAAGCUGUCUCUCAAGGACAAUAUGAGCAAGGGGAGACUUCAUCAAGUGGAUACACCACUCAAGCAGGAAGUCAACAAUCCAGAGGAGGAUUCCAGAGAUUCCAAGGAAGAGGUUCUUGGAAUACAAGCUUUAGAGGAAGAGGUGGCAGAAACACCACCAGAGGAGGCCGAGGACAACAAGCAUUCACUCCUAGAGGAAGAGGAGGCGGUUACAAUAACCUGUAAAAGGAAUAUCAAUGUUAUAGUUGCAAUCAAUUUGGGCACUAUAGCACUGAAUGCAGAGAAAGCUCCGUUGGAGAUACGUGAGCAAGCCAACUAUGCAGAGAAGGAUGACAGAGAAGCUGCAUUUCUUGUCCAACAAGACUUGAGAAACAGAGAAUAUAUGGUAUCUAGAUACUGGAGCCAGCAAUCACAUGUGCGGCUACCGAGAGUUAUUUGGUGAUCUAGAUGAGACCAAGCAAGGUCUAGUUACUUUUGGAGAUACCACAAAGGUUCCAUUCAAAGGUAAAGGCAGCAUCCCAGUCAAGUUGAAGAAUGAUUCCAGCUACAUCGCCGAUGUGUAUUAUGUCCCAGCCAUAAAGCAGAACCUGAUCAGCUUAGGUCAACUUUUGGAGAGAGGAUAUACUUUUUACUCGAAGAAUUGUCAUCUGACAAUUAGAGACAACAAUGGGAGAUUAAUGGCCUACGUGAAAAUGUCCAAGAAUAGGAUGUUUCCUUUGAACAUCCAGUAUGAUGCAACAAGGUGUUUGAGUGCCAUCACCAACAGUGAAGAAUGGCUUUGGCACCUGAGGCUUGGACAUCUGAAUUUCACAAGUUUGAAGAUGCUAGCAAGCAAGAAGAUGGUCAAAGGUUUGCCUCACAUUGAUCAUCCAGAUGAAGUCUGUGAAAGUUGUGUCCUCAGCAAACAUCACAGAUCCAGUUUUGCCAAAGAAGUCAACUGGAGAGCAAAGAGGCCACUGGAGUUAGUACACACAGAUGUGUGUGGCCCAAUUACGCCUAUGUCGACUGGACAAAAUAGGUACUUCCUCACUUUUACUGAUGAUUUUAGUAGAAAGACGUGGAUAUACUUUCUGAAGAGGAAGUCAGAAGUAUUCAAUUGUUUUAAAGAUUUUAAAGCAAUUGUGGAGAAGCAAACUGGUUAUACGAUCAGAACAGUGAGAUCUGAUCAAGGUGGAGAAUAUACAGCAAAUGACUUUGAAGCCUUUGUACACAACAAGGCAUCAGACAUCAGACAACACCAGCUUAUACACCACAGCUGAAUGGUGUAGCAGAAAGGAAGAAUCGCACGAUUCUUGACAUGGCAAGAAGUCUGCUCAAAGCAAAGAAGCUGCCCAAGCAAUACUGGGCUGAAGCUGUAUCAUGUGCAGUGUAUCUACUGAAUCGCUGCCCAACCAGAAGUUUGCAAGGAGUCACUCCAGAAGAAGCAUGGAGUGGUCACAAACCAAGUGUUACUCAUCUACGAGUCUUUGGUUGUGUGGCAUAUGCAAAGAUCCCAGAUGCAAGAAGGAGAAAGCUCGAUGAUAAAGCGAGAAAUGCAUCUUUGUCGGAUAUGGUGAAAGAAGGAUGGGAUACAGCUAUAUAAUCCCAUCACGAAGAAGGUGAUUAUGAGUAGAGAUGUUAUCUUUGAAGAAGAUAAAUCUUGGGAAUGGAAUGAUGAUCAAGAAGCAGUCAAAUGGAUCAACAUUGAUUUGAUCCUUGAAGGUGAAGAAGUACCAACAUACUUGUAAGAACCGAUUGUACCUGCAGAAGAACGAUUGUGCCAGCAGCUGAACCACAAAGUCCAGUGUUUAUACCAGCAGCUGAACCACAAAGUCCGGUACACAGAUUCCCUGUAUUCAACAGGAGGAACACACCAGGAGCAUCAUCAUCAACACCACCAUCAGCAUCCUCAUCAGAAGGACCAAGAAGGAUGGAAAUCUUGAAGAGUUGUACGAUGCCACUCAGUCAUGGAAGAUACAACUUUUUUGUUUCCAUGCAGAUAGUGACCCAUUAAGCUUCAAUAAAGCUGUCACAGAAAAGAAAUGGAUAAAAGCAAUGGAUGAAGAAAUACAUGCCAUUGAGAAGAAUGAUACCUGGAAGCUGACUAUCCACCAGAAAAAAGAAAGCAAUAGGUGUAAAAGGGUCUACAAGACGAAAGCCAAAUUAGUGGAUAAAGGCUACAAGCAGAGAGAAGGCAUUGAAAGGAGAAGUGUUCAUGCUUGCAUGACAUCCCUCGAUUGAGUUUAAGGGGAGAUUUGUUGAAUAUUAAACUCAACAUCUAGAAGGUCAAGGAAGGCAACCACAACUGCCACCAACGACCAGCCACCACCGCAGCCGCCAGCCACCAGCUGCCACAGCCGCCAGCCGCCUUCACACUUGAAGGUUGAAUUUUCUAGUUUUUGAUUUCGUGUAUAAAUAGAGUGCCCAGCUUCUGUUAUUGUGUGGAGAGAAUUGAGAGAAACACUAGAAAGAGAAAAGAGAGAGAGGGUGUGUUUAAGCUUUUGUGUUAAUUAAUUGUAAGCUUCGGAUUUUUUGUAAUAAAACCGUGUUUUAUCCCCUCUGAGUGUUUCAAAGCCACCACCAGUGGUUUCUCCCACCAACACUCUCUCGGUUUUCCAUUUUCUCCUUCUUCAGGUGGUCGGUUUGUUCUCGGUCUUCUUCUUCUUCUGAUCUGGCGGCUGUCGUGGAAGGAGCGCCGGAGGCCAGUCGGUGCAAAGGAGAGCUGGUGGAUGAGGAAGGAGGCUGAAAAAGCAGAGGACGAAGGAGCGGCGGAUUGAUCUGGGUUGUUACUGUUGAGGGAAGAUCUGUCGGCCUCUAGAUCUCCGGUGUGGACGGCGCUGCUGGCUCCUACGGGUGAAGAAGAAAGGCAAGCCGGCUGGGAGAGAGGAGAGGAAGAUGGUGAGCGGCGGGGGAAAAUGGGGAGGAAAAAAUGGCCAGAGGGGGGAAAGAUGGCCGGGGAAGAGUAGAGAAAAAAAUCCGUGGGGUGUGGCUGCUAUUUUGUUUAGGUCAGCGGCUGGCUGUGCCUUGUUUUGGCAGAGGUAGAUGAACGGCUGUUGGGUAAGAGUUCUGUUUUCGACGGAGGGAGCGGUGGCUUGAACAGAUCAGAGAAAAGGGAGCGGUGGCUUGAAUUGAUAUGCGGGCAUUGUUGACGGUCUUUAAUAAGUCGUUGUUAUAAAUGUCAUUCCUUUUUGGCCCCCUUGGAUCUUUCAAUUGGAUAUUGUCUGAACAAUUCACUGCUUAAGCUCUUUGUUAGUUGAAGUGCUUAGGCAGGGUAUUUUUGGCCGGACUGAUUUCUCUUGUAGUUUCUCGAUCUUUUUUGUGAGUGAUUAUCGAUCGACCAUUGUGAUAAUCAACCGAAUAUGAAGAUACAACUUGUGGGAGGUGUGUCAUGUGUGUGUCGCUCUUUUCACUGCUCUGGAGAUUUGGAUCCUGUACAUACUUGCUCAGGGAUUCCUGCACAAUGAGUCUGUUUAUAUAGCAUCUGUAUGGAUGGAUUUGCCACAUGUUGUAUGGGCUAGAUGCCUUUUUUCUAUGUCAUAAUGGACUUGAGAAUAGUUGCAAAUAAUCAUCGUUUUUAAUUAUUUUAUUUACCUUCAUUGUAACUUGGAUGUUUUGUUGCUUAACCGAGCACAAGAAUAUGGACGAUGAAACAGCCUUGAUUUCCACGUUGUUUCCUUUCUAGUGCAAGAUUGAUUACUUUGCUGAUGCUGCAUAGUGGUAUACAUAAAUAGUACUACCACAAGACACCAAAUACUAAUUAUUAUACAUGUUAUUUUAUUAGUUUCGGAACGUCUGAUGAAGGGAAAUACAAUGAGAAAAUUAUAAAAUUGUCUAAAACUCAUGCAAAUCAAAUGAACAUAAGUGUUUCUGUGUGGACAUAUAAUUUGGACCCAAAAAUCACAAUUCUAUCAUUAACCAUGUAUGCUUUCGGUUCCUUAUUUAGAGAUUAGCACCCGUGAACAGUAGCAUGAGGACCGAUGAUACCAGCAGCAACAAUAACAAGUUCAGUAAUUGCUCCUUAUUUGGAUAAUGGAUAUCCGAAACUCAAUUAGGUAUUCAAGAUUUAUAUCCGUUAGGGUUUAGGUGGAUAACAUGACUCCUUAAUUGCAUAGGCGGGACUCUAUGGCCCUUGUUGGACGUCCACGCAUUGGUGGAUCUAUGUUGCCCGCAAAGAGAAAUCACCUGCGAUUAAUUGGGCUUCCAGCCCCUUAUAUUUAAACAGUGACGAGCUCACAGCCAUCGGGCCCAUUUAGGCUUUGUCCAAAGAGACAAGUGUGGAGUUGAAACCGGGUUUUAGUUUACCCGACUCAAAAUGUCUCCAUCAUAGAUUUUUUAUCAUUUGUCCAUACCUCCAAUCUAGUGAAGUCGGGUUACAUGGAUGGCUUUCUAGUAUCCAUCAAAAACCCCAUCUGAUCUAGGUGUUUUUUUUUAAUAAAAAAAUUGAUUUUAUCAAAAAUAUACUUUAAUAAAACAAACCGAAUCAUAAAAUAAAAUAAUUUUUUAUAUUUUAUAUAUAUAUAAAAAAUAUUUAAAUUAUCAUUAAAGUAUCUUAAAUAAAAAUUCUAAUUAAUUUUUUUAUAUAUAAAUUAUUGAGUCCGACGAUCAAAUCCAAAAUACUUGGGUAUUAUAAACAUUCUUUAUUUGAUGAACAAUAAAAUAAAUCAUAAAAGAAAACCACAAAUAACCAAAAUAAAACAAAAGGAUUGUGAAAUUAUUAUUAUUACAAUUUACAGUAAAAUAUCUUCCAUGUUAUUUAUUUAAAUUUUAUUUUCCAAGUGUAACUUUUAAAGAAUAAAAUAAUAUAUGGUAAAAUUUAAUUGGUAGAAAAUUUAUUUUUCUGGAUAUAGUUUAUCUGUGUUGUAAGUUUUUUGAUGAAUGAAAUCAUUAUUCAAUGAACGAAGAAGCAAGAUCGACCUGCUACAAAGUUAUAAUUUGUCUUCUUGAUUUAGCAAAAUCAUAAUUUGUCACAGAAAACCACUCCCUCUAUUUCAAAGAUAUUGUUCACCUUUCAUUCCUAAAAUUAUAAUCCAUGAUUAAAAACAUUAAACAAUUAAUUACUUGAUUUUACUUUUAUACCUCUAAUUAUAAUUUAUUUUAAUUCUUCCACUCAAGAUUCUCUCUUAUUUACUUUCAAAUGAUGAAUGAAAUAAUUAUUAGAUCUUCAAAUCACAACAGCGUCAAAUUAUUAGCACCGCAAGUUGACGUGCACCCAACAAUUUCUGGCUCAAUUCGAUUCAAUAAAGCACGAUUGUUGCAGCCCCUUGAGGAUAAUUGUUGCUGCAGCAAUAAACCACCAUUUCGUUUGAAGAACUUCUUCUUCAGUUCAAUGUUCUUUUUUUUUUUUACAAGUUUAUAUAACCGCCAAAUACCAACAAGCAGCAGCAACAAUCCAGUGGCCGCACCUAGAACUGCCAUUGCUCGCAAGGGAAAAAAAAAAUAAAAUUGUUAGAUACAUACACACGUAUUAUUAUUGAACAACAAUCCAUGUCAACAAGGUGGUUAAAUGGUUUUUAGGUUGAGGUAACCUUCUGCCGUAUAUUUUUUUAAAUUCUUAUAUUCUUAUAUGUUAUUGUAUAUUCAUUUUUUCCCUUAUAUAUCCUCUCACUAUUUGAACAAAAAAAGCCAACAACAACCUCCAAAAAGAAAAUUUAAUUUUAAAAAGCCUAAAACAAUUUUACAAAACAUAUAAAACAUUAAAAAAAUUGAAAAGUGAAAAGUGAAAAAAAAACUUACUUGAAUAAUAUAAAAAAUAAAAAAAUUUCAUGUCAACAAAGCCUCACAACUAGAAAUUAUAUCUAUGGCAACAAAAUAAGUUUUACAGGUUAUGGAUUUUAAAAAAAAUUUAUGAGUUACCAUUAAAAAAAAUAUAUCUAUGUUCUAUUUAAAAAUGUUUUGGUACUCUCCAGGUUUUGUCAUUUCUAGGUUACUUUUUUUUUUUAAAUAUGUUUUUAAUUUUUUUUUUCCUAUUAUUUUGUUUUUCAUGUCUUGUUAAGUUUUCAAAAUUUUUUUUUUUUUUAACUUUGAUAUAUUUUAAAGACUUAAUUUUUAUGUUGGAGGUCUUAGGGGUAUUUUCAUCCAAACAGUAACAAAAGAGUAUAUAAGAGAAAAUAUCUAUAUAUCCGUGCAUACGAAGACUGAAAAUUUCUUAAAAUGAUUUCUUUUUAAAUAACACAUGGAAGAAUAAAUCCAAUACAUAAAGAUAAAUAAAUCAAUUAACCUAAUUUUUUAAUUAACAUACCACUUUUCUUUUAUUCCCACAAAUAAAAUCAAUAUUUGUUUUUUUACAAAUAGUUGUUUUCUUCUUGUAGUGCAAAUGGAGAACUUUCCAAGUCAAACAUACCGAAUCGAUUAGUAUUUAAAAUUUUCCCACAAAUAAAAUUUAAUUUAUCCUCUAAACCAAUGUUUCAGGUUCCUAUAAAUUACGAAGGAAAAAAGAAUUAAGAGAUAGGAACUUACUCAAGAAAGUGAUCUUAGCUUUGUCAAGCUCGCACUUGUACCGCCCCGGCACAUUCACACAUUUUGUCAUCCCCGAACACAAAUUUACCCGAGGGAAUUUUGCACUCAUCGAUAUCUGAUUCAGGAAAUCCAAAGAGUAUAUUCAUGUGAUUGCCUUGUGAUUGGAGCCAUUCAAAAGUACUAGAAUGAGUAUUAUUUUUUCUUAAAACAAAUAGAUUAAAUCACAUUAAGCGUGUUCGAAUCAUACCAGUGCAUCCAUCAGGAAGAUACGGAUUGCCAUCAUAGUCAUCGUUGCACAUACAAAUAGUUGAAUUGGAAUACAAUGUUUCUGUUCUCAAACCCAACCCACCAGAACUUAUUGGAAUACAAUACCUUGCAUUAGAAUACAAUGUUACACCUUCAGGGAUGUCAGUACCAUAAUACACAAACCAAUCCACGAUAACUGGAACAUAUUGCCUAUGUAGCACCUCCUGGCGACUUGAUAUAUUGUUCCGGAACCAUGCUCUCUCUACUAUAAAAGCUACCUUGCAUCGAUUGCUGCCUUGCUCUGCGUUCCCCAAACUCGCGCUGAACACCUGGAGACUCGAGGGAAUUCUGGUCUGGCAGCAAUUGUUACCAGAACAGUAGCUAUUUUCUUUCCCUUCAGUACUAGAACUAGUCAAAUUAUUAGCACCGCAAGUUGACGUGCACCCAACAAUUUCUGGCACAAGUCCGUUCAAUAAAGCACGAUUGUUGCAGCCCAUUGCGAUGAAGAUAUUUGAGGAAGAGAAGGAGAAAGGACUUCCAGUCAUAUUAAUGGAUAUGUUGGCACCUCUACCAGAACAGCCGGAGGAAAUUAUUGGACUGUUUACUCGAACCGUACUGUCCUCUAAUGAAAUCUCCAAGACCUCCAUGUUGAUUCUGCUUAAGAAAGCCCUGCUGGGAGAAUACGCAGUUGCUUCUUUGCAAUCAACUGAGAACCACUCAUUCUUGAAACAACCUGUUCCUAUUCCAAAUGGAAAAGGGAGCUAAUGUUUCCACAAGUGUCUUUACAAUUAGGCUUCGCCAUAAUUAGUGCUGAUACAGUUGCUAUUUCAGGGACUAGAAAUAGCAGGAAAAAAAAUUAGAGAGACACUACGAGGAAUCAUGGCUUCCCUUCUAUUGCAGAUUUAGAUGCUGCUGGAAAUCAAUAAUGGAAGGAGAGCGAGAGAGGGGGGGGGGGGAGAUCUUUCUUUGCUCCCUAUAUGUGUGAGGAAAAAAAAUACUAAUUGAGACAGAGAAGACUACCUUAAGAGAGUAAACACAAUGAAAAGUUCUAAAAUCAUUUGAAGCAAAUUGAAUGAAAAGUUCUCUCUCAAUCUAUCUAUAUAUAUAUAAUAUGGUGGCCUUCCAUAUUUUUAAUUCGAGUAUUCGUAGGAUUUAGAGCUAGGAUGUUUCUUCCCAACUUCCAAGACUAUAAAUUAAGAUUCUCAAAUUGAGUGAUGGUGACUUUCGUCUAACCAAUUCAAAGACGAGAAGUCCAAAAACUAAAGAGAAUAGCGUGUAGACGACGAUGCUAUGAAUAAAACAGGGGAAGUACAGGACAAUUACUUAAUAAUUGUACAGAUUUUUUUAUAGAAAAUCUAUAUCAUGGAGAAACUUAACCGAAAUUUCCAACGUAAAAUCUCAAACUUAGGUUAUUGGACAGAGUGUUUCUGUGUGGACCCUAAUCCUCCUAUUUUUCUCUCCUCCUUUAUUACAGCAGAAGUUGACAUCGAACGACAUUAUUCUUUGACAAAAUUAAUUUAAAAACUAUUGACUUGCAAAAUCAGCAUAAUUCACACCCUCAUGAUAAAGCAUAUUACAUGUUUAUAUGUUUAAUUCACAUCAAAAUAGUAACAACAGAAACAAACAGAGACACACAUGUGUUUAAUUUAUAGCGAUUCUGCAAACUUUAUUUUUAUUUUACAAUAACAGUAACAACAGGAAAAAUAAUCCCAUUACUCCAUUGUUAAGCCUUCUUAAAUCACCAUGUUUUAUCACAUGUGAUGAUGGAGUCCUGCCACUGUCAAAAUCACCCGUAUCCCAGUCAUUGCUUGCAUCAUUCAUGACCUUUUUUUUCCCUUCAUAUUUUACAGUUUUGUUGAAUAUUUGGCUCCUUUUGAGACAGUCCAAUUAUCCCAUUCAAGGUCGACUUUUCCCAUUCAAAUUCAAGCAUCUUUUGCAAUAUGAGCAACAAAGAUAACUUCUGCGUUUUGAUAGCACUCCUUAACUCUAACAUCAAGAAUAUCAAAGAGUUUAUUAUCUUCCAUCAACAUAAUCAAAUGCAUGGCUAGACUUCUACUUUCUGUUAAGGACUUGCACAAAAUAGAAAGAUAGAAUAUAUAUAUAUAUAUUUUUUGAUACAUCCACAUUUACAACCUACAAAAAACAAAAACUCAAAACUAAACAAAUAUUACAUUAAACAAUAAAAAAUUACAAAAACAGUCCCUGAACAAUCCAAGAAUUGCAGGGAAGUCCGUCUGGAACCGCAAGAAUAGUGGCCAGCUUCUGUUAAAUUGAAGGUUGAAUUUUCUAGUUUUUGAUUUCGUGUAUAAAUAGAGUGCCCAGCUUCUGUUAAAUUGUGUGGAUAGAAUUGAGAGAAACACUAGAAAGAGAAAAGAGAGAGAGGGCGUGUUUAAGCUUUUGUGUUAAUUAAUUGUAAGCUUCGGAUUUUUAUAAUAAAACCAUGUGUUUUUAUCCCCUCUGAGUGUUUCAAAGCCACCACCAGUGGUUUCUCCCACCAAUAAUUGGUAUCAGAGCCCCGUUCGUCAGAAAACAAAAGUGUUUUGGGGUAUAUCCGAAUUUUCAAAGUUGUCAAAAACAAGUUUUGAUCAUUCCACAGUGUAGAGCUCAUCCAUAUGAACUCACUAUCGCAAGAAUCAGCCUGAUCGGAGACCUCGGUGAGACACACGCGCCGCCUGACGAUCCUGUGACUGUAGCCCACGCGCAGCCACUCGCGCCAGAGGAAGACGACGAGUGUCGUCCACGCGCGCCAUAUUUGAGCCUUUUAAGCAGCCUAAGCCGAGCUAAUAUCCAGUCGCGCCGAGCCGAGCCUCUUUCUAGCCGCUAGCACGCCGAGAGAAUAUUCCCGGUUCAACCCAGCGAACCGCCCGCCGUACAAAAUUGGUUUUUUGACCGGUUCACCCAUUUUCUGACCCGAUUUCUUCAAAGUUAGACUGGUUCCCUACUAUUUGGACCAUUCUGGAUCGAUCUACAGUGUCCGUUUACCCAAAUUCAUCUCCCAGAAAGGUGAUAUAGUCAUUCAAAGAGCAAAAUGACUAUAGAAGGUACACAUACACUCAUCCCGAAUCUGACCAAAGACAACUAUGAUAGUUGGUGCAUCAGAUUGAAAGCAUUCCUUGGUUCACAAGAGUGUUUGGAUAUUGUACAACAUGGUUAUGAUGAACCAGAAUCCAAAGAAGUAGAAGAUGCUUUCAAGAGGCACAGAAGCAAGCCCUGAAAGUCAACAUAAAGAAGGACAACAAAGCAAAGACCAUCAUCUACCGAGGUCUUGAUGAAGAUACAUUCGAGAUCAUAGCUUUUGCUGAAACAUCAAAAGAUAUAUGGGAGGCUCUCCAACAGAAAUACAAAGGUGCUGACAAAAUCAAGAAGAUUCGUCUUCAAUCUUUGCGAGGUGAAUUUGAGUUAUUGCAAAUGAAGUCCUCGGAGUCUAUUUCUGAUUAUCACACAAGGAUUAUGGUGAUAGUCAACUAGAUGAGGAGAAAUGGAGAAGCCAUCGUCGAUUCUCGAAUUACUGAGAAAAUUUUGAGAUCCCUAGAUCCAAAAUUUGAUUUUGUUGUUGUCGCUAUUGAAGAGUCCAAAGAAGUGGACAAAUUGACAAUUUAUGAGCAGAAGAUUGUUGUCGCUUAUGAGUUCUUUGCAAGCUCAUGAGCAGAAGAUUGUAAAGCGAAAUGGAGAUAAGGCCAUCGAGCAUGCCUUACAAGCAAAGCUGUCUCUCAAGGACAAAUAUAAGCAAGGGGAGACUUCAUUAAGUGGAUACACCACUCAAGCAGGAAGUCAACAAUCCAGAGGAGGAUUCCAGAGAUUCCAAGGAAGAGGUUCUUGGAAUACAAGCUUUAGAGGAAGAGGUGGCAGAAACACCACCAGAGGAGGCCGAGGACAACAAGCAUUCACUCCUAGAGGAAGAGGAGGCGGUUACAAUAACCAUGAUAAAAGGAAUAUCCAAUGUUAUAGUUGCAAUCAAUUUGGGCACUAUAGCACUGAAUGCAGAAGAAAAGCUCUGUGAGAGAUACGUGAGCAAGCCAACUAUGCAGAGAAGGAUGACAGAGAAGAAGCUGCAUUUCUUGUCCAACAAGGACAUGAUGAGAAACAUGAGAAUAUAUGGUAUCUAGAUACUGGAGCCAGCAAUCACAUGUGCGCCUACCGAGAGUUAUUUAGUUGUCUAGAUGAGACCAAGCAAGGUCUAGUUACUUUUGGAGAUACCUCAAAGGUUCCAUUCAAAGGUAAAGGCAGCAUCCCAAUUAAGUUGAAGAACGGUGAUUCCAGCUACAUCGCCGAUGUGUAUUAUGUCCCAGCCAUAAAGCAGAACCUGAUCAGCUUAGGUCAACUUUUGGAGAGAGGAUAUACUUUUUACUCGAAGAAUUGUCAUCUGACAAUUAGAGAUAACAAUUGGAGAUUAAUGGCCUACGUGAAAAUGUCCAAGAAUAGGAUGUUUCCUUUGAACAUCCAGUAUGAUGCAACAAGGUGUUUGAGUGCUAUCACCAACAGUGAAGAAUGGCUUUGGCACCUAAGGCUUGGACAUUUGAAUUUCACAAGUCUGAAGAUGCUAGCAAGCAAGAAGAUGGUCAAAGGUUUGCCUCACAUUGAUCAUCCAGAUGAAGUCUGUGAAAGUUGUGUCCUCAGCAAACAUCAGAGAUCCAGUUUUGCAAAAAAAGUCAACUGGAGAGCAAAGAGGCCACUGGAGUUAGUACACACAGAUGUGUGUGGCCCAAUAAUGCCUAUGUCGACUGGACAAAAUAGGUACUUCCUCACUUUUAUUGAUGAUUUUAGCAGAAAGAUGUGGAUAUACUUUCUGAAGAGGAAGUCAGAAGUAUUCAAUUAUUUUACAGAUUUUAAAGCAAUUGUGGAGAAGCAAAGUGGCUAUAUGAUCAGAACCGUGAGAUCUGAUCAAGGUGGAGAAUAUACAGCAAAUGACUUUGAAGCCUUUUGUACACAACAAGGCAUCAGACAUCAGACAACACCAGCUUAUACACCACAGCUGAAUGGUGUAGCAGAAAGGAAGAAUCAAACGAUUCUUGACAUGGCAAGAAGUCUGCUCAAAGCAAAGAAGCUGCCCAAGCAAUACUGGGCUGAAGCUGUAUCAUGUGCAGUGUAUCUACUGAAUUGCUGCCCAACUAAAAGUUUGCAAGGUGUCAUUCCAGAAGAAGCAUGGAGUGGUCACAAACCAAGUGUUACUCAUCUACGAGUCUUUGGUUGUGUGGCAUAUGCAAAGAUCCCAGAUGCAAGAAGGACAAAGCUCGAUGAUAAAAGCGAGAAAUGCAUCUUUGUCGGAUAUGGUGAAACAAGAAUGGGAUACAAGCUAUAUAAUCCCAUCACGAAGAAGGUGAUUAUGAGUAGAGAUGUUAUCUUUAAAGAAGAUAAAUCUUGGGAAUGGAAUGAUGAUCAAGAAACAGUCAAAUGGAUCAACAUUGAUUUGAUCCUUGAAGGUGAAGAAGUACCAACAAUACUUGCAUAAGAACCGAUUGUACCUGCAGAAGAACUGAUUGUGCCAGCAGCUGAACCACAAAGUCCAGUGUUUAUACCAGCAGCUGAACCACAAAGUCCGGUACACAGAUUCCCUGUAUUCAACAGGAGGAACACACCAGGAGCAUCAUCAUCAACACCACAAUCAACAUCUUAAUCAGAAGGACCAAGAAGGAUGUGAAACCUUGAAGAGUUGUAUGAUGCCACUCAAGUCAUGGAAGAUACAACUUUAUUUUGUUUCCAUAUAGAUAGUGACCCAUUAAGCUUCAAUAAAGCUGUCACAGAAAAGAAAUGGAUAAAAGCAAUGGAUGAAGAAAUACAUGCCAUUGAGAAGAAUGAUACCUGGAAGCUGACUCAUCCACCAGAAAACAAGAAAGCAAUAGGUGUUAAAAGGGUCUACAAGACGAAAGCCAAAUUAGUGGAUAAAGGCUACAAGCAGAGAGAAGGCAUUGAAAGGAGAAGUGUUCAUGCUUGACAUGACAUCCCUAGAUUGAGUUUAAGGGGGAGAUUUGUUGAAUAUUAAACUCAACAUCUAGAAGGUCAAGGAAGGCAACCACAACUGCCACCAAUCGACCAGCCACCAACCGCAGCCGCCAGCCACCAGCUGCCACAGCCGCCAACCGCCUUCACACUUGAAGGUUGAAUUUUCUAGUUUUUGAUUUCGUGUAUAAAUAGAGUGCCCAGCUUCUGUUAAAUUGUGUGGAGAGAAUUGAGAGAAACACUAGAAAGAGAAAAGAGAGAGAGGGUGUGUUUAAGCUUUUGUGUUAAUUAAUUGCAAGCUUUAGAUUUUUGUAAUAAAACCGUGUUUUAUCCCCUCUGAGUGUUUCAAAGCCACCACCAGUGGUUUCUCCCACCAACACUCUCUCGGUUUUCCAUUUUCUCCUUCUUCAGGUGGUCGGUUUGUUCUCGGUCUUCUUCUUCUUCUGAUCUGGCGGCUGUCGUGGAAGGAGCGCCGGAGGCCAGUCGGUGCAAAGGAGAGCUGGUGGAUGAGGAAGGAGGCUGAAAAAGCAGAGGACGAAGGAGCGGCGGAUUGAUCUGGGUUGUUACUGUUGAGGGAAGAUCUGUCGGCCUCUAGAUCUCCGGUGUGGACGGCGCUGCUGGCUCCUACGGGUGAAGAAGAAAGGCAAGCCGGCUGGGAGAGAGGAGAGGAAGAUGGUGAGCGGCGGGGGAAAAUGGGGAGGAAAAAAUGGCCAGAGGGGGGAAAGAUGGCCGGGGAAGAGUAGAGAAAAAAAAUCCGUGGGGUGUGGCUGCUAUUUUGUUUAGGUCAGCGGCUGGCUGUGCCUUGUUUUGGCAGAGGUAGAUGAACGGCUGUUGGGUAAGAGUUCUGUUUUCGACGGAGGGAGCGGUGGCUUGAACAGAUCAGAGAAAAGGGAGCGGUGGCUUGAAUUGAUAUGCGGGCAUUGUUGACGGUCUUUAAUAAGUCGUUGUUAUAAAUGUCAUUCCUUUUUGGCCCCCUUGGAUCUUUCAAUUGGAUAUUGUCUGAACAAUUCACUGCUUAAGCUCUUUGUUAGUUGAAGUGCUUAGGCAGGGUAUUUUUGGCCGGACUGAUUUCUCUUGUAGUUUCUCGAUCUUUUUUGUGAGUGAUUAUCGAUCGACCAUUGUGAUAAUCAACCGAAUAUGAAGAUACAACUUGUGGGAGGUGUGUCAUGUGUGUGUCGCUCUUUUCACUGCUCUGGAGAUUUGGAUCCUGUACAUACUUGCUCAGGGAUUCCUGCACAAUGAGUCUGUUUAUAUAGCAUCUGUAUGGAUGGAUUUGCCACAUGUUGUAUGGGCUAGAUGCCUUUUUUCUAUGUCAUAAUGGACUUGAGAAUAGUUGCAAAUAAUCAUCGUUUUUAAUUAUUUUAUUUACCUUCAUUGUAACUUGGAUGUUUUGUUGCUUAACCGAGCACAAGAAUAUGGACGAUGAAACAGCCUUGAUUUCCACGUUGUUUCCUUUCUAGUGCAAGAUUGAUUACUUUGCUGAUGCUGCAUAGUGGUUUUUUCUCUUGCACAUCUGGUUAUGUCUUUACAGUAUCCUAAUACCUCAAUAUUUUUUUUCUAACAUGCUUUAGCUUAGCAGUUCUUGCUAUAUUGAUGCUCACCCAAAAGCCUCUAAUGAUGCGAGACUUGAAUAGCAAAAAGUGAAGAUAGGUUAUAGUUCCUCUAAUUAUCUGGGAAUUAUGUGUUGUCUAUUGUGUGUGUAUGUGAGAGAGAAUCUAGCAAGCGAGGGAGAUGAAUUAGAGGUGUUUGUGUGCUCCCCUCAUUCUCCAAGCAAGAUAUUGUUCAACCAAAUUUAAAGCCACUCAAACAUUGUAAUAAACCCUGCUUUCUUAAAUUAUAUUAGAUGAUGACAGUAAUGCUCAGAAUAAUUUCCUCUUGGUAUUUGUUUUUUUUUUUAAUGAAAUUUUGAUUCUAUUAUGUCUCCUUACCCUCCACCAUGA